rnacentral:lncRNA from 1 species
AGAUAAUGAUGCAGCGGUGGCGUGACUAAUGUGAACAGAACUCGAAACUCUAAACGAACUAGACACUAAGACCAGCAACUCGACACGAUGAUGCAAUCGAUAAUUCAACUAUGCAAGCAAUGAAAAGAAAAUUGCAAAGGCUCAGACUGGCUUGGACCAAGGAUGAAUAGAUCUAACUCUUUUUUGUGGCUUUUUCUUGGACAAUAGGUAAAUCUAGGAAAACUGGAAAUUCUCACCGAGCAACCUGAAAACUGAUACCACUUGAUAGAGGCGGGGGUGUCCCGAUCUUUCGAUGAGAUGAUAACUAUCGAUUUGGUGGAGACGACUUUGACGAUCCGACUACAAACAUGCACGACGUUGCGCCUUAGCAAUCGCUAAACCAACUCCGAGAGGUUAUUGACCACGCGCGGAGCACAAUCAACCUGACCACGAAGGUCUAUUCCUGCAAGCAAUCGAAGAACAAGCAAGAAUAUGAUAAAAGCAAUCUGAAUAUUGCGAGUAUAUAUGAAGUAUUGAUAAAGGUGGGGAUCCGUAAGCGGUCUUGGUCUGGUCAUUGGACACAAACGAAGUACACGAAGUUGCAAUGGCUAACUUUUAACUAAACAAAUCCCAAGGAAAAGCUACUAGAUGGAUCUACUUAUAUAGGAGCAAGGGGUGGCGGCCAAGGAGGUGGGAGGACGUCCCAAGGCAGCCUAAAACUAAAUCUAGGUCGUACAAGGCCAAUGGGCCCAAGUGGAGGUGAUGUAACACCUUUGGACUUGUAGUUUGACUCGGAUUCUGCUGCAGCAUCAGAUUGUUUCGUCCACAACUCAACGCUCCGGACGAAUUUGAAGGUGAAUCCAAUUGGGUUGGAAAGUGCACGAAAUCUAGUUUCCAACAAAAAAAGAAUCACCCAAUUCGGAGUCCGUAUGAAAAACUUGUGUGCGUUUUGAGUCAGGUGUGUCUGUGCAGUCCGAAUCUGAAUCCAGAACGUGAGAGACUUGGACUCUAUCUUCUCUUGGGCCAAAAGUGACGUGGGAGAACUUUUUGGACAGCAAAUAAACAUCUCUUUCUUCCUUAUCUUCAUAUGUGGAUUGUACAAAUGUCCCAUACACCUGCAAUUAGACAAAACACAAAAGUGUGUGAAGUAUUUUUGUUCUGGAUAACAUAAAUAGAUUAUUGAAUAGUUUGCACUAGAAAUCACCUGACAAAUAUGCAUAUAUGCAAUAUUUUUGGUCAUAUCCAAGGUAGUCAUGUCCUCAUCACCAACUAAAUUACCAGGUACUUUCGUUUCUUGGUAAUGAUUCUAAUGUUCAUGAGAAUAUGAUGCUGCCUAAAUUGGAUACAUUUGUUUUGCUUACAAAUGAAGGGUCUAGCUUGGAGAAGGAUGAACAUUGGAGCAAGAACAAGCAUGGAGAUGAUGGCAUGCGCAAGGGGAACAAGAACGGAGUUACAAGUGAUGAUUUCAGGACUUUGAAGCCACCAUAAUGGGUGCAUGAAGCCUUGGACGAAAUAUACAAGAUGCCACUUCAUAAAUUUCGUCCCGAGGCUAUUUUAGGUGCUGCGUCACCUUAUUAUUGGGCCAGGCCCAUGUAAUUUCGAAAUACAUAAGUAUAGGCUAUUUUUAGAGUCCGUAUGUGUGGGGAAACAAGAGAUAGGGUUGAUUUCGGACCCCUCCACCAAGGGCCACUGAUGAGGACAUCAAUACAAUUGUUACACCCACAGCCCCUGCUGCUAUACAUACUGGACCAAUUACUAGAGCUCGUGCACGCCAACUAAAUUACCAGGUACUUUCGUUUCUUGGUAAUGAUUCUAAUGUUCAUGAGAAUAUGAUGCUGCCUAAAUUGGAUACAUUUGUUUUGCUUACAAAUGAAGGGCCUAGCUUGGAGAAGGAUGAACAUUGGAGCAAGAACAAGCAUGGAGAUGAUGGCAUGCGCAAGGGAAACAAGAACGGAGUUACAAGUGAUGAUUUCAGGACUUUGAAGCCACCAUAAUGGGUGCAUGAAGCCUUGGACGAAAUAUACAAGACGCCACUUCAUAAAUUUCGUCCCGAGGCUAUUUUAGGUGCUGCGUCACCUUAUUAUUGGGCCAGGCCCAUGUAAUUUCGAAAUACAUAAGUAUAGGCUAUUUUUAGAGUCCGUAUGUGUGGGGAAACAAGAGAUAGGGUUGAUUUCGGACCCCUCCACCAAGGGCCACGAAAUUCCCCCCCUCUUCCUCCAUAUAUACAGCCCUUAGGGCAUCGUUUAGACUUUGGGUUUUGUUUAGAUUAAAAGUUCGCCAUAGGUGCAACUUCGCGUACUUCGUCUGUGUUCAACGACCAGACAAAGGCGUCACAGAACCCCACCUUGAUCAAUAAAGCUUUCAUCUUAUAUUCGCAAUAUCCAGAUUGCAAUCUUAGUUUCUUGCUUGUUCUUCGAUUGCUCGCAGGAAACAGACCCUCGUGGUCAGGUUGAUCGUGCUCCGGCGUGGUCAAUAACCUCUCGGAGUUGGUUUAGCGAUUGCUAAGGCGCGACGUCCUCGCACGUUCGUAGUCGGAUCGUCAAAGUCGACUUCCACCAAAGCGAUAUCCAUCAUCUCAUCGAAAGAUCGGGACCCUCGCCUCUAUCAAGUGGUAUCAGAGCUUUGUCGAUCGCGGGAGACGUGCCACCACCUUUGCAAAUACCACAACCGUCACGAGAGGUGCACAAACAUCCAAAUGCACAUGAUCAGGUUAAUGUAUCUAUACCACCAUUUAAUGGCCGUUUUAAACCUGCUUUAUAUAUUGAAUGGGAGUUCGACAUAAAAAAUAUAUUUGCUUCCCAUAAUUUCAAUGAACAUAAAAAGGUUAAGGUUGCGGUUGGUUCUUUCACUGGUUAUGCUUUGGUUUGGUGGAGUGAAUAUUGUCGGUUACACCCUGAUUAUAUACCUACUACUUGGGAUGAUUUGAAACUUGCCAUGCGACAUACUUUCGUCCCUGCUUAUUAUACUCGUGACAUGAUUAAGAAGUUGCAACACUUAAAACAAGGUAGUGAAACUGUAACAAAAUAUUAUGAUGAUUUACAAACUACCUUGUUGCAUUCCUCUUUAGAAGAAAGUGAAGAUGAUUUUAUGGAUAGAUUUUGGGGAGGAUUUAACCGUGAUAUUCAAGAGAUACUAAUUCAUGAAGAGUGUUAUCCUAUGGACCAUUUGUUUCAUCUUGCUUGCAAAGCUGAACAGGAAAUAAAACGACGUGUUGGCCACGAGGAGAACAAGCGCACGGUGCACAUUCCAAGAGUUGAUAUGAUUGUUCCUUCAACUACUAGGCAUACUAUGACAACCACAUCCGUUGUUGUCAGGACUACAUCACCUCCACCAUGUGACACAUCGCCCCCGAGAGUGGCUACAUCAUCUGAGUUGAUCAUAAGAGGUAAUGACAAAGGUACUGAUCUUCCAUCUCUACAUGAGAAUGAUGAAUGCCUUGUCAAUUUGAAUGCACCAUCUGAUGAGCUACCCACUACUUUGAUCACACCACCUAUUUUAGAGGACUACGUUGAUAAUUUGACUUUGCCAUGUGAUCAAACAACUAAAAUACCAACAAUUUUGAGUGCACCCAUUGAAUUAACUAUUGAUGCAAAAGAACCAAUGUUUAAUCAUUUUGAUAUGACCUCUAAUCUUGGUGAUGAUUUUGUGUUGAAUGACUUAUUGCAUGUUUGCUUAUUUAAGCAUGUUGUAGCAUGUACAUUUGAUGCAAGUAAGGUUUAUUCACCAAUGUUGGGAUGGUUUAAUGAUGAACAUUGUCAAUCUUUUGAAAUGAAUAAGAGCUUCACUUAUAUGUGCAAACUGAGUUGUAAUAUUUUCAUGCCUUCUACUUCUUGUGCUAAUUUUUUGGCUUUAGAUUUUAUGAACUAUGCAAGUUACUCAUCUAUUCAUGUGUCAUAUAUGCAAAAAUCAAGGGAAGUAAAAAUGGAUGACAUAUACAUAUACAACAUGUACACCUUGUCUCUUUUGUUAGCCACAUUUCAGAUUAAGCAACGCCGAGGACGGCUUUAUUUUCAAGAAGGGGAGGAUGAUGAGGACAUGACUACCUUGGAUAUGACCAAAAAUAUUGCAUAUAUGCAUAUUUGUCAGGUGAUUUCUAGUGCAAACUAUUCAAUAAUCUAUUUAUGUUAUCCAGAACAAAAAUACUUCACACACUUUUGUGUUUUGUCUAAUUGCAGGUGUAUGGGACAUUUGUACAAUCCACAUAUGAAGAUAAGGAAGAAAGAGAUGUUUAUUUGCUGUCCAAAAAGUUCUUUCACGUCACUUUUGGCCCAAGAGAAGAUAGAGUCCAAGUCUCUCACGUUCUGGAUUCAGAUUCGGACUGCACAGACAUACCUGACUCAAAACGCACACAAGUUUUUCAUACGGACUCCGAAUGAUGAGGACAUCAAUACAAUUGUUACACCCACAGCCCCUGCUGCUAUACAUACUGGACCAAUUACUAGAGCUCGUGCACGCCAACUAAAUUACCAGGUACUUUCAUUUCUUGGUAAUGAUUCUAAUGUUCAUGAGAAUAUGAUGCUGCCUAAAUUGGAUACAUUUGUUUUGCUUACAAAUGAAGGGCCUAGCUUGGAGAAGGAUGAACAUUGGAGCAAGAACAAGCAUGGAGACGAUGGCAUGCGCAAGGGGAACAAGAACGGAGUUACAAGUGAUGAUUUCAGGACUUUGAAGCCACCAUAAUGGGUGCAUGAAGCCUUGGACGAAAUAUACAAGAUGCCACUUCAUAAAUUUUGUCCCGAGGCUAUUUUAGGUGCUGCGUCACCUUAUUAUUGGGCCAGGCCCAUGUAAUUUCGAAAUACAUAAGUAUAGGCUAUUUUUAGAGUCCGUAUGUGUGGGGAAACAAGAGAUAGGGUUGAUUUCGGACCCCUCCACCAAGGGCCACGAAAUUCCCCCCUCUUCCUCCAUAUAUAUAGCCCUUAGGGCAUCGUUUAGACUUUGGGUUUUGUUUAGAUUAAAAGUUCGCCAUAGCUGCAACUUCGCGUACUUCGUUUGUGUUCAACGACCAGACAAAGGCGUCACAGAACCCCACCUUGAUCAAUAAAGCUUUCAUCUUAUAUUCGCAAUAUCCAGAUUGCAAUCUUAGUUUCUUGCUUGUUCUUCGUUUGCUCGCAGGAAACAGACCCUCGUGGUCAGGUUGAUCGUGCUCCGGCGUGGUCAAUAACCUCUCGGAGUUGGUUUAGCGAUUGCUAAGGCGCGAUGUCCUCGCACGUUCGUAGUCGGAUCGUCAAAGUCGACUUCCACCAAAGGGAAAUUCACCAUCUCAUCGAAAGACGGGACACCUUUGCCUCUAUCAUCUAGUAAUUGGUCCAGUAUGUAUAGCAGCAGGGGCUGUGGGUGUAACAAUUGUAUUGAUGUCCUCAUCAAUAUACCACCACCACAUAUUCACCGCCAAUCCGAAUCCAUAUACGCCACCACAUAUCCGCCGCCAUCACGCCAAUCCGAGUUCACCUGCAACAUAUAUCCGCCACCUGUCCGAGUUCCACCAGAUUCAUCUCCGCCACCAGUCCUAGUCCGAGUCCAGUAAUUGUUGCUUUGUUCUCGAUUUCCAGAUCACGCGAUACUCCGAGUCGUGACAGAGAAGGACUCCCCAACUUCCGAGCCAUCCGCAGAAGAAAAAUAGUUCCAAUUUCAAAAAAAAAAACUAAGUGUGGAAAAUUCUGGCUAGGCAGUUUUUAGACCAUUUGUAGACUUUUUCGAAAAAAAUUUGUUAAGGAGCAAAAAAAAAGAGGAAAAAAAGUGCAAAAAAAAAAUCAGAGUGUGCUCCUCCCUUGUUUACGUGCCGCGCCGUGAUUUUGUUGGUGUUCUAGACUCGCGUCUCUAGCACAGUCUAGCCUAGGACCAGCACAGUACCGUUGUUGAGCGUUUAUUCAACUUUGCAUCUCUGAAUUGAUUAUUGCUGACCCUUUUUGCUACCAUAUUAUAAGCCUUCCCAGCUCCACAUACAUCUACGUCGUGCGUUUGACUCUCCCUGGUAAUCGCUCUAUCCAAGCUUUGAGAGUUGUGACUACAACGGUUGCCGAUCACCGCCUAUUGCUGGGUAAGAACUGGUAAGAAUUUGAGUUUUGCUUGACGGAUUUGUGACACCCACCACCACCACUUGUUAGUAGUCUGUAGGAUCAUAUUCUUGUGUGUUUCUAUUGCUGCUAACCAUGCCAGGAUCACAAGCCGACGAGAUUGACUGGGAGAAUUUAUCGAACAAUGAGCUUCAUGAUAAGUUUCAGCAAAUGAUGACUGAAUAGGUGCAAGAUGUGCUGAACAAUUUUGAAGAGGCCAUGGAGAAGAUCACUGGCCUUGAGAAGACGUUCGAAACAAAGCUCGAUAACAAGUUUAAUGAAUUGCUCGCGCGUCUUCCACCACCACCACCCGCUGCACCUAACGCACCUCUCCAACAACAACAACAACGACUACCUCCACAUCGCGAAACAGACCUUCGCCGAGCGAGUCGUGUUCCUCUUGCGUUUGACCAAACUGUUGGUGCUGCUGUUGAUACUUCUGUGGCUCCUGCUGCUGAUGCGGAGGAGGAUGAUUAUGUGGGAGAUUAUGAGGAUGAGGUUGAUCAAAAUCAGCACUACGUGCAGCCACCUGCACCACCACCAGCAGGUCGACCUCAGGUAUAUAUUCGUAAUGGUAGGCCUGCACCACCACCACCACCUCAGGUACGAGAUGAUGUCCAUAUUCCUAAACUGACAUUUAAUAUUCCACCAUUUGAGGGUAGAUAUGUUCGUGAUAUAUAUCUUACUUGGGAGUUAGAAACUGAACAAUGAUUUACAUGUUUACAAUAUCCUGAGGAGAGACGAUUUGCUGCUGCUGUUUGUGCUUUCACUAGUUUUGCAUGUGUAUGGUGGUCUGAACAUUGUAGAUUAUAUCCUAUUCCAACUACUUGGGCUGCUUUGAAAACUGCUAUGCGUACUCGUUGGGUUCCACCAUAUUAUCAACGUGAAUUGCUUCAAAAAUUACAGUGUUUAAGACAAGGGAAAAAUUCUGUAGAAGAAUAUUAUAAGGAAUUACAAACUGGCAUGAUUAGAUGUGGUAUUGUUGAGGAGAAUGAAGCUAUGCUUGCACGUUUUCUGGGUGGAUUAAAUAGAGAGAUUCAGACCAUUCUAGACUAUAAGGAGUAUACUAAUAUCACUCGUUUAUUCCAUCUUGCUUGUAAAGCUGAGCGUGAAGUGCAGGAUCGACAAGCAUUGGGGCGAACUAACUUUUCUGCAGGCCGACCUUCAUCAUGGACACCACGUGCAUCUUCUACUUCAACUGCACCAGCACCUCCAUCCGGUGCCACCUCCAGCCGUGAUACAAGAAAACAGGCACAACCACCAUUAUCUGCCAAGAGCGCACCUGCGGGGCCUGCACAGCGUUCUUCUUCUUCCAUGGCAUCAACAGGGCACACAAGUGAUAUUAUUUGUCGUCGUUGUAAGGGAGGAGGUCAUGAUGAGGACAUCAAUACAAUUGUUACACCCACAGCCCCUGCUACUAUACAUACUGGACCAAUUACUAGAGCUCGUGCACGCCAACUAAAUUACCAGGUACUUUCGUUUCUUGGUAAUGAUUCUAAUAUUCAUGAGAAUAUGAUGCUGCCUAAAUUGGAUACAUUUGUUUUGCUUACAAAUGAAGGGCCUAGCUUGGAGAAGGAUGAACAUUGGAGCAAGAACAAGCAAGGAGAUGAUGGCAUGCGCAAGGGGAACCAGAACGGAGUUACAAGUGAUGAUUUCAGGACUUUGAAGCCACCAUAAUGGGUGCAUGAAGCCUUGGACGAAAUAUACAAGAUGCCACUUCAUAAAUUUCGUCCCGAGGCUAUUUUAGGUGUUGCGUCACCUUAUUAUUGGGCCAGGCCCAUGUAAUUUCGAAAUACAUAAGUAUAGGCUAUUUUUAGAGUCCGUAUGUGUGGGGAAACAAGAGAUAGGGUUGAUUUCGGACCCCUCCACCAAGGGCCACGAAAUUCCCCCCCUCUUCCUCCAUAUAUACAGCCCUUAGGGCAUCGUUUAGACUUUGGGUUUUGUUUAGAUUAAAAGUUCGCCAUAGCUGCAACUUCGCGUACUUCGUUUGUGUUCAACGACCAGACAAAGGCGUCACAGAACACCACCUUGAUCAAUAAAGCUUUCAUCUUAUAUUCGCAAUAUCCAGAUUGCAAUCUUAGUUUCUUGCUUGUUCUUCGUUUGCUCGCAGGAAACAGACCCUCGUGGUCAGGUUGAUCGUGCUCCGGCGUGGUCAAUAACCUCUCGGAGUUGGUUUAGCGAUUGCUAAGGCGCGACGUCCUCGCACGUUCGUAGUCGGAUCGUCAAAGUCGACUUCCACCAAAGCGAUAUCCAUCAUCUCAUCGAAAGAUUGGGACCCUCGCCUCUAUCAGCGAGAGAAUGCAAAUCUCCGCGUGUGAUGAUUGCUACCGCAGAUGGUGGAUAUGAGUCUGCUAGUGACUAUGAUGAGGAGACUUUGGCUCUUAUUACACGUGAAGAACAUGGUGGAGAUGAUUCUGAUCAUGAGACGCAAUACAUGGCUCCUGAAGACGCUGACAGGUAUGAAUGUUUAGUUGCUCAACGUGUUUUGAGUGUGCAGAUCACACAAGCUGAGCAAAAUCAGAGGCACAAUUUGUUCCAUACCAAGGGAGUUGUGAAGGAACGUUCUGUGCGCGUCAUCAUAGACGGAGGGAGCUGCAACAACUUAGCUAGCAUGGAGAUGGUGGAGAAGCUUUCUCUCACCACAAGACCACAUCCACAUCCUUACUACAUCCAAUGGUUCAACAACAGCGGCAAGGUUAAGGUAACACGUACUGUUCGUGUGCAUUUUAGUAUCUCUACAUAUGCUGAUUAUGUUGAUUGUGAUGUGGUACCUAUGCAAGCAUGUUCCUUAUUACUUGGUAGACCAUGGCAAUUUGAUAAAAAUUCUGUACACCAUGGUAGAAACAAUCACUAUACUCUUGUUCAUAAGGAUAAAAAUAUUACUUUGCUUCCUAUGACUCCUGAUUCCAUUUUGAAAGAUGAUAUUAAUAGAGCUAAUAAAGCAAAACAGGAGACGAAUACGAGUGAAAAUCAGAUUGUGGCAAAAGAAUUUGAGCAACAAAUGAAGCCUAAUAAUAAGCCAUCUAGUGUUGCUUCUGAAAUUAAAUUGAAGAGUGCAUGUUUAUUUGCCACCAAAUCUGAUAUUGAUGAGCUAGAUUUCGGCAAAUCUGUUUGCUAUGCUUUUGUGUGCAAAGAGGCAUUAUUUUCAUUUGAGGACGUGCCUUCCUCUUUGCCUCCUGCUGUCACUAACAUUUUGCAGGAGUUCGCUGAUGUCUUUCCACAAGACGUGCCACCGGGAUUACCGCCUAUUGGAGGGAUUGAGCAUCAGAUUGACUUAAUUCCCGGUGCUUCACUGCCAAACCGUGCACCAUACCGUACCAAUCCAGAGGAGACGACGGUGAUUAUGCGUCAAGUACAAGAGCUUCUCGACAAAGGUUAUAUACGCGAAUCCCUUAGUCCUUGUGAUGUUCCUAUUAUUCUAGUGCCGAAAAAGGAUGGUACAUCAUGUAUGUGUGUUGAUUGUAGAGGCAUUAAUAAUAUUACUAUUCGUUAUCGUCAUCCUAUUCCUAGGCUAGAUGAUAUGCUUGAUGAAUUGAGUGGCUCUACAAUAUUCUCCAAAGUUGAUUUGCGUAGUGGAUACCAUCAAAUUCAUAUGAAAUUGGGAGAUGAAUGGAAAACAACAUUCAAAACUAAGUUUGGAUUAUAUGAGUGGUUAGUCAUGCCUUUUGGGUUAACUAAUGCACCUAGUACUUUCAUGAGAUUAAUGAAUGAAGUUUUACGUGCUUUCAUUGGACGAUUUGUGGUAGUUUACUUUGAUGACAUAUUGAUUUAUAGCAGAUCUUUGGAAGAACAUUUGGAACAUUUACGUGCUGUUUUUAUUGCUCUACGUGAUGCACGUUUGUUUGGUAACCUUGGGAAGUGCACCUUUUGCACCGACCGAGUAUCUUUUCUUGGCUAUGUUGUUACUCCACAGGGAAUUGAAGUUGAUAAAGAAGGAAGAAUGUGGAACAAGUUCGUCGUUAACGAUGGAUUUGUGUUUCGUGCUAACAAGCUAUGCAUUCCAGCUAGCUCCGUUCGUCUUUUGUUGUUGCAGGAGGCGCAUGGAGGAGGAUUAAUGGGACACUUUGGCGUGAAGAAGACGGAGGACGUACUUGCUACACAUUUCUUUUGGCCAAAGAUGAGACGGGAUGUUGAGCGUUUUAUUGCUCGAUGCACUACAUGUCAAAAAGCUAAGUCACGACUCAAUCCUCAUGGUUUAUAUAUGCCUUUGCCUGUACCUAGUGUUCCUUGGGAGGAUAUAUCUAUGGACUUUGUUUUAGGUUUACCUCGAACAAAGAAGGGGAGGGAUAGCAUAUUUGUUGUCGUGGAUAGAUUCUCAAAAAUGGCACACUUUAUACCAUGUCAUAAAAGCGAUGAUGCCGUUAAUGUUGCUGAUUUGUUCUUUCGUGAAAUUAUUCGCUUGCAUGGUGAGCCAAAUACUAUUGUUUCAGAUCGUGAUACUAAAUUUCUUAGCCACUUUUGGAGAUGUUUAUGGGCUAAGUUGGGGACUAAACUGCUUUUUAGUACUACUUGUCACCCCCAAACUGAUGGACAAACUGAAGUAGUCAAUAGAAUGUUGUCUACUAUGCUUAGGGCUGUUUUGAAGAAUAAUAAGAAAAUGUGGGAGGAAUGCUUGCCUCAUAUUGAAUUUGCUUAUAAUCGUUCAUUGCAUUCUACUACUAAGAUGUGCCCUUUUGAAGUUGUGUAUGGUUUCCUACCUCGUGCACCUAUUGAUUUGUUGCCUCUUCCAUCUUCGGAGAAGGUUAAUUUUGAUGCUAAACAACGUGCUGAAUUGAUUUUAAAAAUGCAUGAGUUAACUAAGGAAAACAUUGAGCGUAUGAAUGCUAAAUAUAAACUUGCUGGAGAUAAGGGUAGAAAACAUGUUGUGUUUGCACCUGGAGAUCUUAUUUGGUUACGUUUGCGUAAGGAUAGAUUUCCUGAUUUGCGCAAAUCAAAGCUAAUGCCACGUGCUGAUGGUCCCUUUAAGGUGUUAGAGAAAAUAAAUGAUAAUGCAUAUAAACUUGAGCUGCCUGCAGAUUUUGGGGUUAGUCCCACUUUUAACAUUGCAGAUUUGAAGCCUUAUUUGGGUGAGGAAGAUGAGUUUCCGUCGAGGAUGACUUCAUUUCAAGAAGGGGAGGAUGAUGAGGACAUCAAUACAAUUGUUACACCCACAGCCCCUACUGCUACAUAUACGGGACCAAUUACUAGAGCUCGCGCACGCCAAUUAAAUUAUCAGGUACUUUCGUUUCUUGGUAAUGAUUCUAAUGUUCAUGAGAAUAUGAUGCUGCCUAAAUUGGAUACAUUUGUUUUGCUUACAAAUGAAGGGCCUAGCUUGGAGAAGGAUGAACAUUGGAACAAGAACAAGCAUGGAGAUGAUGCCAUGCGCAAGGGGAACAAGAACGGAGUUACAAGUGAUGAUUUCAGGACUUUGAAGCCACCAUAAUGGGUGCAUGAAGCCUUGGAUGAAAUAUACAAGAUGCCACUUCAUAAAUUUCGUCCCAAGGCUAUUAUAGGUGCUGCGUCACCUUUUUAUUGGGCCAGGCCCAUGUAAUUUCGAAAUACAUAGGUAUAAGCUAUUUUUAGAGUCCGUAUGUGUGGGGAAACAAGAGAUAGGGUUGAUUUCGGACCCCUCCACCAAGGGCCACGAAAUUCCCCCUCUCUUCCUCCAUAUAUACAGCCCUUAGGGCACAGUUUAGACUUUGGGUUUUGUUUAGAUUAAAGUUCGCCAUAGCUGCAACUUCGCGUACUUCGUUUGUGUUCAACGACCAGACAAAGGCGUCACAGAACCCCACCUUGAUCAAUAAAGCUUUCAUCUUAUAUUCGUAAUAUCCAGAUUGCAAUCUCAGUUUCUUGCUUGUUCUUCGUUUGCUUGCAGGAAACAGACCCUCGUGGUCAGGUUGAUCGUGCUCCGGCGUGGUCAAUAACCUCUCGGAGUUGGUUUAGCGAUUGCUAAGGCGCGACGUCCUCGCACGUUCGUAGUCGGAUCAUCAAAGUCGACUGCCACCAAAGCGAUAUCCAUCAUCUCAUCGAAAACGGGACACCUUUGCCUCUAUCAGCUGCUUGCAAUUGAAGUGUCUAGCAUGGACAAGAAGGUUGAACAUUGGAGCAUGGUCAAGCACGGAGAUGAAGGUGCAUGCGAACAGAACAAGAACGGAGGUUCAAGUGGAGAUUUCCGGACUUUGAAGCCACAAUGAUGACAUACAAGAUGGUGGACUAAAUAUACAAGAUGGCCUUUCAUAAAUUUCUUCCAUAGCUUAUUAUUGGUGUUGCGCCACCUUAUUUUGGGCCAGGCCCAUGUAAUCUAUUUUUAGAGUCCAUAUUAUAGGGAAAACGACUUAGGAGGUGUUUUAGUCCCACCUUGCCAAGGGUGGACAAAAUCCCCUCUCUUUUCCCUAUAAAUAUAGCCCUUAAGGGAUCGUUUAGACUUGGGUUUUAUUUAGUUAAAAGUUAGCCAUCGCUGCAACUUCGUGUACUUCGUUUGUGUCCAAUGACCAGACCAAGACCGCUUAUGAAACCCCACUUUUAUCAAUACUUCAUCCAUACUCGCAAUAUUCAGAUUGCUUAAUCAUAUUAUUGCUUGUUCUUCGAUUGCUUGCAGGAAUAGACCUUCGUGGUCAGGUUGAUCGUGCUCCAGCGUGGUCAAUAACCUCCCGGAGUUGGUUUAGCGAUUGCUAAGGCGCAACGUCGUGCACGUUUGUAGUCGGAUCGUCAAAGUCGUCUCCACCAAAUCGAUAGUUAUCAUCGCAUCGAAAGAUCGGGACCCUCGCCUCUAUCAAGUGGUAUUAGUUUUCAGGUUGCUUGGUGAGAUUUUCCAGUUUUUCAUAGUUAGGUUGCAUCUGUUCUUCAUACCUAGAGUCCAAGAAAAAGCCACAAAAAAAAGAGAGUUAGAUUAGUUCAUCCGUAUCCCAGACAGUCUGAGCCUUUCACUAUUAUCACUUAGUUUUUGCAUGGUUGAAAUUUUGGUUGCAUCGUGUGUCGAGUUGCUGGUUUUUAGUGUCUAGACUUUUAGAGUUUCGGGUUCUAGUCACGUUUUGUUCACGCUGUCACCACAACCACCAUCGUCCAGUUCCUUGUCAUCAUCCGCUGCCACUUAUUUUGUUCACCGCCACCACCACCAUCAAUCCAUUAUCAUUGUUCAUCGCUGUCUUGGAGCAUCAUUCGUCUCGUGGAGAGAAAAAGUUGAGGAAAGAUCCUACAAGAAAGAGAAAGCAGAUUCGUUUUGCAAGUAGAGACCGAAGCCAAAAAAAAGGUUAGGUGCACACAUCCAUCGCUGGUUGCAAUCUCUCACGGUUUCUUUAAAAAAAUUGGAAGAAGCGAGAGAAAGCUCGGAUCGGUUGGAAAGGAAAGAGACCGAAUCAGUUAGGAAAAAAACGAGGAGCAGAUCGGUUGGGAUUGGGACGUGAUUCCCUCCCACGUUGGUUGGGUUAUUUGGAAAGUACUAGUCAGCCACGUUGGAUUUUGGGAAGUAAAAAAAAAGAGUGCCCAUCUGAUUCUUUGGAAGUUUUAGGGGUAGAUCUGUUUGGAAAAUUUAGUACUGCCCCGUACGAGAAUUCUAGCAUUGGGUUUCUCUCUAUUUAAAGAGGGACGUGGCUUGCUUUGGAAAGUGUGUUCAGCGCAAAGAAAAAAAAGUUGGAAGGGAAUAGAAUUGAGAGAGAAAAAGUUUCUGCCAUUAAUUGAUCCGAUUUUUGUGCUACUGGUUGUUUGGAAGGCCACGUUCGGUCCUUAAGAAGGCAAGUCGAAUCAGCCAAAAAAAAGGAGAUAACGUGAGGAGUUUGGAAGGUUUUGUGUGUGGGAGAAAAAAAGGUGAUUCUGACCGGCCAAAAAAACAGAAUUUGGAAAUUAAAGAUUGGAUCGGCCUCCAAUGCUAUUUUUUUUGGUUAGUAACGUGGUGGUGCAGGUUUUGGAAUCGUCAUUUAUUGUGAGGAAUUAUUUUUGGACGUUGCCAAAAGAGAUAAGGAAAAGAUUAAAAAAAGGCAAGUGCCAAUCGGUUUGGUUGGUGGCCGUUUUUGGGGCAAUUUUCUUUAAAAAAAGGGAAAGAAGGAAGGAAGGAAGGAAGGACGUGCGUUGUGCCUACUAAUUGGAAAGUAAAAAAAACAGAUCGGCCAACACAACGAGAAAAGGGAUCAGCCAAUAAAGAGAAGAGAUCAGCCAAUAAAGGAAGGGGAUAACGUGGAUGUUUUCUUUGGAAGUUUUGGGAUAGGAGACAUUAAAGUGCUGCGUGCUCAUCUUUUGGAAGGAUUCAAAAAGGAAAUCAGAGAAUAGGAAGAAAAAGAAAAGGAACUGGAUAGUGAAAAAAAAAGAAGAGCAAUCACGUUUGUUCGGUAGUACUUGGAAAUUGUUUAUCGGGCAAAAAAAGAAGUUGCACGUGAGGGAGAAAGACAUUGAGGCAGAAACAAAAGAAAAGAGAGAUUAGCCACAUACCAAAUAUUUGCAAAAAUCAUACAUACUUGUAGUAUUGCUUGUUUGGCUUGUUGCUACGUUGCUCAUAUUUUUUUGUUGCAACUUGAGUACUUGGUUGCCAGGGCACGUGAAUUUCAUUUGUGUCUUAGGCUCGCGUCUCUAGCACGGUCUAGCCUAGGAUCAGCACUCGACCACUUUGAACGAAUUUUCAGAUUGCACUAAUUAACGUGGUUGUAGCAUUUUUUUUCCACAUAUAUAAAUCCAACCCAGCUCCACAUAUUUCUACACCGUCUAUCCAUACGUUCACCUAGCAAUCGCUUUACCCAACUUCUGGAGUUACUUGACACCGCUGGUUGCCGAUCACCGCCUGCUGCAUGGUAAGACAUUGUAAGACAUUGAUAUUUGCUUUACUGUGAGCGUUUUACUACCACAUCCUAGUAGUUAUAGGAACAUUAUUUUUGGAUUUUGUUUCUUGUUUCUACUAAUCAUGACAGGAUCUAGAGUCAAUCCAUGGGCUUUGUCGAUCGCGGGAGACGUGCCACCACCUAUGCAAAUUCCACAACGAUCACAAGAGGUGCAUAAACAUCCAAAUGCACAUGAUCAAGUUAAUGUUUCUAUACCAUCAUUUAAUGGCCGUUUUAGACCUGCUUUAUAUAUUGAAUGGGAGUUCGACAUAAAUAUUAUAUUUGCUUCCCAUAAUUUUGAUGAACAUAAAAAAGUUAAGGUUGCGGUUGGUUCUUUCACUGGUUAUGCUUUAGUUUGGUGGAGUGAAUAUUGUCGGUUACACCCUGAUUAUAUACCUAUUACUUGGGAUGAUUUGAAACUUGCCAUGCGACAUACAUUCGUCCCCGCUUAUUAUACUCGUGACAUGAUUAAAAAGUUGCAACAUUUAAAACAAGGUAGUGACACUGUAAUGAAAUAUUAUGAUGAUUUACAAACUACCUUGUUGCAUUCCUCUUUAGAAGAAAGUGAAGAAGAAUUUAUGGAUAGAUUUUGGGGAGGAUUAAACCGUGACAUUCAGGAGAUACUAAUUCAUGAAACAUGUUAUCCUAUGGACCGUUUGUUUCGUCUUGCUUGCAAAGCUGAACAGGAGAUAACAAGACGUGUUGCCCACAAGAUAAACAAGCGGAAGGUGCAAAUCCCACGAGUUGCGACGGUUGUUCCUUCCACCACUGCGUCUCCUAUGGCAACAACAUCCAUUGUUGAGAGCACUACAUCACCUCCACCAUGUGACAUAUCGCCACCUAGAGUGCCUACAUCAUCUUUGUUGAUCAUAAGAGGUAAUGACAAAGGUACCGAUCUUCCACCUCCACAUGAGUAUGAUGAAUGCCUUGUCAAUUUAAAUGAAGCAUGCGAUGAGCUACCCACUACUUUGAUCACACCAGCUAUUUUAGAGGACUAUGUUCAUGAUUUGACUUUGCCAUGUGAUCAAACAAUUUUGAGUGAACCCAUUGAAUUAACAAUUGAUGCAAAAGAACCAUGUGAAUCAGUGAAAAGAUCAGAUUUGGAUCAAAUACGUUUGAAAAUAGUUGUGCCAAUGUUUAAUCAUUUUGAUAUGACCUCUAAUCUUGGUGAUUGUUCAUCAAGGUUGGGAUAGUUUAAUGGUAAGCAUUGUCAAUCUUUUGAUAUGAAUAAGAGCUUCACUUAUAUGUGCAAACUGAGUUGCAAUUUUUUCAUGCCUUUGACUUCUUGCGAUAAUAUAUUGGCUUUAUAUUUCACGACUUUUGAAGGGUGCUCUUGUAUAACUAUGUCACAUGUGCCCCAACUGAGAUCAGUGAAAAUGGACGACAUAUACAUAUACAACGUGUACACCUUGUCUCUUUUGUUAGCCAGAUUUCAGAUUAAGAAACGCCGAGGACGGCUUUGUUUUCAAGAAGGGGAGGAUGAUGAGGACAUGGCUACCACAGUUAAACCCAUAUCCCCUACUGUUUUACCUCUUGGAACAGUUGCUAGAGCUCAGAUACGCCAAUUAAAUUAUUAGGUACUUCCGUUUCUUGGUAAUGUUUCUAAUGUUCAUGAGAAUAUGAUGCUGCCUAACUUAGAUACAUUUGUGCUGCUUGCAAUUGAAGUGUCUAGCAUGGACAAGAAGGUUGAACAUUGGAGCAUGGUCAUGAUAGAGGCGGGGGUGUCCCGAUCUUUCGAUGAGAUGAUAACUAUCGAUUUGGUGGAGACGACUUUGACGAUCUGACUACAAACGUGCACGACGUUGCGCCUUAGCAAUCGCUAAACCAAUCUCCUGAGGUUACUGACGAUGCCGAAAGCAGGGUCAGCCUGACCACGAAGGUCUAUUCCUGCAAGCAAUCGAAGAACGAGCAAGAAUAUGAUAAAGCAAUCUGAAUAUUGCAAAUAUAUAUGAGGUAUUGAUAAUGGUGGGGAUCCGGAAGCGGUCUUGGUCUGGUCGUUGGACACAAACGAAGUACACGAAGUUGCAAUGGCUAACUUUUAACUAAACAAAUCCCAAGGAAAAGCUACUAGAUGGAUCUACUUAUAUAGGAGCAAGGGGUGGCGGCCAAGGAGGUGGGAGGACGUCCCAAGGCAGCCUAAAACUAAAUCUAGGUCGUACAAGGCCAAUGGGCCCAAGUGGAGGUGAUGUAACACCUUUGGACUUGUAGUUUGACUCGGAUUCUGCUGCAGCAUCAGAUUGUUUCGUCCACAACUCAAUGCUCCGGACGAAUUUGAAGGUGAUUCCAAUUGGGUUGGAAAGUGCACGAAAUCUAGUUUCCAACAAAAAAAGAAUCACCCAAUUCGGAGUCCGUAUGAAAAACUUGUGUGUGUUUUGAGUCAGGUAUGUCUGUGCAGUCCGAAUCUGAAUCCAGAACGUGAGAGACUUGGACUCUAUCUUCUCUUGGGCCAAAAGUGACGUGAGAGAACUUUUUGGACAGCAAAUAAACAUCUCUUUCUUCCUUAUCUUCACAUGUGGAUUAUACAAAUGUCCCAUACACCUGCAAUUAGACAAAACACAAAAGUGUGUGAAGUAUUUUUGUUCUGGAUAACAUAAAUAGAUUAUUGAAUAGUUUGCACUAGAAAUCACUUGACAAAUAUGCAUAUAUGCAAUAUUUUUGGUCAUAUCCAAGGUAGUCAUGUCCUCAUCAGGUCAAGCACGGAGAUGAAGGUGCGUGCGAACAGAACAAGAACGGAGGUUCAAGUGGAGAUUUCCGGACUUUGAAGCCACCAUGAUGACAUACAAGAUGGUGGACGAAAUAUACAAGAUGGCCUUUCAUAAAUUUCGUCCAUAGCUUAUUAUUGGUGUUGCGCCACCUUAUUUUGGGCCAGGCCCAUGUAAUCUAUUUUUAGAGUCCAUAUUGUAGGGAAAACGACUUAGGAGGUGUUUUAGUCCCACCUUGCCAAGGGUGGACAAAAUCCCCUCUCUUUUCCCUAUAAAUAUAGCCCUUAAGGCAUCGUUUAGACUUGGGUCUUAUUUAGUUAAAAGUUAGCCAUCGCUGCAACUUCGUGUACUUCGUUUGUGUCCAACGACCAGGCCAAGACCACUUAUGAAACCCCACUUUUAUCAAUACUUCAUCCAUACUCGCAAUAUUCAGAUUGCUUAAUCAUAUUCUUGCUUGUUCUUUGAUUGCUUGCAGGAAUAGGCCUUCGUGGUCAGGUUGAUCGUGCUCCAGCGUGGUCAAUAACCUCCCGGAGUUGGUUUAGCGAUUGCUAAGGCGCAACGUCGUGCACGUUUGUAGUCGGAUCGUCAAAGUCGUCUCCACCAAAUCGAUAGUUAUCAUCUCAUCGAAAGAUCGGGACCCUCGCCUCUAUCAUGUUGCGUGAUGCUCAGUUAUAUGGUAAUCCUGAUAAGUGCACAUUUUGAAAAGCUAAGGUCAUAUUUCUCGGAUAUGUUGUUUCUAAGCAUGGAGUUGAGGUAGAUGAAUCAAAAAUAGAAGCUAUUAAAAAUUGGCCUACUCCUCCGAAUCUUAGUCAAGUACGAAGCUUUCACGGUCUUGCUGGUUUCUGUAGAUGUUUUGUGAAAGAUUUCAGUACUAUUGCUGCACCUUCGAAUGAGCUCACAAAAAAAGGUGUUGAUUUUGUGUGGGGCACAGCCCAAUAUAAUGCUUUUAAUGAGCUGAAACGUCGUUUGACUGCUGCACCUUUGCUUAUACUUCCUGAUUUCACUAAACAAUUUGAGAUUGAAUGUGAUGCUAGUGGAAUUGGUAUUGGAGGUGUUGAUGCAAGAGGGUAAACCGAUUGUAUAUUUUUCUGAAAAACUUAAUGGUGCACAAUUGAACUAUCCUGUUUAUGAUAAAGAAUUGUAUGCUCUAGUUCGUGUCCUUGAGGUUUGGCAACAUUAUUUAUGGCCAAAAGAAUUUAUCAUACAUUCUGAUCAUGAGGCUCUGAAAUAUUUGAAAAGCCAAUCCAAUUUGAACAAACGUCAUGCAAAAUGGGUUGAAUUUAUUGAAUCUUUCCCAUACAUCAUUAAAUACAAAAAGGGUAAAGAUAAUGUUGUUGCUGAUGCUCUUUCUAGGAAAAACAUGUUGUUGACACAAUUGGAUGUUCAAGUUCCUGGUUUAGAGAGUUUGCAUGAUUUAUAUGCCACUGAUCUUGAUUUUUCAGCACCAUAUAAAUUGUGUUCAGAUGUAAAAGCAUGGGAAAAAUAUCACAUACAUGAUGGCUAUUUGUUUAGAGCUAACAAACUAUGUGUUCCAGAAUCGUCCGUGCAUUUGCUAUUGUUGCAGGAAUCACAUGCCGGCGGUUUGAUGGGUCAUUUUGGACGUGAGAAGACUUUGCUUAUGCUCGCUGAUCACUUUUAUUGGCCUAAGAUGAGGCGUGAUGUGGACAGAUUUGUGAAGCGUUGCAUUACUUGUAAUAAGGCAAAGUCUAAGCUGAAACCUCACGGUUUGUAUACUCCUCUCCCUGCUCCUACUACACCAUGGGAAGACAUAAGCAUGGACUUUGUGUUAGGAUUGCCGAGGACCAGGAGAGGACAUGAUUCAAUUUUUGUGGUAGUUGAUCGUUUUUCUAAGAUGGCACAUUUUAUUGCCUGCCACAAAAGCGACGAUGCGUCGCACAUUGCUACUCUGUUUUUCAGGGACAUCGUGCGCUUACAUGGAGUACCAAAGACGAUUGUUUCUGAUCGUGACGUGAAGUUUAUGAGCUAUUUCUGGAAGACACUUUGGGGGAAAGCUGGGGACAAAGUUACUAUUCAGCACUACUUGUCAUCCCCAAACAGAUGGGCAAACAGAGGUGGUCAAUCGCACACUAUCCACGUUGUUGCGAUCCAUGAUAAAGAAGAACCUGCGUGAAUGGGAGGAGUGUUUACCGCAUGUGGAGUUUGCAUAUAACAGGGCGGUACAUUCCACAACUCAGUUCUGUCCAUUUGAGGUGGUCUAUAGUUUUAAGCCAAUUACACCACUUGAUUUGCUGCCCCUUCCAAUUCAAGAGAGAGUGAACAUGGAUGCAUCCAAGAGGGCAGAUUUUGUGAGGACGAUACACGAGAAGACCAAAGAAGCCAUUGAAAAGAAGGGCAAGUACACGGCUGAUCGUGUUAAUAAGAAGAGAAAGGAGGUGUUGUUUCAGCCGGGCGACAUGGUGUGGGUACACUUGCGUAAAGAUAGAUUUCCUGAACGAUGCAAGUCCAAGUUGAAACCAAGAGGUGAUGGACCAUAUAAAGUGCUUGCCAAGAUUAAUAAUAAUGCAUACAAAAUUGAUCUUCCAACUGAAGAGUUUGGCGUGAGUAAUAUGUUCAACGUCGCUGAUUUGACGCCAUAUACUGGAGAAGACCUUGGUGCAUCGCGGUCGACGCUUUUUCAAGGGGGGAGGAUGAUGAGGACAUCCCUACUCCUUUACCAUCAUUUUCAAAUAAAGAUGAUAUUGCACAAGACAAGUCCAAUGAAAUCAGAAUUGGACCAAUUACAAGAGCACGUGCAAAACUACUUGAACAAAAGGUGAAUUCACUCUUAGUUGAAUCUGACAUUUGUGUUAAUCAGAAUUUUAUACUGCCUAAGUCUUUGCAUAUUUGUAUGAUCAGAUUUGAAGGGAAGGCAAGCUUGUCACGUGGAGAUGAAGAAUUGUAGCAAGAAGAACUUCUACUGAUGUCUAGUAUCAGCAAGUGCACGAGGGAGGAGAGGGAGGCAGGUGCACAACAUAAACAGAAGGAAAAUCAGAACCGGACUCGGAUUGACAGCCAGGAGGCCCACAAUUGAUAUACGUGCAGAAUCCGUGUCCGUGCUCCAAAUAAGGCGUUUAAAUACAAUUUGAAAAGCUUGACUCGUGUGCUUUCCAAAUUGUAUACUCGCAGCCCGCGAUUCGCGGUGAACGAGUCGCAGUCACCAAAACAAUACGGCGGUUGUUCCUGCCAGUUUUUCCAGAUAGAUUCAUUUAAGUUAGGAAAGUUAGAGAUAAGUUGGAUUUCGACCUCAACACUAUGUUGGACGUCCAGGGGUCUUUAUAUACCCUUGUAAGUCGUGGCUUUUAGGGUUAGACCAUGUUUUGAUUAAACUUAUAUCAAACUGAAUUGCUUUAAGCAUUCUUGUGUACUCAUAUUCCUCUUUGCAUCGAUCAGGAAUAUUUACCUACACCAAAUUUGUUUCGAUAAGGUGUAUUUGCUUCUGAAAGUCAAGUGCUAUCUGUCGUUCCACUGGGAAUUGGGAGAUUGCAGAACCACUUCGUGGUCGGCGGCUACGUGGGCAAGUGUGUGGUGUUGCGAAUAUCCAUAGGGUUGAAGAUCUGUUGUGAUGAGGACAUCAAUACAAUUAUUACACCCACAGCCCCUGCUGCUAUACAUACUGGACCAAUUACUAGAGCUCGUGCACGCCAACUAAAUUACCAGGUACUUUCGUUUCUUGGUAAUGAUUCUAAUGUUCAUGAGAAUAUGAUGCUGCCUGAAUUGGAUACAUUUGUUUUGCUUACAAAUGAAGGGCCUAGCUUGGAGAAGGAUGAACAUUGGAGCAAGAACAAGCAUGGAGAUGAUGGCAUGCGCAAGGGGAACAAUAACGGAGUUACAAGUGAUGAUUUCAGGACUUUGAAGCCACCAUAAUGGGUGCAUGAAGCCUUGGACGAAAUAUACAAGAUGCCACUUUAUAAAUUUCGUCCCGAGGCUAUUUUAGGUGCUGCGUCACCUUAUUAUUGGGCCAGGCCCAUGUAAUUUCGAAAUACAUAAGUAUAGGCUAUUUUUAGAGUCCGUAUGUGUGGGGAAACAAGAGAUAGGGUUGAUUUCGGACCCCUCCACCAAGGGCCACGAAAUUCCCCCCUCUUCCUCCAUAUAUACAGCCCUUAGGGCAUCGUUUAGACUUUGGGUUUUGUUUAGAUUAGAAGUUCGCCAUAGCUGCAACUUCGCGUACUUCGUUUGUGUUCAACGACCAGACAAAGGCGUCACAGAACCCCACCUUGAUCAAUAAAGCUUUCAUCUUAUAUUCGCAAUAUCCAGAUUGCAAUCUCAGUUUCUUGCUUGUUCUUCGUUUGCUCGCAGGAAACAGACCCUCGUGGUCAGGUUGAUCGUGCUCCGGCGUGGUCAAUAACCUCUCGGAGUUGGUUUAGCGAUUGCUAAGGCGCGACGUCCUCGCACGUUCGUAGUCGGAUCGUCAAAGUCGACUUCCACCAAAGCGAAAUCCACCAUCUCAUCGAAAGACGGGACACCUUUGCCUCUAUCAAGUGGUAUCAGAUUUCCAGGUUGCUCGGUGAGAUUUUACAGUUUUUCGUAGUUUAGAUCGAGUCUGUUCUUCAUACCUACAGUCCACGAAAAAGCCAAAAAGAAAAUUAGGGUUAGUUUAUCAUAUCCGAACCAAUCUGAGCCUUUGCAUAAUCUUUUUAGGGUUUUGCUUUGUUGAAUUUGCGGUUGCAUCGUCGUGUCUAGUUGCUGGUCUUAGCGUUAGUCUUUUAGAGUUUCGAGUUCUGGUCAUAAGUUGUCACGCCGCCGCCGCUCCAUCAUCAUCACCCCUGCCAUCUACCACCACCGCUUAUCCGCCACCGCUUCGAAUCCGUAUCCAUAUACCACCACAGCUGUCAUAUACCACCACCGCUGCCAUCUACCACCAUAUAUCCACCACCAAUCCGAGUUCUUGUCAUAUUAGGUUUGUUUUCGAGAUCCAUCUAGAUUCCGAUUCGUCUUUCCUUGCCGGAGUCGGGGAACCACGCUCCGUUUAGGCCCAAAAUUUUUCGAAAACACAUUUUUCGAAAAAAAUUCUGGCUAUCCUAUUUUUAGGUGUUUCUGAGUGUUUUGAGACAGGUGCCAUUAUAGGAAGUUUUUUUGACCCGUUUCUAGUUUUUGGGUCCGGGCAGUCAAAAAAAAAAUGGUCGAAAAAAUUUCGUGCCCAUCCUGUCAGUUUGAGCUAGGAAGAGUUUUGAGACACUCGCCAUUAUAGUGAUUUUUCGCAAAAAAAAAGCAGCGCAAAAAAAAGAGCGCAAAAAAAGAGCGAAAAAAAAAUCCAGAGUGUGCUUUUCCCUUGUUUACGAGCCGCGUCGUGAUUUUGUUGGUGUUCUAGGCUCGCGUCUCUAGCACAGUCUAGCCUAGGACCAGCACAGUACCGUCGUUGAGCGUUUAUUCAACCUUGCAUCUCUGAAUUGAUUAUUGCUGACCCUUUUUGCUACCAUAUUAUAAGCCUUCCCAGCUCCACAUAUGAUGAGGACAUCAAUACCAUUGUUACACCCACAGGCCCUGCUGCUAUACAUACUGGACCAAUUACUAGAGCUCGCGCACGCCAACUAAAUUACCAGGUACUUUCGUUUCUUGGUAAUGAUUCUAAUGUUCAUGAGAAUAUGAUGCUGCCUAAAUUGGAUACAUUUGUUUUGCUUACAAAUGAAGGGCCUAGCUUGGAGAAGGAUGAACAUUGGAGCAAGAACAAGCAUGGAGAUGAUGCCAUGCGCAAGGGGAACAAGAACGGAGUUACAAGUGAUGAUUUCAGGACUUUGAAGCCACCAUAAUGGGUGCAUGAAGCCUUGGACGAAAUAUACAAGAUGCCACUUCAUAAAUUUCGUCCCGAGGCUAUUUUAGGUGCUGCGUCACCUUAUUAUUGGGCCAGGCCCAUGUAAUUUCGAAAUACAUAAGUAUAGGCUAUUUUUAGAGUCCGUAUGUGUGGGGAAACAAGAGAUAGGGUUGAUUUCGCACCCCUCCACCAAGGGCCACGAAAUUCCCCCCUCUUCCUCCAUAUAUACAGCCCUUAGGGCAUCGUUUAGACUUUGGGUUUUGUUUAGAUUAAAAGUUCGCCAUAGCUGCAACUUCGCGUACUUCGUUUGUGUUCAACGACCAGACAAAGGCGUCACAGAACCCCACCUUGAUCAAUAAAGCUUUCAUCUUAUAUUCGCAAUAUCCAGAUUGCAAUAUCAGUUUCUUGCUUGUUCUUCGUUUGCUCGCAGGAAACAGACCCUCGUGGUCAGGUUGAUCGUGCUCCGGCGUGGUCAAUAACCUCUCGGAGUUGGUUUAGCGAUUGCUAAGGCGCGACGUCCUCGCACGUUCGUAGUCGGAUCGUCAAAGUCGACUUCCACCAAAGCGAAAUCCACCAUCUCAUCGAAAGAUGGGACACCUUUGCCUCUAUCAAGUGGUAUCAGAUUUCCAGGUUGCUCGGUGAGAUUUUACAGUUUUUCGUAGUUUAGAUCGAGUCUGUUCUUCAUACCUACAGUCCACGAAAAAGCCACAAAAAAAAUUAGGGUUAGUUCAUCAUAUCCGAACCAAUCUGAGCCUUUGCAUAAUCUUUUUAGGGUUUUGCUUUGUUGAAUUUGCGGUUGCAUCGUCGUGUCUAGUUGCUGGUCUUAGAGUCUAGUCUUUUAGAGUUUCGAGUUCUGGUCAUAAGUUGUCACGCCGCCGCCGCACCAUCAUCAUCGCCCCUGCCAUCUACCACCACCGCUUAUCCGCCACCGCUCCGAAUCUGUAUCCAUAUACCACCACCAAUCCGUGUCCAUAUACCACCACCGAUCCAUAUCCAUAUACUACCACCGCUACCAGCACCGCUGCCAUAUACCACCACCAUAUAUCCACCACCAAUCCGAGUUCCUUGCGUAUUAGGUUUGUUUUCGGGAUCCAUCUAAUUUCCGAUUCGUGUUUCCUUGUUGGAGUAGGUUUCGAAUUCCAGCAAUCUUUUGCCGUCCGUAGAAGAGGUUGGUUUCCAAAAAAAAAAGUGUCCGGAAACCACCCUCCGUUUAGGCCCAAAAUUUUCGGAAAACGCACUUGACAAAAAAAUUUCUGGCUAUCCUAUUUUUAGGUGUUUCUAAGCGUAUUGAGACAGUCGCCGUUAUAGAAAGUUUUUUUGACCCGUUUCCAGUUUUUGGGUCCGGGCAGUCAAAAAAAAAUUUUUUUUUGGUCACAAAAAUUUCAUGCCCAUCCUGUCAGUUUGACCUUGAUGAGGACAUCAAUACCAUUGUUACACCCACAGGCCCUGCUGCUAUACAUACUGGACCAAUUACUAGAGCUCGCGCACGCCAACUAAAUUACCAGGUACUUUCGUUUCUUGGUAAUGAUUCUAAUGUUCAUGAGAAUAUGAUGCUGCCUAAAUUGGAUACAUUUGUUUUGCUUACAAAUGAAGGGCCUAGCUUGGAGAAGGAUGAACAUUGGAGCAAGAACAAGCAUGGAGAUGAUGGCAUGCGCAAGGGGAACAAGAACGGAGUUACAAGUGAUGAUUUCAGGACUUUGAAGCCACCAUAAUGGGUGCAUGAAGCCUUGGACGAAAUAUACAAGAUGCCACUUCAUAAAUUUCGUCCCGAGGCUAUUUUAGGUGCUGCGUCACCUUAUUAUUGGGCCAGGCCCAUGUAAUUUCGAAAUACAUAAGUAUAGGCUAUUUUUAGAAUCCGUAUGUGUGGGGAAACAAGAGAUAGGGUUGAUUUCGGACCCCUCCACCAAGGGCCACGAAAUUCCCCCCUCUUCCUCCAUAUAUACAGCCCUUAGGGCAUCGUUUAGACUUUGGGUUUUGUUUAGAUUAAAAGUUCGCCAUAGCUGCAACUUCGCGUACUUCGUUUGUGUUCAACGACCAGACAAAGGCGUCACAGAACCCCACCUUGAUCAAUAAAGCUUUCAUCUUAUAUUCGCAAUAUCCCGAUUGCAAUCUCAGUUUCUUGCUUGUUCUUCGUUUGCUCGCAGGAAACAGACCCUCGUGGUCAGGUUGAUCGUGCUCCGGCGUGGUCAAUAACCUCUCGGAGUUGGUUUAGCGAUUGCUAAGGCGCGACGUCCUCGCACGUUCGUAGUCGGAUCGUCAAAGUCGACUUCCACCAAAGCGAUAUCCAUCAUCUCAUCGAAAGAUGGGACACCUUUGCCUCUAUCAAGUGGUAUCAGAUUUCCAGGUUGCUCGGUGAGAUUUUACAGUUUUUCGUAGUUUAGAUCGAGUCUGUUCUUCAUACCUACAGUCCACGAAAAAGCCACAAAAAAAAUUUAGGGUUAGUUCAUCAUAUCCGAACCAAUCUGAGCCUUUGCAUAAUCUUUUUAGGGUUUUGCUUUGUUGAAUUUACGGUUGCAUCGUCGUGUCUAGUUGCUGGUCUUAGAGUCUAGUCUUUUAGAGUUUCGAGUUCUGGUCAUAAGUUGUCACGCCGCCGCCGCACCAUCAUCAUCGCCCCUGCCAUCUACCACCACCGCUUAUCCGCCACCGCUCCGAAUCCGUAUCCAUAUACCACCACCGAUCCAUAUCCAUAUACUACCACCGCUACCACCACCGCUGCCAUAUACCACCACCAUAUAUCCACCACCAAUCCGAGUUCCUUGCAUAUUAGGUUUGUUUUCGAGAUCCAUCUAGAUUCCGAUUCGUGUUUCCUUGCUGGAGUAGGUUUCGGAAAAAAAAAGAGUCGGGUAGCCACGCUCCGUUUAGGCCCAAAAUUUUUCGAAAACGCAUUUUUCGAAAAAUUUUCUAGCUAUCCUAUUUUUAGGUGUUUCUGAGUGUUUUGAGACAGGUGCCAUUAUAGGAAGUUUUUUUUUGACCCGUUUCCAGUUUUUGGGUCCGGGCAGUCAAAAAAAAAAAAAAUUGGUCGAAAAAAUUUCGUGCCCAUCCUGUCAGUUUGAGCUAAGAAGAGUUUUGAGACACUCGCCAUUAUAGUGAUUUUUCGCAAAAAAAAAAGCAGCGCAAAAAAAAAACGAGUGAAAAAAAAAUUCAGAGUGUGCUUUCCCUUGUUUACGUGCCGCGCCGUGAUUUUGUUGGUGUUCUAGGCUCGCGUCUCUAGCACAGUCUAGCCUAGGACCAGCACAGUACCGUCGUUGAGCGUUUAUUCAACUUUGCAUCUCUGAAUUGAUUAUUGCUGACCCUUUUUGCUACCAUACUAUAAGCCUUCCCAGCUCCACAUACAUCUACGUCGUGUGUUUGACUCUCCCUGGUAAUCGCUCUAUCCAAGCUUUGAGAGUUUUUGACUACAACGGUGGCCGAUCACCGCCUGCUGCUGGGUAAGAACUGGUAAGAAUUUGAGAUUUGCUUGACGGAUUUGUGAUACACCACCACCACUUCUUAGUAGUCUGUAGGAUCAUAUUCUUGUGUGUUUCUAUUGCUGCUAACCAUGCCAGGAUCACAAGCCGACGAGAUUGACUGGGAGAACUUAUCGAACAAGGAGCUUCAUGAUAAGUUUCAGCAAAUGAUGACUGAACAGGUGCAAGAUGUGCUGAACAAUUUUGAAGAGGCCAUGGAGAAGAUCACUGGCCUUGAGAAGACGUUCGAAACAAAGCUCGAUAACAGAUUUAAUGAAUUGCUCGCGCGUCUUCCACCACCACCACCCGCUGCACCUAACGCACCUCUCCAACAACAACAACAACGACUACCUCCACGUCGCGAAAUAGACCUUCGCCGAGCGAGCCGUGUUCCUCUUGCGUUUGGCCAAACUGUUGGUGCUGCUGUUGAUACUUCUAUGGCUCCUGCUACUGCUGUUGCUGGUACCCAGGAGGAUGAUGAGUAUGCGGGCGAUUAUGAGGAUGAGGUUGAUCAAAAUCAGAUCUACGAGCAGCCACCAGCACCACCACCAGCAGGUCGACCUCGGGUAUAUAUUCGUAAUGGUAGGCCUGCACCACCACCUCAGGUACGAGAUGAUGUCCAUAUUCCUAAACUGAAAUUGAAUAUUCCACCAUUUGAGGGUAGAUAUGUUCCUGAUAUAUAUCUUACUUGGGAGUUAGAAACUGAACAACGAUUUACAUGUUUACAAUAUCCUGAGGAGAGACGAGUUGCUGCUGCUGUUUGUGCUUUCACUAGUUUUGCAUGUGUAUGGUGGUCUGAACAUUGUAGAUUAUAUCCUAUUCCAACUACUUGGGCUGCUUUGAAAACUGCUAUGCGUACGCGUUGGGUUCCACCAUAUUAUCAACGUGAAUUGCUUAAAAAAUUGCAGCGUUUAAGACAAGGAAAAAAUUCUGUAGAAGAAUAUUAUCAGGAAUUACAAACUGGCAUGAUUAGAUGUGGUAUUGUUGAGGAGAAUGAAGCUAUGCUUGCACGUUUUCUGGGUGGAUUAAAUAGAGAGAUUCAGACCAUUCUAGACUAUAAGGAGUAUACUAAUAUCACUCGUUUAUUCCAUCUUGCUUGUAAAGCUGAACGUGAAGUGCAGGAUCGACAAGCAUUGGGGCGAACUAACUUUUCUGCAGGCCGACCUUCAUCAUGGACACCACGUGCAUCUUCUACUUCAACUGCACCAGCACCUCCAUCCGGUGCCACCUCCAGCCGUGAUACAAGAAAACAGGCACAACCACCAUUAUCUGCCAAGAGCACACCUGCGGGGCCUGCACAGCGUUCUUUUUCUUCCAUGGCAUCAACAGGGCACACAAGUGAUAUUAUUUGUCGUCGUUGUAAGGGAGGAGGUCAUUAUGCGAGGGAAUGCAAAUCUCCGCGUGUGAUGAUUGCUACUGCCGAUGGUGGAUAUGAGUCCGCUAGUGACUAUGAUGAGGAGACAUUGGCUCUUAUUACACGUGAAGAACAUGGUGGAGAUGAUUCUGAUCAUGAGACACAAUACAUGGCUCCUGAAGACGCUGACAGGUAUGAAUGUUUAGUUGCUCAACGUGUUUUGAGUGUGCAGGUCACACAAGCUGAGCAAAAUCAGAGGCACAAUUUGUUCCAUACCAAGGGAGUUGUGAAGGAACGUUCUGUGCGCGUCAUAAUAGACGGAGGGAGCUGCAACAACUUGGCUAGCAUGGAGAUGGUGGAGAAGCUUUCUCUCACCACAAGACCACAUCCACAUCCUUACUACAUCCAAUGGUUCAACAACAGCGGCAAGCUUAAGGUAACACGUACUGUUCGUGUGCAUUUUAGUAUCUCUACAUAUGUUGAUUAUGUUGAUUGUGAUGUGGUACCUAUGCAAGCAUGUUCCUUAUUACUUGGUAGACCAUGGCAAUUUGAUAAAAAUUCUGUACACCAUGGUAGAAACAAUCACUAUACUCUUGUUCAUAAGGAUAAAAAUAUUACUUUGCUUCCUAUGACUCCUGAUUCCAUUUUGAAAGAUGAUAUUAAUAGAGCUAAUAAAGCAAAACAGGAGACGAAUAAGAGUGAAAAUCAGAUUGUGGCAAAACAAUUUGAGCAACAAAUGAAGCCUAAUAAUAAACCAUCUAGUGUUGCUUCUGAAAUUAAAUUGAAAAGUGCAUGUUUAUUUGCCACCAAAUCUGAUAUUGAUGAGCUAGAUUUCAGCAAAUCUGUUUGCUAUGCUUUUGUGUGCAAAGAGGCAUUAUUUUCAUUCGAGGACGUGCCUUCCUCUUUGCCUCCUGCUGUCACUAACAUUUUGCAGGAGUUCGCUGACGUCUUUCCACAAGACGUGCCACCGGGAUUACCGCCUAUUCGAGGGAUUGAGCAUCAGAUUGAUUUAAUUCCCGGUGCUUCACUGCCAAACCGUGCACCAUACCGUACCAAUCCAGAGGAGACGAAGGAGAUUAUGCGUCAAGUACAAGAGCUUCUACACAAAGGUUAUAUACGCGAAUCCCUUAGUCCUUGUGCUGUUCCUAUUAUUCUAGUGCCGAAAAAGGAUGGUACAUCACGUAUGUGUGUUGAUUGUAGAGGCAUUAAUAAUAUUACUAUUCGUUAUCGUCAUCCUAUUCCUAGGCUAGAUGAUAUGCUUGAUGAAUUGAGUGGCUCUACAAUAUUCUCCAAAGUUGAUUUGCGUAGUGGAUACCAUCAAAUUCGUAUGAAAUUGGGAGAUGAAUGGAAAACAGCAUUUAAAACUAAGUUUGGAUUAUAUGAGUGGUUAGUCAUGCCUUUUGGGUUAACUAAUGCGCCUAGUACUUUCAUGAGACUAAUGAACGAAGUUUUACGUGCUUUCAUUGGACGAUUUGUGGUAGUCUAUUUUGAUGAUAUACUGAUUUAUAGCAGAUCUUUGGAAGAACAUUUGGAACAUUUACGUGCAGUUUUUAUUGCUCUACGUGAUGCACGUUUGUUUGGUAACCUUGGGAAGUGCACCUUUUGCACCGACCGAGUAUCUUUUCUUGGCUAUGUUGUUACUCCACAGGGAAUUGAAGUUGACAAAGCCAAGAUUGAAGCUAUUGAGAGUUGGCCGCCGCCCAAAACGGUCACACAAGUGAGGAGUUUUCUUGGCCUCGCUGGAUUCUAUAGGCGUUUUGUGAGAGAUUUCAGCAUCAUUGCUGCACCUCUCAACGAGCUUACAAAGAAGGAUGUGCCUUUUGUUUGGGGUACCGCACAGGAAGAAGCCUUCACGGUAUUGAAAGAUAAGUUGACACAUGCUCCUUUACUCCAACUUCCUGAUUUUAAUAAGACUUUUGAGCUUGAAUGUGAUGCUAGUGGAAUUGGAUUAGGAGGUGUGUUAUUACAAGAUGGCAAACCUGUUGCAUACUUUUCUGAAAAAUUGAGUGGGCCUAGUCUGAAUUAUUCUACUUAUGAUAAAGAAUUAUAUGCUCUUGUUUGGACUUUAGAAACAUGGCAACAUUAUUUAUGGCCCAAAGAAUUUGUUAUACAUUCUGAUCAUGAAUCUUUGAAACAUAUUAAAAGUCAAGCUAAACUGAAUCGUAGACAUGCUAAAUGGGUUGAAUUCAUUGAGACUUUCCCUUAUGUCAUUAAACACAAGAAGGGAAAAGAAAAUGUUAUUGCUGAUGCAUUGUCUCGUUGCUAUACUAUGCUUUCACAACUUGACUUCAAAAUAUUUGGUUUAGAGACCAUCAAAGAUCAAUAUGUGCAUGAUGCUGAUUUUAAAGAUGUAAUGCAGAAUUGUAAAGAAGGAAGAAUGUGGAACAAGUUUGUCGUUAACGAUGGAUUUGUGUUUCGUGCUAACAAGCUAUGCAUUCCAGCUAGCUCCGUUCGUCUUUUGUUGUUGCAGGAGGCGCAUGGAGGAGGAUUAAUGGGACACUUUGGCGUGAAGAAGACGGAGGACGUACUUGCUACACAUUUCUUUUGGCCAAAGAUGAGACGGGAUGUUGAGCGUUUUAUUGCUCAAUGCACUACAUGUCAAAAAGCUAAGUCACGACUCAAUCCUCAUGGUUUAUAUAUGCCUUUGCCUGUACCUAGUGUUCCUUGGGAGGAUAUAUCUAUGGACUUUGUUUUAGGUUUACCUCGAACAAAGAAGGGGAGGGAUAGCAUAUUUGUUGUCGUGGAUAGAUUCUCGAAAAUGGCACACUUUAUACCAUGUCAUAAAAGCGAUGAUGCUGUUAAUGUUGCUGAGUUGUUCUUUCGUGAAAUUAUUCGCUUGCAUGGUGUGCCAAAUACUAUUGUUUCAGAUCGUGAUACUAAAUUUCUUAGCCAUUUUUGGAGAUGUUUAUGGGCUAAGUUGGGGACUAAACUGCUUUUUAGUACUACUUGUCACCCCCAAACUGAUGGACAAACUGAAGUAGUCAAUAGAACGUUGUCUACUAUGCUUAGGGCUGUUUUGAAGAAUAAUAAGAAAAUGUGGGAGGAAUGUUUGCCUCAUAUUGAAUUUGCUUAUAAUCGUUCAUUGCAUUCUACUACUAAGAUGUGCCCUAUUGAUUUGUUGCCUCUUCCAUCUUCGGAGAAGGUUAAUUUUGAUGCUAAACAACGUGCUGAAUUGAUUUUAAAAAUGCAUGAGUUAACUAAGGAAAACAUUGAGCGUAUGAAUGCUAAAUAUAAACUUGCUGGAGAUAAGGGUAGAAAACAUGUUGUGUUUGCACCUGGAGAUCUUGUUUGGUUACAUUUGCGUAAGGAUAGAUUUCCUGAUUUGCGAAAAUCAAAGUUAAUGCCACGUGGUGAUGGUCCCUUUAAGGUGUUAGAGAAAAUAAAUGAUAAUGCAUAUAAACUUGAGUUGCCUGCAGAUUUUGGGGUUAGUCCCACUUUUAACAUUGCAGAUUUGAAGCCUUAUUUGGGUGAGGAAGAUGAACUUCCGUCGAGGACGACUUCAUUUCAAGAAGGGGAGGAUGAUGAGGACAUCAAUACAAUUGUUACACCCACAGCCCCUGCUGCUAUACAUACUGGACCAAUUACUAGAGCUCGUGCACGCCAACUAAAUUACCAGGUACUUUCGUUUCUUGGUAAUGAUUCUAAUGUUCAUGAGAAUAUGAUGCUGCCUGAAUUGGAUACAUUUGUUUUGCUUACAAAUGAAGGGCCUAGCUUGGAGAAGGAUGAACAUUGGAGCAAGAACAAGCAUGGAGAUGAUGGCAUGCGCAAGGGGAACAAUAACGGAGUUACAAGUGAUGAUUUCAGGACUUUGAAGCCACCAUAAUGGGUGCAUGAAGCCUUGGACGAAAUAUACAAGAUGCCACUUUAUAAAUUUCGUCCCGAGGCUAUUUUAGGUGCUGCGUCACCUUAUUAUUGGGCCAGGCCCAUGUAAUUUCGAAAUACAUAAGUAUAGGCUAUUUUUAGAGUCCGUAUGUGUGGGGAAACAAGAGAUAGGGUUGAUUUCGGACCCCUCCACCAAGGGCCACGAAAUUCCCCCCUCUUCCUCCAUAUAUACAGCCCUUAGGGCAUCGUUUAGACUUUGGGUUUUGUUUAGAUUAGAAGUUCGCCAUAGCUGCAACUUCGCGUACUUCGUUUGUGUUCAACGACCAGACAAAGGCGUCACAGAACCCCACCUUGAUCAAUAAAGCUUUCAUCUUAUAUUCGCAAUAUCCAGAUUGCAAUCUCAGUUUCUUGCUUGUUCUUCGUUUGCUCGCAGGAAACAGACCCUCGUGGUCAGGUUGAUCGUGCUCCGGCGUGGUCAAUAACCUCUCGGAGUUGGUUUAGCGAUUGCUAAGGCGCGACGUCCUCGCACGUUCGUAGUCGGAUCGUCAAAGUCGACUUCCACCAAAGCGAAAUCCACUAUCUCAUCGAAAGACGGGACACCUUUGCCUCUAUCAAGAAGCUUUCUCUCACCACAAGACCACAUCCACAUCCUUACUACAUCCAAUGGUUCAACAACAGCGGCAAGGUUAAGGUAACACGUACUGUUCGUGUGCAUUUUAGUAUCUCUACAUAUGCUGAUUAUGUUGAUUGUGAUGUGGUACCUAUGCAAGCAUGUUCCUUAUUACUUGGUAGACCAUGGCAAUUUGAUAAAAAUUCUGUACACCAUGGUAGAAACAAUCACUAUACUCUUGUUCAUAAGGAUAAAAAUAUUACUUUGCUUCCUAUGACUCCUGAUUCCAUUUUGAAAGAUGAUAUUAAUAGAGCUAAUAAAGCAAAACAGGAGACGAAUAAGAGUGAAAAUAAGAUUGUGGCAAAAGAAUUUGAGCAACAAAUGAAACCUAAUAAUAAACCAUCUAGUGUGAUGAGGACAUCAAUACAAUUGUUACACCCACAGCCCCUGCUGCUAUACAUACUGGACCAAUUACUAGAGCUCGUGCACGCCAACUAAAUUACCAGGUACUUUCGUUUCUUGGUAAUGAUUCUAAUGUUCAUGAGAAUAUGAUGCUGCCUAAAUUGGAUACAUUUGUUUUGCUUACAAAUGAAGGGCCUAGCUUGGAGACGGAUGAACAUUGGAGCAAGAACAAGCAUGGAGAUGAUGGCAUGCGCAAGGGGAACAAGAACGGAGUUACAAGUGAUGAUUUCAGGACUUUGAAGCCACCAUAAUGGGUGCAUGAAGCCUUGGACGAAAUAUACAAGAUGCCACUUCAUAAAUUUCGUCCCGAGGCUAUUUUAGGUGCUGCGUCACCUUAUUAUUGGGCCAGGCCCAUGUAAUUUCGAAAUACAUAAGUAUAGGCUAUUUUUAGAGUCCGUAUGUGUGGGGAAACAAGAGAUAGGGUUGAUUUUGGACUCCUCCACCAAGGGCCACGAAAUUCCCCCCUCUUCCUCCAUAUAUACAGCCCUUAGGGCAUCGUUUAGACUUUGGGUUUUGUUUAGAUUAAAAGUUCGCCAUAGCUGCAACUUCGCGUACUUCGUUUGUGUUCAACGACCAGACAAAGGCGUCACAGAACCCCACCUUGAUCAAUAAAGCUUUCAUCUUAUAUUCGCAAUAUCCAGAUUGCAAUCUUAGUUUCUUGCUUGUUCUUCGUUUGCUCGCAGGAAACAGACCCUCGUGGUCAGGUUGAUCGUGCUCCGGCGUGGUCAAUAACCUCUCGGAGUUGGUUUAGCGAUUGCUAAGGCGCGACGUCCUCGCACGUUCGUAGUCGGAUCGUCAAAGUCGACUUCCACCAAAGCGAAAUCCACCAUCUCAUCGAAAGACGGGACACCUCCGCCUCUAUCAUGUUGCAUUGGCAACGGGGGAACAGCCGGAGAGUUCGAGAGCAUCUCACAAGUUAUCCUGCAAGUUCAACAUCGACAUCCUUUGCUCACUGAGAAGAUCGGGCCACCCCUUAUCACAUAGCUUACUUUAGUGAAAAACUUUCUGGAGCGCAACUCAAUUAUCCCAUCUAUGACAAAGAGCUAUGUGCUUUAGUCCGCGUUUUGCAUGAAUGGGAACACUACCUUCGUCCCCAUGAGUUUAUCAUUCAUACCGAUCAUGACACUCUCAAGUAUCUUAAGGGACAAACUAAGUUGAACAAGCGUCAUGCUAAAUGGAGUGAAUUUAUUGAGUCUUUUCCCUAUGUCAUCAAGUACAUCAAGAGUAAAGAAAACAUAGUAGUGGAUGCUCUUUCCCGCAUUUGCAUGCUUGUCAUGCAACUUGAGCUAGAUGUCAUUGGCUUCGAGCAUAUCAAAGACUUAUAUGAGCAUGAUACAACUUUUGCCAUUCCUUAUGCUAAGUGUUUGUCGAAUACAUCUUGGGAACGCUAUUACAUCAAAGAUGGCUACCUUAUGAGAGCUAACAAACUUUGCAUUCCCGAGUCCUCGCUUCGUUUGUUGCUUUUGCAGGAAUCUCAUGGAGGAGGCUUAAUGGGAUAAUUUGGACGCGACAAGAUGUUCUCCAUGCUCUCGAAGAACUACUUUUGGCCUAAGAUGUUUCGGGAUGUCAAUCGUUUCACCAACCGGUGUUCUACAUGUCGCAAAGCUAAGUCCAAAGCUCAAUCUCAUGGUCUCUAUAUGCCUUUACCUAUUCCAUACCAACCUUGGGAAGGCAUUAGCAUGGACUUUGUCCUUGGUUUGCCAAGAACUCGAAAUGGGAAAGAUUCUAUAUUUGUCGUUGUGGACCGUUUCUCAAAAAUGGCACAUUUUAUUCCUUGCCACAAGAUAGACGAUGCUUCACAUGUUGCUAAUCUCUUUUGUAGGGAAAUUUUGUGUCUCCAUGGUGUGCCAAAAACCAUCGUCUCGGACCGCGACGUCAAGUUCCUUAGCUACUUUUGGAAGACCCUAUGCGCCAAGCUCGGAAUCAAGCUACUCUUCUCCACGGCUUACCAUCCUCAAACUGACGGCCAAACGGAGGUGACAAACCGCAUACUCUCCGCUCUACUUCGAGUACUCAUCAAGAAGAACAUCAAGAAGUGGGAGGAGUGUCUACCUAUCGCCGAGUUCGCCUACAACCGAGCAAGACAUUCAACAACCGGCAAGUCCCCUUUCGAGGUCGUCAACGGAUUCAACCCUUUGUCACCAUUGGAUAUUCUACCCCUACCACUCCAAGAGCGAAUCAAUUUGGACGCAAGUGCAAGAGCGACCCAUAUCAAGAAGGUGCACGAAGAUACAAGAAACACCAUCGAGCGCCAAGUACAACGCCUUGCGACCAAGCUCAACGUCAACAAGCAACCUAUGGUCUUCAACAUUGAUGAUCUCGUGUGGCUACACCUUUGCAAGGAGCGCUUUCCACAAGAACGCAAGUCUAAGCUUCGACCUCAAGCAGAUGGACCCUUCAAGGUGCUCGCACGAUACAACAACAACGCUUACAUGAUCGACUUCCCGCGCGACAAAUACAACGUGAGCGACAUCUUCAACAUCAAAGAUCUCUCUCCCUUCCAUGGUGAUGAAGAACUCGAUCCGAGGACGGAUCUUCCCCAAGGGGGGAGAUGAUGCGGAGCAUCCCACGACCAUCCCCAUGGACGCCACCUCAACUAUCCAAGCUCCAAGUGGACCAAUGACAAGGGCUAGGGCACGUGCUAUUCAAUCCGAGGUGACAUCACUCCUACUUGAGUUUUCUCCCUCUUCAAGUGAGACAUGGCUACUGCCUAAGUCCGAGAUACUAUGUGUCAUCAGGUACAAUGCUCAAGACUCGGAGCUGAGGACUGUAGAAGAAGAGACAGGCGUCAACACUCUGGACAGCCCGAAACUUCCGGCCAGAGCCCGGAACUUCCUGCCCCUGAACCUUCCGGCCGACCCGGAGCUUUCGGCCGCCGAUGACUUCGACCAGCCCAGGCGUCCAAACUCUCGGGUUAGCCUGGACCCCGUCCCGGACCUUCCGGCGCCCGGAACCUCCGGCCUGCCCGGACCUUCCAGCCCCCGGAUGCCAGCACAUCUCCACCGCACCAACUCUCUGGUUAGGCCGGACCCUGAUGAGGACAUGACUACCUUGGAUAUGACCAAAAAUAUUGCAUAUAUGCAUAUUUGUCAGGUGAUUUCUAGUGCAAACUAUUCAAUAAUCUAUUUAUGUUAUCCAGAACAAAAAUACUUCACACACUUUUGUGUUUUGUCUAAUUGCAGGUGUAUGGGACAUUUGUACAAUCCACAUAUGAAGAUAAGGAAGAAAGAGAUUUUUAUUUGCUGUCCAAAAAGUUCUCUCACGUCACUUUUGGCCCAAGAGAAGAUAGAGUCCAAGUCUCUCACGUUCUGGAUUCAGAUUCGGACUGCACAGACACACCUGACUCAAAACGCACACAAGUUUUUCAUACGGACUCCGAAUUGGGUGAUUCUUUUUUUGUUGGAAACUAGAUUUCGUGCACUUUCCAACCCAAUUGGAAUCACCUUCAAAUUCGUCCGGAGCGUUGAGUUGUGGACGAAACAAUCUGAUGCUGCAGCAGAAUCCGAGUCAAACUACAAGUCCAAAGGUGUUACAUCACCUCCACUUGGGCCCAUUGGCCUUGUACGACCUAGAUUUAGUUUUAGGCUGCCUUGGGUCGUCCUCCCACCUCCUUGGCCUCCACCCCUUGCUCCUAUAUAAGUAGAUCCAUCUAGUAGCUUUUCCUUGGGAUUUGUUUAGUUAAAAGUUAGCCAUUGCAACUUCGUGUACUUCGUUUGUGUCCAACGACCAGACCAAGACCGCUUACGGAUCCCCACCUUUAUCAAUACUUCAUAUAUACUCGCAAUAUUCAGAUUGCUUUUAUCAUAUUCUUGCUUGUUCUUCGAUUGCUUGCAGGAAUAGACCUUCGUGGUCAGGUUGAUUGUGCUCCGGCAUGGUCAAUAACCUCUCGGAGUUGGUUUAGCGAUUGCUAAGGCGCAACGUCGUGCACGUUUGUAGUCGGAUCGUCAAAGUCGUCUCCACCAAAUCGAUAGUUAUCAUCUCAUCGAAAGAUCGGGACACCGCCGCCUCUAUCAAGUGGUAUCAGUUUUCAGGUUGCUCGGUGAGAAUUUCCAGUUUUCCUAGAUUAGAUUUAUUUUCUUACCUAUUGUCCAAGAAAAAUCCACAAAAAAGAGUUAGAUCUAUUCAUCCUUUGUCCAAGCCAGUCUGAGCCUUUGCAAUUUUCUUUUCAUUGCUUGCAUAGUUGAAUUAUCGGUUGCAUCGUCGUGUCGAGUUGCUGGUCUUAGUGUCUAGGUCGUUUAGAGUUUCGAGUUCUGUUCACAUUAGUCACGCCACCGCUGCAUCAUUAUCUCUUCCACUGUCCACCACCCACCCAUCAAUUUCCACCACGUGCUACCCACCAUUCAUUGUCAUAAUAAUAGUUGAGAUCGUUCACAUCUUCACUUGAUCCAAUCUGCAUGUUAGCUAGUUUGUCUUGGAAAGAGGGAGAAAAAGAAGAUAAAGAAAAAAAAGAGAGAAAAAAGGAAAGAAAAAAAAAAGAAAAAGAGGGAGAAGAAAAAGAAAAAAAAGCGUGAGAAAAAAAAGAGAGAAGAAAAAAAAUUGGAUCUAUCUAGAAUCAAUCUCGUACCUGAAUUCGGAUUGGAAUCUGUUUUGCGCACUGUUCAGUAAAACAGGUGUAUCUUCCUCAUACGAAGUCCAUUUUGGCUCCGUGAGUACUCAAAUUGAAGCUAGCGACGAGCCGCAUCUAAAUAGUUGCAGAAGCUAGUUCAAUAUUUGACACCUCAAAAUCGGCUUCUAAAUAGGUCUUUUUGCCCUCCGAAGUUCAUGAACACAGCUUGUUCCAAUUUUUCAGGCCAGUUUUAGAAUUCUUUGACUCCUCAUAUCAACUCAGAAUUGAGUGAUUCUUUUUGCAUUGGAAAGCUUGAGUUAAUAGCAUUCUUUGAAAGAAAUUAUCAGAAAAUUGUCUUAAACUUUUCAAGAGGAAAGUUGGAGAGAGAGUUGUUGUAUAUCCUGCUUGGCAAUUGUUUUUCAUCAUUAUCUUUACUGCCUUUGUGAUAUUCACUUAUAUCUUGCUGUCAAGAGCUACUUAGUAUCCUUCAUUGAUGCUAGUUGUGCUACGCCGUGACCUCAUUAGUGUUCUAGGCUCGCGUCUCUAGUACGGUCUAGCCUAGGACCAGCACAGUACCGUCGUUGAGUGUUUAUUCAACAUUGCAUCUUUGAAUUGAUUAUUGCUAAUCUUUUGCUACCAUAUAUAGCCAACCCAGCUCCACAUAUUUCUACACCGUGUAUACGUACGCUUCCCUGGCAAUCGCUUUACUCAAUAUUCGGAGUUACUUGACACCGCUGGUUGCCGAUCACCGCCUGCUGCAUGGUAAGAACUUGUAAGACAUUGAUAUUUGCUUUACUGUGAGCGUUUUACCACCACAUCCUAGUAGUUAUAGGAACAUUAUUUUUGGGUUUUGUUUCUUGUUCUACUAAUCAUGACAGGAUCCAGAGUCAAUUCAUGGGCUUUGUCGAUCGCGGGAGACGUGCCACCACCUUUGCAAAUACCACAACCGUCACGAGAGGUGCACAAACAUCCAAAUGCACAUGAUCAGGUUAAUGUAUCUAUACCACCAUUUAAUGGCCGUUUUAAACCUGCUUUAUAUAUUGAAUGGGAGUUCGACAUAAAAAAUAUAUUUGCUUCCCAUAAUUUCGAUGAACAUAAAAAGGUUAAGGUUGAGGUUGGUUCUUUCACUGGUUAUGCUUUGGUUUGGUGGAGUGAAUAUUGUCGGUUACACCCUGAUUAUAUACCUACUACUUGGGAUGAUUUGAAACUUGCCAUGCGACAUACUUUCGUCCCUGCUUAUUAUACUCGUGACAUGAUUAAGAAGUUGCAACACUUAAAACAAGGUAGUGAAACUGUAACAAAAUAUUAUGAUGAUUUACAAACUACCUUGUUGCAUUCCUCUUUAGAAGAAAGUGAAGAUGAUUUUAUGGAUAGAUUUUGGGGAGGAUUAAACCGUGAUAUUCAAGAGAUACUAAUUCAUGAAGAGUGUUAUCCUAUGGACCAUUUGUUUCAUCUUGCUUGCAAAGCUGAACAGGAAAUAAAACGACGUGUUGGCCACGAGGAGAACAAGCGCACGAUGCACAUUCCAAGAGUUGAUAUGAUUGUUCCUUCAACUACUAGGCAUACUAUGACAACCAAAUCCGUUGUUGUCAGGACUACAUCACCUCCACCAUGUGACACAACGCCCCCGAGAGUGGCUACAUCAUCUGAGUUGAUCAUAAGAGGUAAUGACAAAGGUACUGAUCUUCCAUCUCUACAUGAGAAUGAUGAAUGCCUUGUCAAUUUGAAUGCACCAUCUGAUGAGCUACCCACUACUUUGAUCACACCACCUAUUUUAGAGGACUACGUUGAUAAUUUGACUUUGCCAUGUGAUCAAACAACUGAAAUACCAACAAUUUUGAGUGCACCAAUUGAAUUAACUAUUGAUGCAAAAGAACCAAUGUUUAAUCAUUUUGAUAUGACCUCUAAUCUUGGUGAUGAUUCUGUGUUGAAUGACUUAUUGCAUGUUUGCUUAUUUAAGCAUGUUGUAGCAUGUAAAUUUGAUGCAAGUAAGGUUUAUUCACCAAUGUUGGGAUGGUUUAAUGAUGAACAUUGUCAAUCUUUUGAAAUGAAUAAGAGCUUCACUUAUAUGUGCAAACUGAGUUGCAAUAUUUUCAUGCCUUCUACUUCUUGUGCUAAUUUUUGGCUUUAGAUUUUAUGAACUAUGCAAGUUACUCAUCUAUUCAUGUGUCAUAUAUGCAAAAAUCAAGGGAAGUAAAAAUGGAUGACAUAUACAUAUACAACAUGUACACCUUGUCUCUUUUGUUAGCCAUAUUUCAGAUUAAGCAACGCCGAGGACGGCUUUAUUUUCAAGAAGGGGAGGAUGAUGAGGACAUGACUACCUUGGAUAUGACCAAAAAUAUUGCAUAUAUGCAUAUUUGUCAGGUGAUUUCUAGUGCAAACUAUUCAAUAAUCUAUUUAUGUUAUCCAGAACAAAAAUAUUUCACACACUUUUGUGUUUUGUCUAAUUGCAGGUGUAUGGGACAUUUGUACAAUCCACAUAUGAAGAUAAGGAAGAAAGAGAUUUUUAUUUGCUGUCCAAAAAGUUCUCUCACGUCACUUUUGGCCCAAGAGAAGAUAGAGUCCAAGUCUCUCACGUUCUGGAUUCAGAUUCGGACUGCACAGACACACCUGACUCAAAACGCACACAAGUUUUUCAUACGGACUCCGAAUUGGGUGAUUCUUUUUUUGUUGGAAACUAGAUUUCGUGCACUUUCCAACCCAAUUGGAAUCACCUUCAAAUUCGUCCGGAGCGUUGAGUUGUGGACGAAACAAUCUGAUGCUGCAGCAGAAUCCGAGUCAAACUACAAGUCCAAAGGUGUUACAUCACCUCCACUUGGGCCCAUUGGCCUUGUACGACCUAGAUUUAGUUUUAGGCUGCCUUGGGUCGUCCUCCCACCUCCUUGGCCUCCACCCCUUGCUCCUAUAUAAGUAGAUCCAUCUAGUAGCUUUUCCUUGGGAUUUGUUUAGUUAAAAGUUAGCCAUUGCAACUUCGUGUACUUCGUUUGUGUCCAACGACCAGACCAAGACCGCUUACGGAUCCCCACCUUUAUCAAUACUUCAUAUAUACUCGCAAUAUUCAGAUUGCUUUUAUCAUAUUCUUGCUUGUUCUUCGAUUGCUUGCAGGAAUAGACCUUCGUGGUCAGGUUGAUUGUGCUCCGGCAUGGUCAAUAACCUCUCGGAGUUGGUUUAGCGAUUGCUAAGGCGCAACGUCGUGCACGUUUGUAGUCGGAUCGUCAAAGUCGUCUCCACCAAAUCGAUAGUUAUCAUCUCAUCGAAAGAUCGGGACACCGCCGCCUCUAUCAGACCCUCCCCGGAACCUCCACUGCCCGGAACUUCUGGCCCUGCCUGCGCGCAGCAACUUGGGCCGAGGCCGGUGUACCCUUUCGUCACCUAGACUGAUAGAGGCAAAGGUGUCCCGUCUUUCGAUGAGAUGAUGGAUAUCGCUUUGGUGGAAGUCGACUUUGACGAUCCGACUACGAACGUGCGAGGACGUCGUGCCUUAGCAAUCGCUAAACCAACUCCGAGAGGUUAUUGACCACGCCGGAGCACGAUCAACCUGACCACGAGGGUUUGUUUCCUGCAAGCAAACGAAGAACAAGCAAGAAUCUGAGAUUGCAAUCUGGAUAUUGCGAAUAUAAGAUGAAAGCUUUAUUGAUCAAGGUGCGGUUCUGUGAUGCCUUUGUCUAGUCAUUGAACACAAACGAAGUACGCGAAGUUGCAGCUAUGGCGAACUUUAAUCUAAACAAAACCCAAAGUCUAAACGGUGCCCUAAGGGCUGUAUAUAUGGGGGAAGAGAGGGGGAAUUUCGUGGCCCUUGGUGGAGGGGUCCGAAAUCAACCCUAUCUCUUGUUUCCCCAUACAUACGGACUCUAAAAAUAGCCUAUACUAAUGUAUUUCGAAAUUACAUGGGACUGGCCCAGUAAAAAAAGGUGACGCAGCACCUAUAAUAGCCUCUGGACGAAAUUUAUGAAGUGGCAUCUUGUAUAUUUCGUCCAAGGCUUCAUGCACUCGUUAUGGUGGCUUCAAAGACCUGAAAUCAUCACUCGUAACUCCGUUCUUGUUCCCCUUGCGCAUGACAUCAUCUCCAUGCUUUCUCUUGCUCCAAUGUUCAUCCUUCUCCAAGCUAGGCCCUUCAUUUGUAAGCAAAACAAAUGUAUCCAAUUUAGGCAGCAUCAUAUUCUCAUGAACAUUAGAAUCAUUACCAAGAAACGAAAGUACCUGGUAAUUUAGUUGGCGUGCGCGAGCUCUAGUAAUUGGUCCAGUAUGUAUAGCAGUAGGGGCUGUGGGUGUAACAAUUGUAUUGAUGUCCUCAUCAUCCUCCCCUUCUUGAAAUGAAGUCGUCCUCGACGGAAGUUCAUCUUCCUUACCCAAAUAAGGCUUCAAAUCUGCAAUGUUAAAAGUGGGACUAACCCCAAAAUCUGCAGGCAGCUCAAGUUUAUAUGCAUUAUCAUUUAUUUUCUCUAACACCUUAAAGGGACCAUCAGCACGUGGCAUUAACUUUGAUUUGCGCAAAUCAGGAAAUCUAUCCUUACGCAAAUGUAACCAAACAAGAUCUCCAGGUGCAAACACAACAUGUUUUCUACCCUUAUCUCCAGCGAGUUUAUAUUUAGCAUUCAUACGCUCAAUGUUUUCCUUAGUUAACUCAUGCAUUUUUAAAAUCAAUUCAGCACGUUGUUUAGCAUCAAAAUUAACCUUCUCCGAAGAUGGAAGAGGCAACAAAUCAAUAGGUGCACGAGGUAGGAAACCAUACACAACUUCAAAAGGGCACAUCUUAGUAGUAGAAUGUAAUGAACGAUUAUAAGCAAAUUCAAUAUGAGGCAAGCAUUCCUCCCACAUUUUCUUAUUAUUCUUCAAAACAGCCCUAAGCAUAGUAGACAACGUUCUAUUGACUACUUCAGUUUGUCCAUCAGUUUGGGGGUGACAAGUAGUACUAAAAAGCAGUUUAGUCCCCAACUUAGCCCAUAAACAUCUCAAAAAGUGGCUAAGAAAUUUAGUAUCACGAUCUGAAACAAUAGUAUUUGGCACACCAUGCAAGCGAAUAAUUUCACGAAAGAACAAAUCAGCAACAUUAACAGCAUCAUCGCUUUUAUGACAUGGUAUAAAGUGUGCCAUUUUCGAGAAUCUAUCCACGACAACAAGUAUGCUAUCCCUCCCCUUCUUUGUUCGAGGUAAACCUAAAACAAAGUCCAUAGAUAUAUCCUCCCAAGGAACACUAGGUACAGGCAAAGGCAUAUAUAAACCAUGAGGAUUGAGUCGUGACUUAGCUUUUUGACAUGUAGUGCAUCGAGCAAUAAAACGCUCAACAUCCCGUCUCAUCUUUGGCCAAAAGAAAUGUGUAGCAAGUACAUCCUUCGUCUUCUUCACGCCAAAGUGUCCCAUUAAUCCUCCUCCAUGCGCCUCCUGCAACAACAAAAGACGAACGGAGCUAGCUGGAAUGCAUAGCUUGUUAGCACGAAACACAAAUCCAACGUUAACGACAAACUUGUUCCACAUUCUUCCUUCUUUACAAUUCUGCAUUACAUCUUUAAAAUCAGCAUCAUGCACAUAUUGAUCUUUGAUGGUCUCCAAACCAAAUAUUUUGAAGUCAAGUUGUGAAAGCAUAGUAUAGCGAUGAGACAAUGCAUCAGCAAUAACAUUUUCUUUUCCCUUCUUGUGUUUAAUGACAUAAGGGAAAGUCUCAAUGAAUUCAACCCAUUUAGCAUGUCUACGAUUCAGUUUAGCUUGACUUUUAAUAUGUUUCAAAGAUUCAUGAUCAGAAUGUAUAACAAAUUCUUUGGGCCAUAAAUAAUGUUGCCAUGUUUCUAAAGUCCGAACAAGAGCAUAUAAUUCUUUAUCAUAAGUAGAAUAAUGUAGACUAGGCCCACUCAAUUUUUCAGAAAAGUAUGCAACAGGUUUGCCAUCUUGUAAUAACACACCUCCUAAUCCAAUUCCACUAGCAUCACAUUCAAGCUCAAAAGUCUUAUUAAAAUCAGGAAGUUGGAGUAAAGGAGCAUGUGUGAACUUAUCUUUCAAUACCGAGAAGGCUUCUUCCUGUGCGGUACCCCAAAGAAAAGGCACAUCUUUCUUUGUAAGCUCAUUGAGAGGUGCAGCAAUGGUGCUGAAAUCUCUCACAAAACGCCUAUAGAAUCCAGCGAGGCCAAGAAAACUCCUCACUUGUGUGACCGUUUUGGGCUGCGGCCAACUCUCAAUAGCUUCAAUCUUGGCUUUAUCAACUUCAAUUCCCUAUGGAGUAACAACAUAGCCAAGAAAAGAUACUCGGUCGGUGCAAAAGGUGCACUUCCCAAGGUUACCAAACAAACAUGCAUCACGUAGAGCAAUAAAAACAGCACGGAAAUGUUCCAAAUGUUCUUCCAAAGAUCUGCUAUAAAUCAGUAUAUCAUCAAAAUAGACUACCACAAAUCGUCCAAUGAAAGCACGUAAAACUUCGUUCAUUAGUCUCAUGAAAGUACUAGGCGCAUUAGUUAACCCAAAAGGCAUGACUAACCACUCAUAUAAUCCAAACUUAGUUUUAAAUGCUGUUUUCCAUUCAUCCCCCAAUUUCAUACGAAUUUGAUGGUAUCCACUACGCAAAUCAACUUUGGAGAAUAUUGUAGAGCCACUCAAUUCAUCAAGCAUAUCAUCUAGCCUAGGAAUAGGAUGACGAUAACGAAUAGUAAUAUUAUUAAUGCCUCUACAAUCAACACACAUACGCGAUGUACCAUCCUUUUUCGGCACUGGAAUAAUAGGAACAGCACAAGGACUAAGGGAUUCGCGUAUAUAACCUUUGUCGAGAAGCUCUUGUACUUGACGCAUAAUCUCCUUCGUCUCCUCUGGAUUGGUACGGUAUGGCGCACGGUUUGGCAGUGAAGCACCGGGAAUUAAGUCGAUCUGAUGCUCAAUCCCUCGAAUAGGUGGUAAUCCCGGUGGCACGUCUUGUGGAAAGACGUCAGCGAACUCCUGCAAAAUGUUAGUGAUAGCAGGAGGCAAAGAGGAAGGCACGUCCUCGAAUGAAAAUAAUGCCUCUUUGCACACAAAAGCAUAGCAAACAGAUUUGCUGAAAUCAAGCUCAUCAAUAUCAGAUUUGGUGGCAAAUAAACAUGCACUUUUCAAUUUAAUUUCAGAAGCAACACUAGAUGGUUUAUUAUUAGGCUUAAUUUGUUGCUCAAAUUCUUUUGCCACAAUCUGAUUUUCACUCUUAUUCUUCUCUUGUUUUGCUUUAUUAGCUCUAUUAAUAUCAUCUUUCAAAAUAGAAUCAGGAGUCAUAGGAAGCAAAGUAAUAUUUUUAUCCUUAUGAACAAGAGUAUACUGAUUGUUUCUACCAUGGUGUACAGAAUUUUUAUCAAAUUGCCAUGGUCUACCAAGUAAUAAGGAACAUGCUUGCAUAGGUACUGAUAGAGGCGGGGUGUCCCGAUCUUUCGAUGAGAUGAUAACUACCGAUUUGGUGGAGACGACUUUGACGAUCCGACUACAAACGUGCACAACGUUGCGCCUUAGCAAUCGCUAAACCAAUCUCUUGAGGUUACUGACGAUGCUGGAAGCACGGUCAGCCUGACCACGAAGGUCUAUUCCUGCAAGCAAUCGAAGAACAAGCAAGAAUAUGAUAAAAGCAAUCUGAAUAUUGCGAGUAUAUAUGAAGUAUUGAUAAAGGUGGGGAUCCGUAAGCGGUCUUGGUCUGGUCGUUGGACACAAACGAAGUACACGAAGUUGCAAUGGCUAACUUUUAACUAAACAAAUCCCAAAGUCUAAACGAUGCCCUAAGGGCUGUAUAUAUGGAGGAAGAGGGGGAAUUUCGUGGCCCUUGGUGGAGGGGUCCGAAAUCAACCCUAUCUCUUGUUUCCCCACACAUACGGACUCUAAAAAUAGCCUAUACUUAUGUAUUUCGAAAUUACAUGGGCCUGGCCCAAUAAUAAGGUGACGCAGCACCUAAAAUAGCCUCGGGACGAAAUUUAUGAAGUGGCAUCUUGUAUAUUUCGUCGAAGGCUUCAUGCACCCAUUAUGGUGGCUUCAAAGUCCUGAAAUCAUCACUUGUAACUCCGUUCUUGUUCCCCUUGCGCAUGCCAUCAUCUCCAUGCUUGUUCUUGCUCCAAUGUUCAUCCUUCUCCAAGCUAGGCCCUUCAUUUGUAAGCAAAACAAAUGUAUCCAAUUUAGGCAGCAUCAUAUUCUCAUGAACAUUAGAAUCAUUACCAAGAAACGAAAGUACCUGGUAAUUUAGUUGGCGUGCACGAUCUCUAGUAAUUGGUCCAGUAUGUAUAGCAGCAGGGGCUGUGGGUGUAACAAUUGUAUUGAUGUCCUCAUCAUCCUCCCCUUCUUGAAAUGAAGUCGUCCUCGACGGAAGUUCAUCUUCCUCACCCAAAUAAGGCUUCAAAUCUGCAAUGUUAAAAGUGGGACUAACCCCAAAAUCUGCAGGCAGCUCAAGUUUAUAUGCAUUAUCAUUUAUUUUCUCUAACACCUUAAAGGGACCAUCAGCACGUGGCAUUAACUUUGAUUUGCGCAAAUCAGGAAAUCUAUCCUUACGCAAAUGUAACCAAACAAGAUCUCCAGGUGCAAACACAACAUGUUUUCUACCCUUAUCUCCAGCAAGUUUAUAUUUAGCAUUCAUACGCUCAAUGUUUUUGAUGAGGACAUCAAUACAAUUGUUACACCCACAGCCCCUGCUGCUAUACAUACUGGACCAAUUACUAGAGCUCGUGCACGCCAACUAAAUUACCAGGUACUUUCGUUUCUUGGUAAUGAUUCUAAUGUUCAUGAGAAUAUGAUGCUGCCUAAAUUGGAUACAUUUGUUUUGCUUACAAAUGAAGGGCCUAGCUUGGAGAAGGAUGAACAUUGGAGCAAGAACAAGCAUGGAGAUGAUGGCAUGCGCAAGGGGAACAAGAACGGAGUUACAAGUGAUGAUUUCAGGACUUUGAAGCCACCAUAAUGGGUGCAUGAAGCCUUGGACGAAAUAUACAAGAUGCCACUUCAUAAAUUUCGUCCCGAGGCUAUUUUAGGUGCUGCGUCACCUUAUUAUCGGGCCAGGCCCAUGUAAUUUCGAAAUACAUAAGUAUAGGCUAUUUUUAGAGUCCGUAUGUGUGGGGAAACAAGAGAUAGGGUUGAUUUCGGACCCCUCCACCAAGGGCCACGAAAUUCCCCCCUCUUCCUCCAUAUAUACAGCCCUUAGGGCAUCGUUUAGACUUUGGGUUUUGUUUAGAUUAAAAGUUCGCCAUAGCUGCAACUUCGCGUACUUCGUUUGUGUUCAACGACCAGACAAAGGCGUCACAGAACCCCACCUUGAUCAAUAAAGCUUUCAUCUUAUAUUCGCAAUAUCCAGAUUGCAAUCUCAGUUUCUUGCUUGUUCUUCAUUUGCUCGCAGGAAACAGACCCUCGUGGUCAGGUUGAUCGUGCUCCGGCGUGGUCAAUAACCUCUCGGAGUUGGUUUAGCGAUUGCUAAGGCGCGACGUCCUCGCACGUUCGUAGUCGGAUCGUCAAAGUCGACUUCCACCAAAGCGAAAUCCAUCAUCUCAUCGAAAGACGGGACACCUUUGCCUCUAUCAUAUUGCGAAUAUAAGAUGAAAGCUUUAUUGAUCAAGGUGGGGUUCUAUGACGCCUUUGUCUGGUCGUUGAACACAAACGAAGUACGCGAAGUUGCAGCUAUGGCGAACUUUUAAUCUAAACAAAACCCGAAGUCUAAACGAUGCCCUAAGGGCUGUAUAUAUGGAGGAAGAGGGGGGGAAUUUCGUGGCCCUUGGUGGAGGGGUCCGAAAUCAACCCUAUCUCUUGUUUCCCCACACAUACGUACUCUAAAAAUAGCCUAUACUUAUGUAUUUCGAAAUUACAUGGGCCUGGCCCAAUAAUAAGGUGACGCAGCACCUAAAAUAGCCUCGGGACGAAAUUUAUGAAGUGGCAUCUUGUAUAUUUCGUCCAAGGCUUCAUGCACCCAUUAUGGUGGCUUCAAAGUCCUGAAAUCAUCACUUGUAACUCCGUUCUUGUUCCCCUUGCGCAUGCCAUCAUCUCCAUGCUUGUUCUUGCUCCAAUGUUCAUCCUUCUCCAAGCUAGGCCCUUCAUUUGUAAGCAAAACAAAUGUAUCCAAUUUAGUCAGCAUCAUAUUCUCAUGAACAUUAGAAUCAUUACCAAGAAACGAAAGUACCUGGUAAUUUAGUUGGCGUGCACGAGCUCUAGUAAUUGGUCCAGUAUGUAUAGCAGCAGGGGCUGUGGGUGUAACAAUUGUAUUGAUGUCCUCAUCAUCCUCCCCUUCUUGAAAUGAAGUCGUCCUCGACGGAAGUUCAUCUUCCUCACCCAAAUAAGGCUUCAAAUCUGCAAUGUUAAAAGUGGGACUAACCCCAAAAUCUGCAGGCAGCUCAAGUUUAUAUGCAUUAUCAUUUAUUUUCUCUAACACCUUAAAGGGACCAUCAGCACGUGGCAUUAACUUUGAUUUGCGCAAAUCAGGAAAUCUAUCCUUAUGCAAAUGUAACCAAACAAGAUCUCCAGGUGCAAACACAACAUGUUUUCUACCCUUAUCUCCAGCAAGUUUAUAUUUAGCAUUCAUGCGCUCAAUGUUUUCCUUAGUUAACUCAUGCAUUUUUAAAAUCAAUUCAGCAUGUUGUUUAGCAUCAAAAUUAACCUUCUCCGAAGAUGGAAGAGGCAACAAAUCAAUAGGUGCACGAGGUAGGAAACCAUACACAACUUCAAAAGGGCACAUCUUAGUAGUAGAAUGCAAUGAACGAUUAUAAGCAAAUUCAAUAUGAGGCAAGCAUUCCUCCCACAUUUUCUUAUUAUUCUUCAAAACAGCCCUAAGCAUAGUAGACAACGUUCUAUUGACUACUUCAGUUUGUCCAUCAGUUUGGGGGUGACAAGUAGUACUAAAAAGCAGUUUAGUCCCCAACUUAGCCCAUAAACAUCUCAAAAAGUGGCUAAGAAAUUUAGUAUCACGAUCUGAAACAAUAGUAUUUGGCACACCAUGCAAGCGAAUAAUUUCACGAAAGAACAAAUCAGCAACAUUAACAGCAUCAUCGCUUUUAUGACAUGGUAUAAAGUGUGCCAUUUUCGAGAAUCUAUCCAUGACAACAAAUAUGCUAUCCCUCCCCUUCUUUGUUCGAGGUAAACCUAAAACAAAGUCCAUAGAUAUAUUGAUGAGGACAUCAAUACAAUUGUUACGCCCACAGCCCCUGCUGCUAUACAUACUGGACCAAUUACUAGAGCUCGUGCAUGCCAACUAAAUUACCAGGUACUUUCGUUUCUUGGUAAUGAUUCUAAUGUUCAUGAGAAUAUGAUGCUGCCUAAAUUGGAUACAUUUGUUUUGCUUACAAAUGAAGGGCCUAGCUUGGAGAAGGAUGAACAUUGGAGCAAGAACAAGCAUGGAGAUGAUGGCAUGCGCAAGGGGAACAAGAACGGAGUUACAAGUGAUGAUUUCAGGACUUUGAAGCCACCAUAAUGGGUGCAUGAAGCCUUGGACGAAAUAUACAAGAUGCCACUUCAUAAAUUUCGUCCCGAGGCUAUUUUAGGUGCUGCGCCACCUUAUUAUUGGGCCAGGCCCAUGUAAUUUCGAAAUACAUAAGUAUAGGCUAUUUUUAGAGUCCGUAUGUGUGGGGAAACAAGAGAUAGGGUUGAUUUCGGACCCCUCCACCAAGGGCCACGAAAUUCCCCCCCUCUUCUUCCAUAUAUACAGCCCUUAGGGCAUCGUUUAGACUUUGGGUUUUGUUUAGAUUAAAAGUUCGCCAUAGCUGCAACUUCGCGUACUUCGUUUGUGUUCAACGACCAGACAAAGGCGUCACAGAACCCCACCUUGAUCAAUAAAGCUUUCAUCUUAUAUUCGCAAUAUCCAGAUUGCAAUCUUAGUUUCUUGCUUGUUCUUCGUUUGCUCGCAGGAAACAGACCCUCGUGGUCAGGUUGAUCGUGCUCCGGCGUGGUCAAUAACCUCUCGGAGUUGGUUUAGCGAUUGCUAAGGCGCGACGUCCUCGCACGUUCGUAGUCGGAUCGUGAAAGUCGACUUCCACCAAAGCGAUAUCCAUUAUCUCAUCGAAAGACGGGACACCUUUGCCUCUAUCAUAUAUCCUCCCAAGGAACACUAGGUACAGGCAAAGGCAUAUAUAAACCAUGAGGAUUGAGUCGUGACUUAGCUGUUUGACAUGUAGUGCAUCGAGCAAUAAAACGCUCAACAUCCCGUCUCAUCUUUGGCCAAAAGAAAUGUGUAGCAAGUACGUCCUUCGUCUUCUUCACGCCAAAGUGUCCCAUUAAUCCUCCUCCAUGCGCCUCCUGCAACAACAAAAGACGAACGGAGCUAGCUGGAAUGCAUAGCUUGUUAGCACGAAACACAAAUACAACGUUAACGACAAACUUGUUCCACAUUCUUCCUUCUUUACAAUUCUGCAUUACAUCUUUAAAAUCAGCAUCAUGCACAUAUUGAUCUUUGAUGGUCUCCAAACCAAAUAUUUUGAAGUCAAGUUGUGAAAGCAUAGUAUAGCGAUGAGACAAUGCAUCAGCAAUAACAUUUUCUUUUCCCUUCUUGUGUUUAAUGACAUAAGGGAAAGUCUCAAUGAAUUCAACCCAUUUAGCAUGUCUACGAUUCAGUUUAGCUUGACUUUUAAUAUGUUUCAAAGAUUCAUGAUCAGAAUGUAUAACAAAUUCUUUGGGCCAUAACUAAUGUUGCCAUGUUUCUAAAGUCCGAACAAUAGCAUAUAAUUCUUUAUCAUAAGUAGAAUAAUUCAGACUAGGCCCACUCAAUUUUUCAGAAAAGUAUGCAACAGGUUUGCCAUCUUGUAAUAACACACCUCCUAAUCCAAUUCCACUAGCAUCACAUUCAAGCUCAAAAGUCUUAUUAAAAUCAGGAAGUUGGAGUAAAGGAGCAUGUGUGAACUUAUCUUUCAAUACCGAGAAGGCUUCUUCCUGUGCGGUACCCCAAAGAAAAGGCACAUCUUUCUUUGUAAGCUCAUUGAGAGGUGUAGCAAUGGUGCUGAAAUCUCUCACAAAACGCCUAUAGAAUCCAGCGAGGCCAAGAAAACUCCUCACUUGUGUGACCGUUUUGGGCUGCGGCCAACUCUCAAUAGCUUCAAUCUUGGCUUUAUCAACUUCAAUUCCCUGUGGAGUAACAACAUAGCCAAGAAAAGAUACUCGGUCGGUGCAAAAGGUGCACUUCCCAAGGUUACCAAACAAACGUGCAUCACGUAGAGCAAUAAAAACAUCACGAAAAUGUUCCAAAUGUUCUUCCGAAGAUCUGCUAUAAAUCAGUAUAUCAUCAAAAUAGACUACCACAAAUCGUCCAAUGAAAGCACGUAAAACUUCGUUCAUUAGUCUCAUGAAAGUACUAGGCGCAUUAGUUAACCCAAAAGGCAUGACUAACCACUCAUAUAAUCCAAACUUAGUUUUAAAUGCUGUUUUCCAUUCAUCCCCCAAUUUCAUACGAAUUUGAUGGUAUCCACUACGCAAAUCAACUUUGGAGAAUAUUGUAGAGCCACUCAAUUCAUCAAGCAUAUCAUCUAGCCUAGGAAUAGGAUGACGAUAACGAAUAGUAAUAUUAUUAAUGCCUCUACAAUCAACACACAUACGCGAUGUACCAUCCUUUUUCGGCACUGGAAUAAUAGGAACAGCACAAGGACUAAGGGAUUCGCGUAUAUAACCUUUGUCGAGAAGCUCUUGUACUUGACGCAUAAUCUCCUUCGUCUCCUCUGGAUUGGUACGGUAUGGCGCACGGUUUGGCAGUGAAGCACCGGGAAUUAAGUCAAUCUGAUGCUCAAUCCCUCGAAUAGGCGGUAAUCCCGGUGGCACGUCUUGUGGAAAAACGUCAGCGAACUCCUGCAAAAUGUUAGUGACAGCAGGAGGCAAAGAGGAAGGCACGUCCUCGAAUGAAAAUAAUGCCUCUUUGCACACAAAAGCAUAGCAAACAGAUUUGCUGAAAUCUAGCUCAUCAAUAUCAGAUUUGGUGGCAAAUAAACAUGCACUUUUCAAUUUAAUUUCAGAAGCAACACUAGAUGGUUUAUUAUUAGGCUUCAUUUGUUGCUCAAAUUCUUUUGCCACAAUCUGAUUUUUCACUCUUAUUCUUCUCCUGUUGUGCUUUAUUAGCUCUAUUAAUAUCAUCUUUCAAAAUGGAAUCAGGAGUCAUAGGAAGCAAAGUAAUAUUUUUAUCCUUAUGAACAAGAGUAUAGUGAUUGUUUCUACCAUGGUGUACAGAAUUUUUAUCAAAUUGCCAUGGUCUACCAAGUAAUAAGGAACAUGCUUGCAUAGGUACCACAUCACAAUCAACAUAAUCAGCAUAUGUAGAGAUACUAAAAUGCACACGAACAGUACGUGUUACCUUAACCUUGCCGCUGUUGUUGAACCAUUGGAUGUAGUAAGGAUGUGGAUGUUGUCUUGUGGUGAGAGAAAGCUUCUCCACCAUCUCCAUGCUAGCCAAGUUGUUGCAGCUCCCUCCGUCUAUUAUGACGCGCACAGAACGUUCCUUCACAACUCCCUUGGUAUGGAACAAAUUGUGCCUCUGAUUUUGCUCAGCUUGUGUGACCUGUGAUAGAGGCUAAGGUGUCCCGUCUUUCGAUGAGAUGGUGGAUUUCGCUUUGGUGGAAGUCGACUUUGACGAUCCGACUACGAACGUGCGAGGACGUCGCGCCUUAGCAAUCGCUAAACCAACUCCGAGAGGUUAUUGACCACGCCGGAGCACGAUCAACCUGACCACGAGGGUCUGUUUCCUGCGAGCAAACGAAGAACAAGCAAGAAACUAAGAUUGCAAUCUGGAUAUUGCGAAUAUAAGAUGAAAGCUUUAUUGAUCAAAGGUGGGGUUCUGUGACGCCUUUGUCUGGUCGUUGAACACAAACGAAGUACGCGAAGUUGCAGCUAUGGCGAACUUUUAAUCUAAACAAAACCCAAAGUCUAAACGAUACCCUAAGGGCUGUAUAUAUGGAGGAAGAGGGGGAGAAUUUCGUGGCCCUUGGUGGAGGGGUCCGAAAUUGAUGAGGACAUGAAUACCUUGGAUAUGACCAAAAAUAUUGCAUAUAUGCAUAUUUGUCAGGUGAUUUCUAGUGCAAACUAUUCAAUAAUCUAUUUAUGUUAUCCAGAACAAAAAUACUUCACACACUUUUGUGUUUUGUCUAAUUGCAGGUGUAUGGGACAUUUGUACAAUCCAUAUAUGAAGAUAAGGAAGAAAGAGAUGUUUAUUUGCUGUCCAAAAAGUUCUCUGACGUCACUUUUGGCCCAAGAGAAGAUAGAGUCCAAGUCUCUCACGUUCUGGAUUCAGAUUCGGACUACACAGACAUACCUGACUCAAAACGCACACAAGUUUUUCAUACGGACUCCGAAUUGGGUGAUUCUUUUUUUGUUGGAAACUAGAUUUCGUGCGCUUUCCAACCCAAUUGGAAUCACCUUCAAAUUCGUCCGGAGCGUUGAGUUGUGGACGAAACAAUCUGAUGCUGCAGUAGAAUCCGAGUCAAACUACAAGUCCAAAGGUGUUACAUCACCUCCACUUGGGCCCAUUGGCCUUGUACGACCUAGAUUUAGUUUUAGGCUGCCUUGGGACGUCCUCCCACCUCCUUGGCCGCCACCCCUUGCUCCUAUAUAAGUAGAUCCAUCUAGUAGCUUUUUCCUUGGGAUUUGUUUAGUUAAAAGUUAGCCAUUGCAACUUCGUGUGCUUCGUUUGUGUCCAACGACCAGACCAAGACCACUUUUCGGAUCCCCACCAUUAUCAAUACUUCAUACAUAUUCGCGAUAUUCAGAUUGCUUUUAUCAUAUUCUUGCUUGUUCUUCGAUUGCUUGCAGGAAUAGACCUUCGUGGUCAGGUUGAUCGUGCUCCGGUGUGGUCAAUAACCUCUCGGAGUUGGUUUAGCGAUUGCUAAGGCACAACGUCGUUGCACGUUUGUAGUCGGAUCGUCAAAGUCGUCUCCACCAAAUCGAUAGUUAUCAUCUCAUCGAAAGAUCGGGACACCCCGCCUCUAUCAAGUGGUAUGAUGAGGACAUGACUACCUUGGAUAUGACAAAAAAUAUUGCAUAUAUGCAUAUUUGUUAGGUGAUUUCUAGUGCAAACUAUUCAAUAAUCUAUUUAUGUUAUCCAGAACAAAAAUACUUCACACACUUUUGUGUUUUGUCUAAUUGCAGGUGUAUGGGACAUUUGUACAAUCCACAUAUGAAGAUAAGGAAGAAAGAGAUGUUUAUUUGCUGUCCAAAAAGUUCUCUCACGUCACUUUUGGCCCAAGAGAAGAUAGAGUCCAAGUCUCUCACAUUCUGGAUUCAGAUUCGGACUGCACAGACAUACCUGACUCAAAACGCACACAAGUUUUUCAUACGGACUCCGAAUUGGGUGAUUCUUUUUUUGUUGGAAACUAGAUUUCGUGCACUUUCCAACCCAAUUGGAAUCACCUUCAAAUUCGUCCGGAGCGUUGAGUUGUGGACGAAACAAUCUGAUGCUGCAGCAGAAUCUGAGUCAAACUACAAGUCCAAAGGUGUUACAUCACCUCCACUUGGGCCCAUGAGCCUUGUACGACCUAGGGUUAGUUUUAGGCUGCCUUGGGACGUCCUCCCACCUCCUUGGCCGCCACCCCUUGCUCCUAUAUAAGUAGAUCCAUCUAGUAGCUUUUUCCUUGGGAUUUGUUUAGUUAAAAGUUAGCCAACGCAACUUCGUGUACUUCGUUUGUGUCCAACGACCAGACCAAGACCGCUUUCGGAUCCCCACCUUUAUCAAUACUUCAUACAUAUUUGCAAUAUUCAGAUUGCUUUUAUCAUAUUCUUGCUCGUUCUUCGAUUGCUUGCAGGAAUAGACCUUCGUGGUCAGGUUGAUCGUGCACCGACGUGGUCAAUAACCUCUGGAGAUUGGUUUAGCGAUUGCUAAGGCGCAACGUCGUGCACGUUUGUAGUCGGAUCGUCAAAGUCGUCUCCACCAAAUCGAUAGUUACCAUCUCAUCGAAAGAUCGGGACACCCCGCCUCUAUCAAGUGGUAUCAGUUUUCAGGUUGCUCGGUGAGAAUUUCCAGUUUUCCUAGAUUAGAUUUAUUUUCUUACCUAUUGUCCAAGAAAAAGCCACAAAAAAGAGUUAGAUCUAUUCAUCCUUGGUCCAAGCCAGUCUGAGCCUUUACAAUUUUCUUUUCAUUGCUUGCAUAGUUGAAUUAUUGGUUGCAUCGUCGUGUCGAGUUGCUGGUCUUAGUGUCUAGUUCCUUUAGAGUUUCGAGUUCUGUUCACAUUAGUCACGCAGCCGCUGCAUCAUUAUCCCAUCCGCUGAAUUGAGUGAUUCUUUUUGCAUUGGAAAGCUUGAGUUAGUAGCAUUCUUUGAAAGAAUUAAAAUUGUCUCAAACUUUUCAAGAGGAAAGUUGGAGAGAGAGUUGUUGUAUAUCCUGCUUGGCAGUUGUUUUUCAUCAUUAUCUUCACUGCCGUUGUGAUCUUCACUUAUAUAUUGCUGUCAAGAGCUACUUAGUAUCCUUCAUUGAUGCUAGUUGUGCUACGCCGUGACCUUAUUAGUGUUCUAGGCUCGCGUCUCUAGUCCGGUCUAGCCUAGGACCAGCACAGUACCGUCGUUGAGCGUUUAUUCAACAUUGCAUCUUUGAAUUGAUUAUUGCUAAUCUUUUGCUACCAUAUAUAGCCAACCCAGCUCCACAUAUUUCUACACCGUGUAUACGUACGCUCCCCUGGCAAUCGCUUUACUCAAUAUUCGGAGUUACUUGACACCGCUGGUUGCCGAUCACCGCCUGCUGCAUGGUAAGAACUUGUAAGACAUUGAUAUUUGCUUUACUGUGAGCGUUUUACCACCACAUCCUAGUAGUUAUAGGAACAUUAUUUUUGGGUUUUGUUUCUUGUUCUACUAAUCAUGACAGGAUCCAGAGUCAAUUCAUAGGCUUUGUCGAUCGCGGGAGACGUGCCACCACCUUUACAAAUAUCACAACCGUCACGAGAGGUGCACAAACAUCCAAAUGCACAUGAUCAGGUUAAUGUAUCUAUACCACCAUUUAAUGGCCGUUUUAAACCUGCUUUAUAUAUUGAAUGGGAGUUCGACAUAAAAAAUAUAUUUGCUUCCCAUAAUUUCGAUGAACAUAAAAAGGUUAAGGUUGCGGUUGGUUCUUUCACUGGUUAUGCUUUGGUUUGGUGGAGUGAAUAUUGUCGGUUACACCCUGAAUAUAUACCUACUACUUGGGAUGAUUUGAAACUUGCCAUGCGACAUACUUUCGUCCCUGCUUAUUAUACUCGUGACAUGAUUAAGAAGUUGCAACACUUAAAACAAGGUAGUGAAACUGUAACAAAAUAUUAUGAUGAUUUACAAACUACCUUGUUGCAUUCCUCUUUAGAAGAAAGUGAAGAUGAUUUUAUGGAUAGAUUUUGGGGAGGAUUAAACCGUGAUAUUCAAGAGAUACUAAUUCAUGAAGAGUGUUAUCCUAUGGACCAUUUGUUUCAUCUUGCUUGCAAAGCUGAACAGGAAAUAAAACGACGUGUUGGCCACGAGGAGAACAAGCGCACGGUGCACAUUCCAAGAGUUGAUAUGAUUGUUGCUUCAACUACUAGGCAUACUAUGACAACCACAUCCGUUGUUGUCAGGACUACAUCACCUCCACCAUGUGACACAUCGCCCCCAAGAGUGGCUACAUCAUCUGAGUUGAUCAUAAGAGGUAAUGACAAAGGUACUGAUCUUCCAUCUCUACAUGAGAAUGAUGAAUGCCUUGUCAAUUUGAAUGCACCAUCUGAUGAGCUACCCACUACUUUGAUCACACCACCUAUUUUAGAGGACUACGUUGAUAAUUUGACUUUGCCAUGUGAUCAAACAACUGAAAUACCAACAAUUUUGAGUGCACCCAUUGAAUUAACUAUUGAUGCAAAAGAACCAAUGUUUAAUCAUUUUGAUAUGACCUCUAAUCUUGGUGAUGAUUCUGUGUUGAAUGACUUAUUGCAUGUUUGCUUAUUUAAGCAUGUUGUAGCAUGUAAAUUUGAUGCAAGUAAGGUUUAUUCACCAAUGUUGGGAUGGUUUAAUGAUGAACAUUGUCAAUCUUUUGAAAUGAAUAAGAGCUUCACUUAUAUGUGCAAACUGAGUUGCAAUAUUUUCAUGCCUUCUACUUCUUUUGCUAAUUUUUUGGCUUUAGAUUUUAUGAACUAUACAAGUUACUCAUCUAUUCAUGUGUCAUAUAUGCAAAAAUCAAGGGAAGUAAAAAUGGAUGACAUAUACAUAUACAACAUGUACACCUUGUCUUUUUUGUUAGCCACAUUUCAGAUUAAGCAACGCCGAGGACGGCUUUAUUUUCAAGAAGGGGAGGAUGAUGAGGACAUGACUACCUUGGAUAUGACCAAAAAUAUUGCAUAUAUGCAUAUUUGUCAGGUGAUUUCUAGUGCAAACUAUUCAAUAAUCUAUUUAUGUUAUCCAGAACAAAAAUACUUCACACACUUUUGUGUUUUGUCUAAUUGCAGGUGUAUGGGACAUUUGUACAAUCCAUAUAUGAAGAUAAGGAAGAAAGAGAUGUUUAUUUGCUGUCCAAAAAGUUCUCUGACGUCACUUUUGGCCCAAGAGAAGAUAGAGUCCAAGUCUCUCACGUUCUGGAUUCAGAUUCGGACUACACAGACAUACCUGACUCAAAACGCACACAAGUUUUUCAUACGGACUCCGAAUUGGGUGAUUCUUUUUUUGUUGGAAACUAGAUUUCGUGCGCUUUCCAACCCAAUUGGAAUCACCUUCAAAUUCGUCCGGAGCGUUGAGUUGUGGACGAAACAAUCUGAUGCUGCAGUAGAAUCCGAGUCAAACUACAAGUCCAAAGGUGUUACAUCACCUCCACUUGGGCCCAUUGACCUUGUACGACCUAGAUUUAGUUUUAGGCUGCCUUGGGACGUCCUCCCACCUCCUUGGCCGCCACCCCUUGCUCCUAUAUAAGUAGAUCCAUCUAGUAGCUUUUUCCUUGGGAUUUGUUUAGUUAAAAGUUAGCCAACGCAACUUCGUGUACUUCGUUUGUGUCCAACGACCAGACCAAGACCGCUUUCGGAUCCCCACCUUUAUCAAUACUUCAUACAUAUUUGCAAUAUUCAGAUUGCUUUUAUCAUAUUCUUGCUCGUUCUUCGAUUGCUUGCAGGAAUAGACCUUCGUGGUCAGGUUGAUCGUGCACCGACGUGGUCAAUAACCUCUGGAGAUUGGUUUAGCGAUUGCUAAGGCGCAACGUCGUGCACGUUUGUAGUCGGAUCGUCAAAGUCGUCUCCACCAAAUCGAUAGUUACCAUCUCAUCGAAAGAUCGGGACACCCCGCCUCUAUCAAGUGGUAUCAGUUUUCAGGUUGCUCGGUGAGAAUUUCCAGUUUUCCUAGAUUAGAUUUAUUUUCUUACCUAUUGUCCAAGAAAAAGCCACAAAAAAGAGUUAGAUCUAUUCAUCCUUGGUCCAAGCCAGUCUGAGCCUUUACAAUUUUCUUUUCAUUGCUUGCAUAGUUGAAUUAUUGGUUGCAUUCCCUCGCAUAAUGACCUCCUCCCUUACAACGACGACAAAUAAUAUCACUUGUGUGCCCUGUUGAUGCUAUGGAAGAAGACGAACGCUGUGCAGGCCCCGCAGGUGCGCUCUUGGCAGAUAAUGGUGGUUGUGCCUGUUUUCUUGUAUCUCAGCUGGAGGUGGCACCGGAUGGAGGUGCUGGUGCAGUUGAAGUAGAAGAUGCACGUGGUGUCCAUGAUGAAGGUCGGCCUGCAGAAAAGUUAGUUUGCCCCAAUGCUUGUCGAUCCUGCACUUCACAUUCAGCUUUACAAGCAAGAUGGAAUAAACGAGUGAUAUUAGUAUACUCCUUAUAGUCUAGAACGGUCUGAAUCUCUCUAUUUAAUCCACCCAGAAAACGUGCAAGCAUAGCUUCAUUCUCCUCAACAAUACCACAUCUAAUCAUGCCAGUUUGUAAUUCCUGAUAAUAUUCUUCUACAGAAUUUUUCCCUUGUUUUAAACGCUGCAAUUUUUGAAGCAAUUCACGUUGAUAAUAUGGUGGAACCCAACGCGUACACAUAGCAGUUUUCAAAGCAGCCCAAGUAGUUGGAAUAGGAUAUAAUCUACAAUGUUCAGACCACCAUACACAUGCAAAACUAGUUAAAGCACAAACAGCAGCAGCAACUCGUCUCUCCUCAGGAUAUUGUAAACAUGUAAAUCGUUGUUCAGUUUCUAACUCCCAAGUAAGAUAUAUAUCAGGAACAUAUCUACCCUCAAAUGGUGGAAUAUUCAAUUUUAGUUUAGGAAUAUGGAUAUCAUCUCGUACCCGAGGUGGUGGUGCAGGCCUACCAUUACGAAUAUAUACCUGAGGUCGACCUGCUGGUGGUGGUGUUGGUGGCUGCUCGUAGAUCUGAUUUUGAUCAACCUCAUCCUCAUAAUCGCCCGCAUACACAUCAUCGUCCUGGGUACCAGCAGCAGCAGUAGCAGGAGCCAAAGAAACACCAACAGCAGUAGCAGCGGCACCAGAAUUUUGUCCUGGCUCAAUAGGAACACGCUGUGCUCGUCCAUACUGAUUCGGAAGGGGGCGUAGUUGUUGUUGUUGCAGAGGUGCGACAGGUGCAGCCGGUGGUGGAAGACGCGCAAGCAGUUCAUUAAAUCUGUUAUCGAGCUUUGUUUCGAACGUCUUCUCAAGGCCAGUGAUCUUCUCCAUGGCCUCUUCAAAAUUGUUCAGCACAUCUUGUACCUGUUUAGUCAUCAUUUGCUGAAACUUAUCAUGAAGCUCCUUGUUCGAUAAGUUCUCCCAGUCAAUCUCGUCGGCUUGUGAUCCUGGCAUGGUUAGCAGCAAUAGAAACACACAAGAAUAUGAUCCUACAGACUACUAAGAAGUGGUGGUGGUGUAUCACAAAUCCGUCAAGCAAAUCUCAAANNNNNNNNNNNNNNNNNNNNNNNNNNNNNNNNNNNNNNNNNNNNNNNNNNNNNNNNNNNNNNNNNNNNNNNNNNNNNNNNNNNNNNNNNNNNNNNNNNNNNNNNNNNNNNNNNNNNNNNNNNNNNNNNNNNNNNNNNNNNNNNNNNNNNNNNNNNNNNNNNNNNNNNNNNNNNNNNNNNNNNNNNNNNNNNNNNNNNNNNNNNNNNNNNNNNNNNNNNNNNNNNNNNNNNNNNNNNNNNNNNNNNNNNNNNNNNNNNNNNNNNNNNNNNNNNNNNNNNNNNNNNNNNNNNNNNNNNNNNNNNNNNNNNNNNNNNNNNNNNNNNNNNNNNNNNNNNNNNNNNNNNNNNNNNNNNNNNNNNNNNNNNNNNNNNNNNNNNNNNNNNNNNNNNNNNNNNNNNNNNNNNNNNNNNNNNNNNNNNNNNNNNNNNNNNNNNNNNNNNNNNNNNNNNNNNNNNNNNNNNNNNNNNNNNNNNNNNNNNNNNNNNNNNNNNNNNNNNNNNNNNNNNNNNNNNNNNNNNNNNNNNNNNNNNNNNNNNNNNNNNNNNNNNNNNNNNNNNNNNNNNNNNNNNNNNNNNNNNNNNNNNNNNNNNNNNNNNNNNNNNNNNNNNNNNNNNNNNNNNNNNNNNNNNNNNNNNNNNNNNNNNNNNNNNNNNNNNNNNNNNNNNNNNNNNNNNNNNNNNNNNNNNNNNNNNNNNNNNNNNNNNNNNNNNNNNNNNNNNNNNNNNNNNNNNNNNNNNNNNNNNNNNNNNNNNNNNNNNNNNNNNNNNNNNNNNNNNNNNNNNNNNNNNNNNNNNNNNNNNNNNNNNNNNNNNNNNNNNNNNNNNNNNNNNNNNNNNNNNNNNNNNNNNNNNNNNNNNNNNNNNNNNNNNNNNNNNNNNNNNNNNNNNNNNNNNNNNNNNNNNNNNNNNNNNNNNNNNNNNNNNNNNNNNNNNNNNNNNNNNNNNNNNNNNNNNNNNNNNNNNNNNNNNNNNNNNNNNNNNNNNNNNNNNNNNNNNNNNNNNNNNNNNNNNNNNNNNNNNNNNNNNNNNNNNNNNNNNNNNNNNNNNNNNNNNNNNNNNNNNNNNNNNNNNNNNNNNNNNNNNNNNNNNNNNNNNNNNNNNNNNNNNNUGUUCUUGGCUCGCGUCUCUAGCACAGUCUAGCCUAGGACCAGCACAGUACCGUCGUUGAGCGUUUAUUCAACUUUGCAUCUCUGAAUUGAUUAUUGCUGACCCUUUUUGCUACCAUAUUAUAAGCCUUCCCAGCUCCACAUACAUCUACGUCGUGCGUUUGACUCUCCCUGGUAAUCGCUCUAUCCAAGCUUUGAGAGCUUUGACUACAACGGUUGCCGAUCACCGCCUGUUGCUGGGUAAGAACUGGUAACAAUUUGAGUUUUGCUUGACGGAUUUGUGACACCCACCACCACCACUUGUUCGUAGUCUGUAGGAUCAUAUUCUUGUGUGUUUCUAUUGCUGCUAACCAUGCCAGGAUCACAAGCCGACGAGAUUGACUGGGAGAAUUUAUCGAACAAGGAGCUUCAUGAUAAGUUUCAGCAAAUGAUGACUGAACAGGUGCAAGAUGUGCUGAACAAUUUUGAAGAGGCCAUGGAGAAGAUCACUGGCCUUGAGAAGAUGUUCGAAACAAAGCUCGAUAACAAGUUUAAUGAAUUGCUCGCGCGUCUUCCACCACCACCACCCGCUGCACCUAACGCACCUCUCCAACAACAACAACGACGACUACCUCCACGUCGCGAAACAGACCUCUGCCGAGCAUGCCGUGUUCCUCUUGCGUUUGGCCAAACUGUUGGUGCUGCUGUUGAUACUUCUGUGGCUCCUGCUGCUGAUGCGGAGGAGGAUGAUUAUGUGGGAGAUUAUGAGGAUGAGGUUGAUCAAAAUCAGCACUACGUGCAGCCACCUGUACCACCACCAGCAGGUCGACCUCAGGUAUAUAUUCGUAAUGGUAGGCCUGCACCACCACCUCAGGUACGAGAUGAUGUCCAUAUUCCUAAACUGAAAUUGAAUAUUCCACCAUUUGAGGGUAGAUAUGUUCCUGAUAUAUAUCUUACUUGGGAGUUAGAAACUGAACAACGAUUUACAUGUUUACAAUAUCCUGAGGAGAGACGAGUUGCUGCUGCUGUUUGUGCUUUCACUAGUUUUGCAUGUGUAUGGUGGUCUGAACAUUGUAGAUUAUAUCCUAUUCCAACUACUUGGGCUUCUUUGAAAACUGCUAUGCGUACGCGUUGGGUUCCACCAUAUUAUCAACGUGAAUUGCUUCAAAAAUUGCAGCGUUUAAGACAAGGGAAAAAUUCUGUAGAAGAAUAUUAUCAGGAAUUACAAACUGGCAUGAUUAGAUGUGGUAUUGUUGAGGAGAAUGAAGCUAUGCUUGCACUUUUUUUGGUGGAUUAAAUAGAGAGAUUCAGACCACUCUAGACUAUAAGGAGUAUACUAAUAUCACUCAUUUAUUCCAUCUUGCUUGUAAAGCUGAACGUGAAGUGCAGGAUCGACAAGCAUUGGGGCGAACUAACUUUUCUGCAGGCCGACCUUCAUCAUGGACACCACGUGCAUCUUCUACUUCAACUGCAGCAGCACCUCCAUCCGGUGCCACCUCCAGCCGUGAUACAAGAAAACAGGCACAACCACCAUUAUCUGGCAAGAGCGCACCUGCGGGGCCUGCACAACGUUCUUCUUCUUCCAUGGCAUCAACAGAGCACACAAGUGAUAUUAUUUGUCGUCGUUGUAAGGGAGGAGGUCAUUAUGUGGGAGAAUGCAAAUCUCCGCGUGUGAUGAUUGCUACCGCGGAUGGUGGAUAUGAGUCUGCUACUGACUAUGAUGAGGAGACUUUGGCUCUUAUUACACGUGAAGAACAUGGUGGAGAUGAUUCUGAUCAUGAGACGCAAUACAUGGCUCCUGAAGACACUGACAGGUAUGAAUGUUUAGUUGCUUAACGUGUUUUGAGUGUGCAGAUCACACAAGCUGAGCAAAAUCAGAGGCACAAUUUGUUCCAUACCAAGGGAGUUGUGAAGGAACGUUCUGUGCGCGUCAUCAUAGACGGAGGGAGCUGCAACAACUUGGCUAGCAUGGAGAUGGUGGAGAAGCUUUCUCUCACCACAAGACCACAUCCACAUCCUUACUACAUCCAAUGGUUCAACAACAGCGGCAAGGUUAAGGUAACACAUACUGUUCGUGUGCAUUUUAGUAUCUCUACAUAUGCUGAUUAUGUUGAUUGUGAUGUGGUACCUAUGCAAGCAUGUUCCUUAUUACUUGGUAGACCAUGGCAAUUUGAUAAAAAUUCUGUACACCAUGGUAUAAACAAUCACUAUACUCUUGUUCAUAAGGAUAAAAAUAUUACUUUGCUUCCUAUGACUCCUGAUUCCAUUUUGAAAGAUGAUAUUAAUAGAGCUAAUAAAGCAAAACAGGAGACGAAUAAGAGUGAAAAUCAGAUUGUGGCAAAAGAAUUUGAGCAACAAAUGAAGCCUAAUAAUAAACCAUCUAGUGUUGCUUCUGAAAUUAAAUUGAAAAGUGCAUGUUUAUUUGCCACCAAAUCUGAUAUUGAUGAGCUAGAUUUCAGCAAAUCUGUUUGCUAUGCUUUUGUGUGCAAAGAGGCAUUAUUUUCAUUCGAGGACGUGCCUUCCUCUUUGCCUCCUGCUGUCACUAACAUUUUGCAGGAGUUCGCUGACGUCUUUCCACAAGACGUGCCACCGGGAUUACCGCCUAUUCGAGGGAUUGAGCAUCAGAUUGACUUAAUUCCCGGUGCUUCACUGCCAAACCGUGCACCAUACCGUACCAACCCAGAGGAGACGAAGGAGAUUAUGCGUCAAGUACAAGAGCUUCUCGACAAAGGUUAUAUACGCGAAUCCCUUAGUCCUUGUGCUGUUCCUAUUAUUCUAGUGCCGAAAAAGGAUGGUACAUCACGUAUGUGUGUUGAUUGUAGAGGCAUUAAUAAUAUUACUAUUCGUUAUCGUCAUCCUAUUCCUAGGCUAGAUGAUAUGCUUGAUGAAUUGAGUGGCUCUACAAUAUUCUCCAAAGUUGAUUUGCGUAGUGGAUACCAUCAAAUUCGUAUGAAAUUUGGAGAUGAAUGGAAAACAGCAUUCAAAACUAAGUUUGGAUUAUAUGAGUGGUUAGUCAUGCCUUUUGGGUUAACUAAUGCACCUAGUACUUUCAUGAGAUUAAUGAACGAAGUUUUACGUGCUUUCAUUGGACGAUUUGUGGUAGUUUACUUUGAUGACAUAUUGAUUUAUAGCAGAUCUUUGGAAGAACAUUUGGAACAUUUACGUGCUGUUUUUAUUGCUCUACGUGAUGCAUGUUUGUUUGGUAACCUUGGGAAGUGCACCUUUUGCACCGACCGAGUAUCUUUUCUUGGCUAUGUUGUUACUCCACAGGGAAUUGAAGUUGAUAAAGCCAAGAUUGAAGCUAUUGAGAGUUGGCCGCAACCCAAAACGGUCACACAAGUGAGGAGUUUUCUUGGCCUCGCUGGAUUCUAUAGGCGUUUUGUGAGAGAUUUCAGCACCAUUGCUGCACCUGAUGAGGACAUGACUACCUUGGAUAUGACCAAAAAUAUUGCAUAUAUGCAUAUUUGUCAGGUGAUUUCUAGUGCAAACUAUUCAAUAAUCUAUUUAUGUUAUCCAGAACAAAAAUACUUCACACACUUUUGUGUUUUGUCUAAUUGCAGGUGUAUGGGACAUUUGUACAAUCCACAUAUGAAGAUAAGGAAGAAAGAGAUGUUUAUUUGCUGUCCAAAAAGUUCUCUCACGUCACUUUUGGCCCAAGAGAAGAUAGAGUCCAAGUCUCUCACGUUCUGGAUUCAGAUUCGGACUGCACAGACAUACCUGACUCAAAACGCACACAAGUUUUUCAUACGGACUCCGAAUUGGGUGAUUCUUUUUUUGUUGGAAACUAGAUUUCGUGCACUUUCCAACCCAAUUGGAAGCACCUUCAAAUUCGUCCGGAGCGUUGAGUUGUGGACGAAACAAUCUGAUGCUGCAGCAGAAUCCGAGUCAAACUACAAGUCCAAAGGUGUUACAUCACCUCCACUUGGGCCCAUUGGCCUUGUACGACCUAGAUUUAGUUUUAGGCUGCCUUGGGACGUCCUCCCACCUCCUUGGCCGCCACCCCUUGCUCCUAUAUAAGUAGAUCCAUCUAGUAGCUUUUCCUUGGGAUUUGUUUAGUUAAAAGUUAGCCAUUGCAACUUCGUGUGCUUCGUUUGUGUCCAACGACCAGACCAAGACCGCUUCUGGAUCACCACCUUUGCAAAUACCACAACCAUCACGAGAGGUGCACAAACAUCCAAAUGCACAUGAUCAGGUUAAUGUAUCUAUACCACCAUUUAAUGGCCGUUUUAAACCUGCUUUAUAUAUUGAAUGGGAGUUCGACAUAAAAAAUAUAUUUGCUUCCCAUAAUUUCGAUGAACAUAAAAAGGUUAAGGUUGCGGUUGGUUCUUUCACUGGUUAUGCUUUGGUUUGGUGGAGUGAAUAUUGUCGGUUACACCCUGAUUAUAUACCUACUACUUGGGAUGAUUUGAAACUUGCCAUGCGACAUACUUUCGUCCCUGCUUAUUAUACUCGUGACAUGAUUAAGAAGUUGCAACACUUAAAACAAGGUAGUGAAACUGUAACAAAAUAUUAUGAUGAUUUACAAACUACCUUGUUGCAUUCCUCUUUAGAAGAAAGUGAAGAUGAUUUUAUGGAUAGAUUUUGGGGAGGAUUAAACCGUGAUAUUCAAUAGAUACUAAUUCAUGAAGAGUGUUAUCCUAUGGACCAUUUGUUUCAUCUUGCUUGCAAAGCUGAACAGGAAAUAAAACGACGUGUUGGCCACGAGGAGAACAAGCGCACGGUGCACAUUCCAAGAGUUGAUAUGAUUGUUCCUUCAACUACUAGGCAUACUAUGACAACCACAUCCGUUGUUGUCAGGACUACAUCACCUCCACCAUGUGACACAUCGCCCCCGAGAGUGGCUACAUCCUCUGAGUUGAUCAUAAGAGGUAAUGACAAAGGUACUGAUCUUCCAUCUCUACAUGAGAAUGAUGAAUGCCUUGUCAAUUUGAAUGCACCAUCUGAUGAGCUACCCACUACUUUGAUCACACCACCUAUUUUAGAGGACUACGUUGAUAAUUUGACUUUGCCAUGUGAUCAAACAACUGAAAUACCAACAAUUUUGAGUGCACCCAUUGAAUUAACUAUUGAUGCAAAAGAACCAAUGUUUAAUCAUUUUGAUAUGACCUCUAAUCUUGGUGAUGAUUCUGUGUUGAAUGACUUAUUGCAUGUUUGCUUAUUUAAGCAUGUUGUAGCAUGUAAAUUUGAUGCAAGUAAGGUUUAUUCACCAAAAUUGGGAUGGUUUAAUGAUGAACAUUGUCAAUCUUUUGAAAUGAAUAAGAGCUUCACUUAUAUGUGCAAACUGAGUUGCAAUAUUUUCAUGCCUUCUACUACUUGUGAUAAUUUUUUGGCUUUAGAUUUUAUGAACUAUGCAAGUUACUCAUCUAUUCAUGUGUCAUAUAUGCAAAAAUCAAGGGAAGUAAAAAUGGAUGACAUAUACAUAUACAACAUGUACACCUUGUCUCUUUUGUUAGCCACAUUUCAGAUUAAGCAACGCCGAGGACGGCUUUAUUUUCAAGAAGGGGAGGAUGAUGAGGACAUGACUACCUUGGAUAUGACCAAAAAUAUUGCAUAUAUGCAUAUUUGUCAGGUGAUUUCUAGUGCAAACUAUUCAAUAAUCUAUUUAUGUUAUCCAGAACAAAAAUACUUCACACACUUUUGUGUUUUGUCUAAUUGCAGGUGUAUGGGACAUUUGUACAAUCCACAUAUGAAGAUAAGGAAGAAAGAGAUGUUUAUUUGCUGUCCAAAAAGUUCUCUCACGUCACUUUUGGCCCAAGAGAAGAUAGAGUCCAAGUGAUAGAGGCAAAGGUGUCCCGUCUUUCGAUGAGAUGGUGGAUUUCGCUUUGGUGGAAGUCGACUUUGACGAUCCGACUACGAACGUGCGAGGACGUCGCGCCUUAGCAAUCGCUAAACCAACUCCGAGAGGUUAUUGACCACGCCGGAGCACGAUCAACCUGACCACGAGGGUCUGUUUCCUGCGAGCAAACGAAGAACAAGCAAGAAACUGAGAUUGCAAUCUGGAUAUUGCGAAUAUAAGAUGAAAGCUUUAUUGAUCAAGGUGGGGUUCUGUGACGCCUUUGUCUGGUCGUUGAACACAAACGAAGUACGCGAAGUUGCAGCUAUGGCGAACUUUUAAUCUAAACCAAACCCAAAGUCUAAACGAUGCCCUAAGGGCUGUAUAUAUGGAGGAAGAGGGGGGAAUUUCGUGGCCCUUGGUGGAGGGGUCCGAAAUCAACCCUAUCUCUUGUUUCCCCACACAUACGGACUCUAAAAAUAGCCUAUACUUAUGUAUUUCGAAAUUACAUGGGCCUGGCCCAAUAAUAAGGUGACGCAGCACCUAAAAUAGCCUCGGGACGAAAUUUAUGAAGUGGCAUCUUGUAUAUUUCGUCCAAGGCUUCAUGCACCCAUUAUGGUGGCUUCAAAGUCCUGAAAUCAUCACUUGUAACUUCGUUCUUGUUCCCCUUGCGCAUGCCAUCAUCUCCAUGCUUGUUCUUGCUCCAAUGUUCAUCCUUCUCCAAGCUAGGCCCUUCAUUUGUAAGCAAAACAAAUGUAUCCAAUUUAGGCAGCAUCAUAUUCUCAUGAACAUUAGAAUCAUUACCAAGAAACGAAAGUACCUGGUAAUUUAGUUGGCGUGCACGAGCUUUAGUAAUUGGUCCAGUAUGUAUAGCAGCAGGGGCUGUGGGUGUAACAAUUGUAUUGAUGUCCUCAUCACAAAUACUAUUGUUUCAGAUCGUGAUACUAAAUUUCUUAGCCACUUUUGGAGAUGUUUAUGGGCUAAGUUGGGGACUAAACAACUUUUUAGUACUACUUGUCACCCCCAAACUGAUGGACAAACUGAAGUAGUCAAUAGAACGUUGUCUACUAUGCUUAGGGCUGUUUUGAAGAAUAAUAAGAAAAUGUGGGAGGAAUGCUUGCCUCAUAUUGAAUUUGCUUAUAAUCGUUCAUUGCAUUCUACUACUAAGAUGUGCCCUUUUGAAGUUGUGUAUGGUUUCCUACCUCGUGCACCUAUUGAUUUGUUGCCUCUUCCAUCUUCGGAGAAGGUUAAUUUUGAUGCUAAACAACGUGCUGAAUUGAUUUUAAAAAUGCAUGAGUUAACUAAGGAAAACAUUGAGCGCAUGAAUGCUAAAUAUAAACUUGCUGGAGAUAAGGGUAGAAAACAUGUUGUGUUUGCACCUGGAGAUCUUGUUUGGUUACAUUUGCGUAAGGAUAGAUUUCCUGAUUUGCGCAAAUCAAAGUUAAUGCCACGUGCUGAUGGUCCCUUUAAGGUGUUAGAGAAAAUAAAUGAUAAUGCAUAUAAACUUGAGCUGCCUGCAGAUUUUGGGGUUAGUCCCACUUUUAACAUUGCAGAUUUGAAGCCUUAUUUGGGUGAGGAAGAUGAGUUUCCGUCGACGAUGACUUCAUUUCAAGAAGGGGAGGAUGAUGAGGACAUCAAUACCAUUGUUACACCCACAGCCCCUACUGCUACAUAUACGUGACCAAUUACUAGAGCUCGCGCACGCCAAUUAAAUUAUCAGGUACUUUCGUUUCUUGGUAAUGAUUCUAAUGUUCAUGAGAAUAUGAUGCUGCCUAAAUUGGAUACAUUUGUUUUGCUUACAAAUGAGGGGCCUAGCUUGGAGAAGGAUGAACAUUGGAGCAAGAACAAGCAUGGAGAUGAUGCCAUGCGCAAGGGGAACAAGAACGGAGUUAGAAGUGAUGAUUUCAGGACUUUGAAGCCACCAUAAUGGGUGCAUGAAGCCUUGGACGAAAUAUACAAGAUGCCACUUCAUAAAUUUCGUCCCGAGGCUAUUAUAGGUGCUGCGUCACCUUUUUAUUGGGCCAGGCCCAUGUAAUUUCGAAAUACAUAAGUAUAGGCUAUUUUUAGAGUCCGUAUGUGUGGGGAAACAAGAGAUAGGGUUGAUUUCGGACCCCUCCACCAAGGGCCACAAAAUUCCCCCUCUCUUCCUCCAUAUAUACAGCCCUUAGGGCACCGUUUAGACUUUGGGUUUUGUUUAGAUUAAAAGUUCGCCAUAGCUGCAACUUCGCGUACUUCGUUUGUGUUCAACGACCAGACAAAGGCGUCACAGAACCCCACCUUGAUCAAUAAAGCUAUCAUCUUAUAUUCGCAAUAUCCAGAUUGCAAUCUCAGUUUCUUGCUUGUUCUUCGUUUGCUUGCAGGAAACAGACCCUCGUGGUCAGGUUGAUUGUGCUCCGGCGUGGUCAAUAACCUCUCGGAGUUGGUUUAGCGAUUGGUAAGGCGCGACGUCCUCGCACGUUCGUAGUCGGAUCGUCAAAGUCGACUGCCACCAAAGCGAUUUCCAUCAUCUCAUCGAAAGACGGGACACCUUUGCCUCUAUCAGGUAGUAUAUGGAUAUGGAUCGGUGGUGGUAUAUGGAUACGGAUUGGUGGUGGUAUAUGGAUACGGAUUCGGAGCGAUGGUGGUAGAUGGCAGGGGCGAUGAUGAUGGUGCGGCGGCGGCGUGACAACUUAUGACCAGAACUCGAAACUCUAAAAGACUAGACUCUAAGACUAGCAACUAGACCGACGAUGCAACCGCAAAUUCAACAAAGCAAAACCCUAAAAAGAUUAUGCAAAGGCUCAGAUUGGUUCGGAUAUGAUGAACUAACCCUAAUUUUUUUUGUGGCUUUUUCGUGGACUGUAGGUAUGAAGAACAGACUCGAUCUAAACUACGAAAAACUGUAAAAUCUCACCGAGCAACCUGGAAAUCUGAUACCACUUGAUAGAGGCAAAGGUGUCCCGUCUUUCGAUGAGAUGAUGGAUAUCGCUUUGGUGGCAGUCGACUUUGACGAUCCGACUACGAACGUGCGAGGACGUCGCGCCUUAGCAAUCGCUAAACCAACUCCGAGAGGUUAUUGACCACGCCGGGGCACGAUCAACCUGACAACGAGGGUCUGUUUCCUGCGAGCAAAUGAAGAACAAGCAAGAAACUGAGAUUGCAAUCUGGAUAUUGUGAAUAUAAGAUGAAAGCUUUAUUGAUCAAGGUGGGGUUCUGUGACGCCUUUGUCUGGUCGUUGAACACAAACGAAGUACGCGAAGUUGCAGCUAUGGCGAACUUUUAAUCUAAACAAAACCCAAAGUCUAAACGGUGCCCUAAGGGCUGUAUAUAUGGAGGAAGAGAGGGGGAAUUUCGUGGCCCUUGGUGGAGGGGUCCGAAAUCAACCCUAUCUCUUGUUUCCCCACACAUACGGACUCUAAAAAUAGCCUAUACUUAUGUAUUUCGAAAUUACAUGGGCCUGGCCCAAUAAAAAGGUGACGCAGCACCUAUAAUAGCCUCGGGACGAAAUUUAUGAAGUGGCAUCUUGUAUAUUUCGUCCAAGGCUUCAUGCACCCAUUAUGGUGGCUUCAAAGUCCUGAAAUCAUCACUUGUAACUCCGUUCGUGUUCCCCUUGCGCAUGCCAUCAUCUCCAUGCUUGCUCUUGCUCCACUGUUCAUCCUUCUCCAAGCUAGGCCCUUCAUUUGUAAGCAAAACAAAUGUAUCCAAUUUAGGCGGCAUCAUAUUCUCAUGAACAUUAGAAUCAUUACCAAGAAACGAAAGUACCUGAUAAUUUAAUUGGCGUGCGCGAGCUCUAGUAAUUGGUCCCGUAUAUGUAGCAGUAGGGGCUGUGGGUGUAACAAUGGUAUUGAUGUCCUCAUCACCAUCAAAGAUCAAUAUAUGCAUGAUGCUGAAUUUAAAAAUGUAUUGCAGAAUUGUAAGGAAGAGAAAACUUGGAACAAGUUCGUUCAUAACGAUGGAUUUGUGUUUCGUGCAAACAAGCUAUGCAUUCCAGCUAGCUCCGUUCGUCUUUUGUUGUUACAGGAGGCGCAUGGAGGAGGAUUAAUGGGACACUUUGGCAUCAAGAAGACAGAGGAUAUACUUGCUACACAUUUCUUUUGGCCAAAUAUGAGACUGUAUGUUGAGCGUUUUGUUGAUCGCUGCACUACAUGUCAAAAAGCUAAGUCACGACUCAAUCCUCAUGGUUUAUGAUGCGGAGCAUCCUAUGGACAUCACCAUGUCAAGAGUCCGUUCAGCGGGUGACACGUGGGACAUCUACUUCACAUACACAAAGGUGAAUCAUCUCCUAUACACGUGCUCUUGACCCCUUCGAGGAUGGUAUACUACUUGACACUCCACUCGUGUGCAUGCAUAGGUAUUGUCGGAACACUACGGACGACGAGGAGGAGUGCAAGCGCCAAGGAACAACUACACCAUCCGCAAGGGAAGCCUGGAAGCGACGAAAGAAGAUGGCGCUACUGAAGCUACAGCGGCCAGACAUCUGGGCCAAAGGCCGGACAUCCGGCGCCAACCCCGGACAUCCGGCGCCUCCCGACAGCCCGGACAUCCGGCAUCUCCCUCGGAAAUCCGGCACCGAUGUAUCCACAGAGCAGCUGAACCUCCACUUCAGCCCGGACAUCCGGCUGCGACCCCGGACAUCCGGCUCGUCCCAAAGCCCCGGACAUCCGGCCCCCAGCCCGGACGUCCGGCACCUGCGCGUGCCUAACCGGGCCAAAGGCCCAUCUAUCCCCUCCUCACUCACCCCUUCGUGGCUCUAGACUAUAUAUACUCCUCCACCUCCUUCUAGUUAGGGUUAGCAUUGUGAUAGCUCAUUUGAGAGAUAGAGCUUCGCUCAUCCAUAUCAGAUCUACUCCACGAGAGAGACCGCGGCCCCUCUACGGAGAAGAUCCACCUUGGAUUCAAGACCCCUCACGGGAUGAUCCAUUUGUGGAUUCAAGACCUCCUCACGGAGAAGAACCGGUUAUCUCUUGUAUCGUCCGUUGUUGACUUUGGAUCUUGUAUCUCCUUUGUGUUCAUGGAUCUAGCACAUGUGUGAUCAUUCUUGUUGGUUUGAGUGUUCUCUUGUGUCCCCCUUGUGAUUUUCCCCUCGUUUUCCCCCUCGUGUUCUUCGUGUUCAUCACGGGAUCCGCUCCUUUCGUGAAAUAUUGGGCCACUAGGGUUCUACCCUACAUCAUCUUGGUAUCACGAGCCACGCUGAUCAUGAUUUCGGAGCCUCCCCCCUUGUUUUCUAGCCUAAUUUUGUUGUGUUCUUCCCCAAUUUCGAAAAUCCCCACCAAAAAUAGCCCCAAUUUUUUUCUGAUUUGUUGGUUUGACGAAGUUUUGUUGAUUUUGAUCCAUGGAUUUGCUUGGUUUCGAGUGGAUCUAGCAUAUCCCCAAUUUUCCUCAAUUUCCAUCCACAAAAUCCCAUCAAUUUUGCCCCCAAAUUCAUCUAUUUCUGCCCCCAAAUCAAGUUUUGAUGUCCCAAUCGAGAUCUGGAAUCAUCGGGCCGGGCAUCCGGGCCUCAGGCCGAACAUCCGGGACCCAAGCCGGACAUCCGGCUCCUGAAACAUAAAACCCGCACGGUUCUAGACAUCAGCCCCCGGAUAUCCGGCCCCCACCCCCGGAUGUCCGGCCCCUGGUAUUUCAGCCUUUCCCAUUUCACCGUUUUGUCCAUAACUAAUUCAUCCGGAAUCCGUUUUUGAUGUUCUUUAGCUUGUUGAAAAGCUCUUGACAUCCCCCUUCCAACAAAAAUACUACCAUAACCAUUUGACUCCAUCAAAAUUUUGGAACUUUGGCAUCUUUGCCUAGGGCUUCCACCACAACCUCCGCAUAACCACCACCGACUUCCGCAACCUAACCAAUUUUGUUCCUUAUAGCAUUUGUGGUUGCUUGAGUAGUGAUUCGAGUCUCCUAAGGUGUUUAGGAUACUUAGGGACAGUUGCUUCUUCAUCAACGACCACCACCACCAUAACUCCCACAUAGGCUUGUCCACCAUAUACUUCCACCACCCCGACUUCACCCAAUUUAGUUUGUGUUUUGAGUUGUGUCUCCUAAGGUGUUUAGGCUACUUAGGGACCGUGCUUCCAACUUCGACACCGUGUAUAGUACACCACCUUACCCUCCACUUUAGCAUUGCCUACUCACAAAACCAAUCAUUGCAUUUCCGCAAUCCCAUUGAGCUUCCGCAACCACCAUCGCAUCCCGCUACCACCAUUUGACGUUUGAGAUUUUGAGUUCGCGGGUUUUCCGUUUCCUAAGGUGUUUCGGCUACUUAGGGACGAGUGAUGAGGACAUGACUACCUUGGAUAUGACCAAAAAUAUUGCAUAUAUGCAUAUUUGUUAGGUGAUUUCUAGUGCAAACUAUUCAAUAAUCUACCUCGGAUCGUCAAAGUCGUCUCCACCAAAUCGAUAGUUAUCAUCUCAUCGAAAGAUCGGGACACCUCGCCUCUAUCAAGUGGUAUCAGUUUUUAGGUUGCUCGGUGAGAAUUUCCAGUUUUUCUUAGAUUAGAUUUAUUUUCUUACCUAUUGUCCAAGAAAAAGCCACAAAAAAAAAGUUAGAUAUGUUCAUCCUUUAUCCAAGCCAGUCUGAGCCUUUGCAAUUUUCUAUUCAUUGCUUGCAUAGUUGAAUUAUCGGUUGCAUCGUCGUGUCAGUUGCUGGUCUUAGUGUCUAGUUCCUUUAGAGUUUCGAGUUCUGUUCACAUUAGUCACGCCGCCGCUGCAUCAUUAUCCGUUCCGCUGUCCACCAUCCCAUCUAUUAAUUUCCACCACGUGCUAUGCACUGUUCAUUGUCAUAAUCAUAGUUGAGGUCAUUCACAUCUUCGCCUGAUCCAAUCUGCAUCUUAUCUAGUUUGUCUUGGAAAGAGGGAGAAAAAAAAGAUAGAGAAAAAAAAAGAGAAAAAAAGGAAAUAAAAAGAGAGAGAAGAAAAAAAAAGCGUGAGAAAAAAAAGAGAGAAGAAAAAAAUUGGAUCUAUCUAGAAUCAAUCUCGUACCUGAAUUCGGAUUGGAAUCUGUUUUGCGCACUAUUCAGUAAAACAGGUGUAUCUUCCUCAUACGAAGUCCGUUUUGGCUCCGUGAGUACUCAAAUUGAAGAUAGCGACGAGCCGCAUCUAAAUAGUUGCAGAAGAUAGUUCAAUAUUUGACACCUCAAAAUCGGCUUCUAAAUAGGUCUUUUUGCCCUUCGAAGUUCGUGAACACAACUUGUUCCAAUUUUUCAGGCCAGUUUUAGAAUUCUUUGACUCCUCAUAUCAACUCGGAAUUGAGUGAUUCUUUUUGCAUUGGAAAGCUUGAGUUAGUAGCAUUCUUUGAAAGAAUUUAUCAGAAAAUUGUCUCAAACUUUUCAAGAGGAAAGUUGGAGAGAGAGUUGUUGUAUAUCCUGCUUGGCAGUUGUUUUUCAUCAUUAUCUUCACUGCCGUUGUGAUCUUCACUUAUAUCUUGCUGUCAAGAGCUACUUAGUAUCCUUCAUUGAUGCUAGUUGUGCUAUGCCGUGACCUCAUUAGUGUUCUAGGCUCGCGUCUCUAGUACGGUCUAGCCUAGGACCAGCACAGUACCAUCGUUGAGCGUUUAUUCAACAUUGCAUCUUUGAAUUGAUUAUUGCUAAUCUUUUGCUACCAUAUAUAGCCAACCCAGCUCCACAUAUUUCUACACCGCGUAUACGUACGCUCCCCUGACAAUCGCUUUACUCAAUAUUCGGAGUUACUUGACACCGCUGGUUGCCGAUCACCGCCUGCUGCAUGGUAAGAACUUGUAAGACAUUGAUAUUUGCUUUACUGUGAGCGUUUUACCACCACAUCCUAGUAGUUAUAGGAACAUUAUUUUUGGGUUUUGUUUCUUGUUCUACUAAUCUUGACAGGAUCCAGAGUCAAUUCAUGGGCUUUGUCGAUCGCGGGAGACGUGCCACCACCUUUGCAAAUACCACAACCGUCACGAGAGGUGCACAAACAUCCAAAUGCACAUGAUCAGGUUAAUGUAUCUAUACCACCAUUUAAUGGCCGUUUUAAACCUGCUUUAUAUAUUGAAUGGGAGUUCGACAUAAAAAAUAUAUUUGCUUCCCAUAAUUUCAAUGAACAUAAAAAGGUUAAGGUUGCGGUUGGUUCUUUCACUGGUUAUGCUUUGGUUUGGUGGAGUGAAUAUUGUCGGUUACACCCUGAUUAUAUACCUACUACUUGGGAUGAUUUGAAACUUGCCAUGCGACAUACUUUCGUCCCUGCUUAUUAUACUCGUGACAUGAUUAAGAAGUUGCAACACUUAAAACAAGGUAGUGAAACUGUAACAAAAUAUUAUGAUGAUUUACAAACUACCUUGUUGCAUUCCUCUUUAGAAGAAAGUGAAGAUGAUUUUAUGGAUAGAUUUUGGGUAGGAUUAAACUGUGAUAUUCAAGAGAUACUAAUUCAUGAAGAGUGUUAUCCUAUGGACCAUUUGUUUCAUCUUGCUUGCAAAGCUGAACAGGAAAUAAAACGACGUGUUGGCCACGAGGAGAACAAGCGCAUGGUGCACAUUCCAAGAGUUGAUAUGAUUGUUCCUUCAACUACUAGGCAUACUAUGACAACCACAUCCGUUGUUGUCAGGACUACAUCACCUCCACCAUGUGACACAUCGCCCCCGAGAGUGGCUACAUCAUCUGAGUUGAUCAUAAGAGGUAAUGACAAAGGUACUGAUCUUCCAUCUCUACAUGAGAAUGAUGAAUGCCUUGUCAAUUUGAAUGCACCAUCUGAUGAGCUACCCACUACUUUGAUCACACCACCUAUUUUAGAGGACUACGUUGAUAAUUUGACUUUGCCAUGUGAUCAAACAACUGAAAUACCAACAAUUUUGAGUGCACCCAUUGAAUUAACUAUUGAUGCAAAAGAACCAAUGUUUAAUCAUUUUGAUAUGACCUGUAAUCUUGGUGAUGAUUCUGUGUUGAAUGACUUAUUGCAUGUUUGCUUAUUUAAGCAUGUUGUAGCAUGUAAAUUUGAUGCAAGUAAGGUUUAUUCACCAAUGUUGGGAUGGUUUAAUGAUGAACAUUGCCAAUCUUUUGAAAUGAAUAAAAGCUUCACUUAUAUGUGCAAACUGAGUUGCAAUAUUUUCAUGCCUUCUACUUCUUGUGCUAAUUUUUUGGCUUUAGAUUUUAUGAACUAUGCAAGUUACUCAUCUAUUAAUGUGUCAUAUAUGCAAAAAUCAAGGGAAGUAAAAAUGGAUGACAUAUACAUAUACAACAUGUACACCUUGUCUCUUUUGUUAGCCACAUUUCAGAUUAAGCAACGCCGAGGACGGCUUUAUUUUCAAGAAGGGGAGGAUGAUGAGGACAUGACUACCUUGGAUAUGACCAAAAAUAUUGCAUAUAUGCAUAUUUGUCAGGUGAUUUCUAGUGCAAACUAUUCAAUAAUCUAUUUAUGUUAUCCAGAACAAAAAUACUUCACACACUUUUGUGUUUUGUCUAAUUGCAGGUGUAUGGGACAUUUGUACAAUCCACAUAUGAAGAUAAGGAAGAAAGAGAUGUUUAUUUGAUGUCCAAAAAGUUCUCUCACGUCACUUUUGGCCCAAGAGAAGAUAGAGUCCAAGUCUCUCACGUUCUGGAUUCAGAUUCGGACUGCACAGACAUACCUGACUCAAAACGCACACAAGUUUUUCACACGGACUCCGAAUGCGGUGAUUCUUUUUUUGUUGGAAACUAGAUUUCGUGCACUUUCCAACCCAAAUGGAAUCACCUUCAAAUUCGUCCGGAGCGUUGAGUUGUGGACGAAACAAUCUGAUGCUGCAGCAGAAUCCGAGUCAAACUACAAGUCCAAAGGUGUUACAUCACCUCCACUUGGGCCCAUUGGCCUUGUACGACCUAGAUUUAGUUUUAGGCUGCCUUGGGACGUCCUCCCACCUCCUUGGCCGCCACCCCUUGCUCCUAUAUAAGUAGAUCCAUCUAGUAGCUUUUCCUUGGGAUUUGUUUAGUUAAAAGUUAGCCAUUGCAACUUCGUGUACUUCGUUUGUGUCCAACGACCAGACCAAGACCGCUUACGAAUCCCCACCUUUAUCAAUACUUCAUAUAUACUCGCAAUAUUCAGAUUGCUUUUAUCAUAUUCUUGCUUGUUCUUCGAUUGCUUGCAGGAAUAGACCUUCGUGGUCAGGUUGAUUGUGCUCCGGCGUGAUCAAUAACCUCUCGGAGUUGGUUUAGCGAUUGCUAAGGCGCAACGUCGUGCACGUUUGUAGUCGGAUCGUCAAAGUUGUCUCCACCAAAUCGAUAGUUAUCAUCUCAUCGAAAGAUUGGGACACCCUCGCCUCUAUCAAGUGGUAUCAGUUUUCAGGUUGCUCGGUGAGAAUUUCCAGUUUUCCUAGAUUAGAUUUAUUUUCUUACCUAUUGUCCAAGAAAAAUCCACAAAAAAAGAGUUAGAUCUAUUCAUCCUUUGUCCAAGCCAGUCUGAGCCUUUGCAAUUUUCUUUUCAUUGUUUGCAUAGUUGAAUUAUCGGUUGCAUCGUCGUGUCGAGUUGCUGGUCUUAGUGUUUAGGUCGUUUAGAGUUUCGAGUUCUGUUCACAUUAGUCACGUCGCCGCUGCAUCGUUAUCCCUUCCGCUGUCCACCACCCAUCCAUCAAUUUCCUCCACGUGCUACCCACCGUUCAUUGUCAUAAUCAUAGUUGAGAUCGUUCCCAUCUUCGCUUGAUCCAAUCUACAUCUUAUCUAGUUUGUUUUGGAAAGAAGGAGAGAGAAAAAAAAAGAUAGAGAAAAAAAACGAGAGAAAAAAAAGUAAAAAAAAAGUCAGAGAAAAAAAAGAAAGGAAAAGAAAAAUAAGUGUGAGAAAAAAAAGAGAGGAGAAAAAAAAACAAAAUUCGGAUCUAUCUAGACUCAAUCUCGUAGUUCGGAUUGGAAUGAAAGCUAGUGACGAGCCGCAUCUAAAUAGUUGCAGAAGCUAGUUCAGUAUUUGGCACCUCAACAUCAGCUUCUAAAUAGGUCUACUGCUAUUGUGAUCUUCACUUAUAUCUUGCUGUCUAGAGCUACUUCAUAUCCUUUAUUGAUGCUAGUUGUGCUACGACGUGACCUCAUUAGUGUUCUAGGCUCGCGUCUCUAGUUUGGUCUAGCCUAGGACCAGCACAGUACCGUCGUUGAGCGUUUAUUCAACAUUGCAUCUUUGAAUUGAUUAUUGCUAAUCUUUUGCUACCAUAUAUAGCCAACCCAGCUCCACAUAUUUCUACACCGUGUAUACGUACGCUCCCCUGGCAAUCGCUUUACUCAAUAUUCGGAGUUACUUGACACCGCUGGUUGCCGAUCACCGCCUGCUGCAUGGUAAGAACUUGUAAGACAUUGAUAUUUGCUUUACUGUGAGCGUUUUACCACCACAUCCUAGUAGUUAUAGGAACAUUAUUUUUGGGUUUUGUUUCUUGUUCUACUAAUCAUGACAGGAUCCAGAGUCAAUUCAUGGGCUUUGUCGAUCGCGGGAGACGUGCCACCACCUUUGCAAAUACCACAACCGUCACGAGAGGUGAACAAACAUCCAAAUGCACAUGAUCAGGUUAAUGUAUCUAUACCACCAUUUAAUGGCCGUUUUAAACCUGCUUUAUAUAUUGAAUGGGAGUUCGACAUAAAAAAUAUAUUUGCUUCCCAUAAUUUCAAUGAACAUAAAAAGGUUAAGGUUGCGGUUGGUUCUUUCACUGGUUAUGCUUUGGUUUGGUGGAGUGAAUAUUGUCGGUUACACCCUGAUUAUAUACCUACUACUUGUGAUGAUUUGAAACUUGCCAUGCGACAUACUUUCGUCCCUGCUUAUUAUACUCGUGACAUGAUUAAGAAGUUGCAACACUUAAAACAAGGUAGUGAAACUGUAACAAAAUAUUAUGAUGAUUUACAAACUACCUUGUUGCAUUCCUCUUUAGAAGAAAGUGAAGAUGAUUUUAUGGAUAGAUUUUGGGGAGGAUUAAACCGUGAUAUUCAAGAGAUACUAAUUCAUGAAGAGUGUUAUCCUAUGGACCAUUUGUUUCAUCUUGCUUGCAAAGCUGAACAGGAAAUAAAACGACGUGUUGGCCACGAGGAGAACAAGCGCACGGUGCACAUUCCAAGAGUUGAUAUGAUUGUUCCUUCAACUACUAGGCAUACUAUGACAACCACAUCCGUUGUUGUCAGGACUACAUCACCUCCACCAUGUGACACAUCGCCCCCGAGAGUGGCUACAUCAUCUGAGUUGAUCAUAAGGCGAUUGCUAAGGCGCAACGUCGUGCACGUUUGUAGUCGGAUCGUCAAAGUCAUCUUCACCAAAUCGAUAGUUAUCAUCUCAUCGAAAGAUCGGGACACCCCCGCCUCUAUCAAGUGGUAUCAGAGCCGACGAGAUUGACUGGGAGAAUUUAUCGAACAAGGAGCUUCAUGAUAAGUUUCAGCAAAUGAUGACUGAACAGGUGCAAGAUGUGCUGAACAAUUUUGAAGAGGCCAUGGAGAAGAUCACUGGCCUUGAGAAGACGUUCGAAACAAAGCUCGAUAACAAGUUUAAUGAAUUGCUCGCGCGUCUUCCACCACCACCACCCGCUGUACCUAAUGCACCUCUCCAACAACAACAACAACGACUACCUCCACGUCGCGAAGCAGACCUCCGCCGAGCAAGCCGUGUUCCUCUUGCGUUUGGCCAAACUGUUGGUGCUGCUGUUGAUACUUCUGUGGCUCCUGCUGCUGAUGCGGAGGAGGAUGAUUAUGUGGGAGAUUAUGAGGAUGAGGUUGAUCAAAAUCACCACUACGUGCAGCCACCUGUACCACCACCAGCAGGUCGACCUCAGGUAUAUAUUCGUAAUGGUAGGCCUGCACCACCACCUCAGGUACGCGAUGAUGUCCAUAUUCCUAAACUGAAAUUGAAUAUUCCACCAUUUGAGGGUAGAUAUGUUCCUGAUAUAUAUCUUACUUGGGAGUUAGAAACUGAACAACGAUUUACAUGUUUACAAUAUCCUGAGGAGAGACGAGUUGCUGCUGCUAUUUGUGCUUUCACUAGUUUUGCAUGUGUAUGGUGGUCUGAACAUUGUAGAUUAUAUCCUAUUCCAACUACUUGGGCUGCUUUGAAAACUGCUAUGCGUACGCGUUGGGUUCCACCAUAUUAUCAACGUGAAUUGCUUCAAAAAUUGCAGCGUUUAAGACAAGGAAAAAAUUCUGUAGAAGAAUAUUAUCAGGAAUUACAAACUGGCAUGAUUCGAUGUGGUAUUGUUGAGGAGAAUGAAGCUAUGCUUGCACGUUUUCUGGGUGGAUUAAAUAGAGAGAUUCAGACCAUUCUAGACUAUAAGGAGUAUACUAAUAUCACUCGUUUAUUCCAUCUUGCUUGUAAAGCUGAACGUGAAGUGCAGGAUCGACAAGCAUUGGCGCGAACUAACUUUUCUGCAGGCCGACCUUCCUCAUGGACGCCGCGUGCAUCUUCUACUUCAACUGCACCAGCACCUCAAUCAGGUGCCUCCUACAGUCGUGAUACAAGAAAACAUGAACAACCACCAUUAUCUGCCAAGAGCGCACCUGCGGGGCCUGCACAGCGUUCUUCUUCUUCCAUGGCAUCAACAGGGCACACAAGUGAUAUUAUUUGUCGUCGUUGUAAGGGAGGAGGUCAUUAUGCGAGGGAAUGCAAAUCUCCGCGUGUGAUGAUUGCUACCGCGGAUGGUGGAUAUGAGUCCGCUAGUGACUAUGAUGAGGAGACAUUGGCUCUUAUUACACGUGAAGAACAUGGUGGAGAUGAUUCUGAUCAUGAGACGCAAUACAUGGCUCCUGAAGACGCUGACAGGUAUGAAUGUUUAGGUGCUCAACGUGUUUUGAGUGUGCAGGUCACACAAGCUGAGCAAAAUCAGAGGCACAAUUUGUUCCAUACCAAGGGAGUUGUGAAGGAACGUUCUAUGCGCGUCAUAAUAGACGGAGGGAGCUGCAACAACUUGGCUAGCAUGGAGAUGGUGGAGAAGCUUUCUCUCACCACAAGACCACAUCCACAUCCUUACUACAUCCAAUGGUUCAACAACAGCGGCAAGGUUAAGGUAACACGUACUGUUCGUGUGCAUUUUAGUAUCUCUACAUAUGCUGAUUAUGUUGAUUGUGAUGUGGUACCUAUGCAAGCAUGUCCUUAUUACUUGGUAGACCAUGGCAAUUUGAUAAAAAUUCUGUACACCAUGGUAGAAACAAUCACUAUACUCUUGUUCAUAAGGAUAAAAAUAUUACUUUGCUUCCUAUGACUCCUGAUUCCAUUUUGAAAGAUGAUAUUAAUAGAGCUAAUAAAGCAAAACAGGAGAAGAAUAAGAGUGAAAAUCAGAUUGUGGCAAAAGAAUUUGAGCAACAAAUGAAGCCUAAUAAUAAACCAUCUAGUGUUGCUUCUGAAAUUAAAUUGAAAAGUGCAUGUUUAUUUGCCACCAAAUCUGAUAUUGAUGAGCUAGAUUUCAGCAAAUCUGUUUGCUAUGCUUUUGUGUGCAAAGAGGCAUUAUUUUCAUUCGAGGACGUGCCUUCCUCUUUGCCUCCUACUGUCACUAACAUUUUGCAGGAGUUCGCUGACGUUUUUCCACGAGACGUGCCACCGGGAUUACCGCCUAUUCGAGGGAUUGAGCAUCAGAUUGACUUAAUUCCCGGUGCUUCACUGCCAAACCGUGCACCGUACCAUACCAAUCCAGAGGAGACGAAGGAGAUUAUGCGUCAAGUACAAGAGCUUCUCGACAAAGGUUAUAUACGCGAAUCCCUUAGUCCUUGUGCUGUUCCUAUUAUUCUAGUGCCGAAAAAGGAUGGUACAUCACGUAUGUGUGUUGAUUGUAGAGGCAUUAAUAAUAUUACUAUUCGUUAUCGUCAUCCUAUUCCUAGGCUAGAUGAUAUGCUUGAUGAAUUGAGUGGCUCUACAAUAUUCUCCAAAGUUGAUUUGCGUAGUGGCUACCAUCAAAUUCGUAUGAAAUUGGGAGAUGAAUGGAAAACAGCAUUUAAAACUAAGUUUGGAUUAUAUGAGUGGUUAGUCAUGCCUUUUGGGUUAACUAAUGCACCUAGUACUUUCAUGAGAUUAAUGAACGAAGUUUUACGUGCUUUCAUUGGACGAUUUGUGGUAGUUUACUUUGAUGACAUAUUGAUUUAUAGCAGAUCUUUGGAAGAACAUUUGGAACAUUUACGUCCUGUUUUUAUUGCUCUACGUGAUGCACGUUUGUUUGGUAACCUUGGGAAGUGCACCUUUUGCACCGACCGAGUAUCUUUUCUUGGCUAUGUUGUUACUCCACAGGGAAUUGAAGUUGAUAAAGCCAAGAUUGAAGCUAUUGAGAGUUGGCCGCAGCCCAAAACGGUCACACAAGUGAGGAGUUUUCUUGGCCUCGCUGGAUUCUAUAGGCGUUUUGUGAGAGAUUUCAGCACCAUUGCUGCACCUCUCAAUGAGCUUACAAAGAAAGAUGUGCCUUUUCUUUGGGGUACUGCACAGGAAGAAGCCUUCACGGUAUUGAAAGAUAAGUUGACACAUGCUCCUUUACUCUAACUUCCUGAUUUUAAUAAGACUUUUGAGCUUGAAUGUGAUGCUAGUGGAAUUGGAUUAGGAGGUGUGUUAUUACAAGAUGGCAAACCUGUUGCAUACUUUUCUGAAAAAUUGAGUGGGCCUAGUCUGAAUUAUUCUACUUAUGAUAAAGAAUUAUAUGCUCUUGUUCGGACUUUAGAAACAUGGCAACAUUAUUUAUGGCCCAAAGAAUUUGUUAUACAUUCUGAUCAUGAAUCUUUGAAACAUAUUAAAAGUCAAGCUAAACUGAAUCGUAGACAUGCUAAAUGGGUUGAAUUCAUUGAGACUUUCCCUUAUGUCAUUAAACACAAGAAGGGAAAAGAAAAUGUUAUUGCUGAUGCAUUGUCUCGUCGCUGUACUAUGCUUUCACAACUUGACUUCAAAAUAUUUGGUUUGGAGACCAUCAAAGAUCAAUAUGUGCAUGAUGCUGAUUUUAAAGAUGUAAUGCAGAAUUGUAAAGAAGGACGAAUGUGGAACAAGUUUGUCGUUAACGAUGGAUUUGUGUUUCGUGCUAACAAGCUAUGCAUUCCAGCUAGCUCCGUUCGUCUUUUGUUGUUGCAGGAGGCGCAUGGAGGAGGAUUAAUGGGACACUUUGGCAUGAAGAAGAUGGAGGACGUACUUGCUACACAUUUCUUUUGGCCAAAGAUGAGACGGGAUGUUGAGCGUUUUAUUGCUCGCUGCACUACAUGUCAAAAAGCUAAGUCACGACUCAAUCCUCAUGGUUUAUAUAUGCCUUUGCCUGUACCUAGUGUUCCUUGGGAGGAUAUAUCUAUGGACUUUGUUUUAGGUUUACCUCGAACAAAGAAGGGGAGGGAUAGCAUAUUUGUUGUCGUGGAUAGAUUCUCGAAAAUGGCACACUUUAUACCAUGUCAUAAAAGCGAUGAUGCUGUUAAUGUUGCUGAUUUGUUCUUUCGUAAAAUUAUUCGCUUGCAUGGUGUGCCAAAUACUAUUGUUUCAGAUCGUGAUACUAAAUUUCUUAGCCACUUUUGGAGAUGUUUAUGGGCUAAGUUGGGGACUAAACUGCUUUUUAGUACUACUUGUCACCCCCAAACUGAUGGACAAACUGAAGUAGUCAAUAGAACGUUGUCUACUAUGCUUAGGGCUAUUUUGAAGAAUAAUAAGAAAAUGUGGGAGGAAUGCUUGCCUCAUAUUGAAUUUGCUUAUAAUCGUUCAUUGCAUUCUACUACUAAGAUGUGCCCUUUUGAAGUUGUGUAUGGUUUCCUACCUCAUGCACCUAUUGAUUUGUUGCCUCUUCCAUCUUCGGAGAAGGUUAAUUUUGAUGCUAAACAACGUGCUGAAUUGAUUUUAAAAAUGCAUGAGUUAACUAAGUGAUAGAGGCAAAGGUGUCCCGUCUUUCGAUGAGAUGAUGGAUAUCGCUUUGGUGGAAGUCGACUUUGACGAUCCGACUACGAACGUGCGAGGACGUCGCGCCUUAGCAAUCGCUAAACCAACUUCGAGAGGUUAUUGACCACGCUGGAGCACGAUCAACCUGACCACGAGGGUCUGUUUCCUGCGAGCAAACGAAGAACAAGCAAGAAACUAAGAUUGCAAUCUGGAUAUUGCGAAUAUAAGACGAAAGCUUUAUUGAUCAAGGUGGGGUUCUGUGACGCCUUUGUCUGGUCGUUGAACACAAACGAAGUACGCGAAGUUGCAGCUAUGGCAAACUUUUAAUCUAAACAAAACCCAAAGUCUAAACGAUGCCCUAAGGGCUGUAUAUAUGGAGGAAGAGGGGGUGAAUUUCGUGGCCCUUGGUGGAGGGGUCCGAAAUCAACCCUAUCUCUUGUUUCCCCACACAUACGGACUCUAAAAAUAGCCUAUACUUAUGUAUUUCGAAAUUACAUGGGCCUGGCCCAAUAAUAAGGUGACGCAGCACCUAAAAUAGCCUCGGGACGAAAUUUAUGAAGUGGCAUCUUGUAUAUUUCGUCCAAGGCUUCAUGCACCCAUUAUGGUGGCUUCAAAGUCCUGAAAUCAUCACUUGUAACUCCGUUCUUGUUCCCCUUGCGCAUGCCAUCAUCUCCAUGCUUGUUCUUGCUCCAAUGUUCAUCCUUCUCCAAGCUAGGCCCUUCAUUUCUAAGCAAAACAAAUGUAUCCAAUUUAGGCAGCAUCAUAUUCUCAUGAACAUUAGAAUCAUUACCAAGAAACGAAAGUACCUGGUAAUUUAGUUGGCGUGCACGAGCUCUAGUAAUUGGUCCAGUAUGUAUAGCAGCAGGGGCUGUGGGUGUAACAAUUGUAUUGAUGUCCUCAUCAUCCUCCCCUUCUUGAAAUGAAGUCGUCCUCGACGGAAGUUCAUCUUCCUCACCCAAAUAAGGCUUCAAAUCUGCAAUGUUAAAAGUGGGACUAACCCCAAAAUCUGCAGGCAGCUCAAGUUUAUAUGCAUUAUCAUUUAUUUUCUCUAACACCUUAAAGGGACCAUCAGCACGUGGCAUCAACUUUGAUUUGCGCAAAUCAGGAAAUCUAUCCUUACGCAAAUGUAACCAAACAAGAUCUCCAGGUGCAAACACAACAUGUUUUCUACCCUUAUCUCCAGCAAGUUUAUAUUUAGCAUUCAUACGCUCAAUGUUUUCCUUAGUUAACUCAUGCAUUUUUAAAAUCAAUUCAGCACGUUGUUUAGCAUCAAAAUUAACCUUCUCCGAAGAUGGAAGAGGCAACAAAUCAAUAGGUGCACGAGGUAGGAAACCAUACACAACUUCAAAAGGGCACAUCUUAGUAGUAGAACGCAAUGAACGAUUAUAAGCAAAUUCAAUAUGAGGCAAGCAUUCCUCCCACAUUUUCUUAUUAUUCUUCAAAACAGCCCUAAGCAUAGUAGACAACGUUCUAUUGACUACUUCAGUUUGUCCAUCAGUUUGGGGGUGACAAGUAGUACUUCAGUUUGUUCAGUUUCUAACUCCCAAGUAAGAUAUAUAUCAGGAACAUAUCUACCCUCAAAUGGUGGAAUAUUCAAUUUCAGUUUAGGAAUAUGGACAUCAUCUCGUACCUGAGGUGGUGGUGCAGGCCUACCAUUACGAAUAUAUACCUGAGGUCGACCUGCUGGUGGUGGUGCUGGUGGCUGCUCGUAGAUCUGAUUUUGAUCAACCUCAUCCUCAUAAUCGCCCGCAUACUCAUCAUCCUCCUGGGUACCAGCAACAGCAGUAGCAGGAGCCACAGAAGUAUCGACAGCAGCACCAACAGUUUGGCCAAACGCAAGAGGAACACGGCUCGCUCGGCGAAGGUCUAUUUCGCGACGUGGAGGUAGUCGUUGUUGUUGUUGUUGGAGAGGUGCGUUAGGUGCAGCGGGUAUUGGUGGUGGAAGACGCGCGAGCAAUUCAUUAAAUCUGUUAUCGAGCUUUGUUUCGAACGUCUUCUCAAGGCCAGUGAUCUUCUCCAUGGCCUCUUCAAAAUUGUUCAGCACAUCUUGCACCUGUUCAGUCAUCAUUUGCUGAAACUUAUCAUGAAGCUCCUUGUUCGAUAAAUUCUCCCAGUCAAUCUCGUCGGCUUGUGAUCCUGGCAUGGUUAGCAGCAAUAGAAACACACAAGAAUAUGAUCCUACAGACUACGAACAAGUGGUGGUGGUGGGUGUCACAAAUCCGUCAAGCAAAACUCAAAUUCUUACCAGUUCUUACCCAGCAACAGGCGGUGAUCGGCAACCGUUGUAGUCAAAACUCUCAAAGCUUGGAUAGAGCGAUUACCAGGGAGAGUCAAACGCACGACGUAGAUGUAUGUGGAGCUGGGAAGGCUUAUACUAUGGUAGCAAAAAGGGUCAGCAAUAAUCAAUUCAGAGAUGCAAAGUUGAAUAAACGCUCAACGACGUACUGUGCUGGUCCUAGGCUAGACUGUGCUAGAGACGCGAGCCUAGAACACCAACAAAAUCACGGCGCGGCACGUAAACAAGGGAAAAGCACACUCUGAAUUUUUUUUUUUCGCUCUUUUUUUUUGCGCUCUUUUUUUGCGCUGUUUUUUUUUGGGAAAAAUCACUAUAAUGGCGAGUGUCUCAAAACUCUUCCUAGCUCAAACUGACAGGAUGGGCACGAAAUUUUUCGACCAAUUUUUUUUUUUUUUCGACUGCCCGGACCCAAAAACUGGAAACGGGUCAAAAAAAACUUCCUAUAAUGGCACCUGUCUCAAAACACUCAGAAACACCUAAAAAUAGGNNNNNNNNNNNNNNNNNNNNNNNNNNNNNNNNNNNNNNNNNNNNNNNNNNNNNNNAAAAUAGGAUAGCCAGAAUUUUUUUCGAAAAAUGCGUUUUCGAAAAAUUUUGGGCCUAAACGGAGCGUGGCUACCCGACUCUUUUUUUUUUCUGUUUUUUUUCCGAAACCUACUCCGGCAAGGAAACACGAAUCGGAAUCUAGAUGGAUCUCGAAAACAACCCUAAUAAGCAAGGAACUCGGAUUGGUGGUGGAUAUAUGGUGGUGGUAUAUGGCAGUGGUGGUGGUAGCGGUGGUAGUAUAUGGAUAUGGAUCGGUGGUGGUAUAUGGACACGGAUUGGUGGUGGUAUAUGGAUACGGAUUCGGAGCGGUGGUGGUAGAUGGCAGGGGCGAUGAUGAUGGUGCGGCGGCGGCGUGACAACUUAUGACCAGAACUCGAAACUCUAAAAGACUAGACUCUAAGACCAGCAACUAGACACGACGAUGCAACCGCAAAUUCAACAAAGCAAAACCCUAAAAAGAUUAUGCAAAGGCUCAGAUUGGUUCGGAUAUGAUGAACUAACCCUAAUUUUUUUUGUGGCUUUUUCGUGGACUGUAGGUAUGAAGAACAGACUCGAUCUAAACUACGAAAAACUGUAAAAUCUCACCGAGCAACCUGGAAAUCUGAUACCACUUGAUAGAGGCAAAGGUGUCCCGUCUUUCGAUGAGAUGAUGGAUAUCGCUUUGUUGGAAGUCGACUUUGACGAUCCGACUACGAACGUGCGAGGACGUCGCGCCUUAGCAAUCGCUAAACCAACUCCGAGAGGUUAUUGACCACGCCGAAGCACGAUCAACCUGACCACGAGGGUCUGUUUCCUGCGAGCAAACGAAGAACAAGCAAGAAACUGAGAUUGCAAUCUGGAUAUUGCGAAUAUAAGAUGAAAGCUUUAUUGAUCAAGGUGGGGUUCUGUGACGCCUUUGUCUGGUCGUUGAACACAAACGAAGUACGCGAAGUUGCAGCUAUGGCGAACUUUUAAUCUAAACAAAACCCAAAGUCUAAACGAUGCCUUAAGGGCUGUAUAUAUGGAGGAAGAGGGGGGGAAUUUCGUGGCCCUUGGUGGAGGGGUCCGAAAUCAACCCUAUCUCUUGUUUCCCCACACAUACAGACUCUAAAAAUAGCCUAUACUUAUGUAUUUCGAAAUUACAUGGGCCUGGCCCAAUAAUAAGGUGACGCAGCACCUAAAAUAGCCUCGGGACGAAAUUUAUGAAGUGGCAUCUUGUAUAUUUCGUCCAAGGCUUCAUGCACCCAUUAUGGUGGCUUCAAAGUCCUGAAAUCAUCACUUGUAACUCCGUUAUUGUUCCCCUUGCGCAUGCCAUCAUCUCCAUGCUUAUUCUUGCUCCAAUGUUCAUCCUUCUCCAAGCUAGGCCCUUCAUUUGUAAGCAAAACAAAUGUAUCCAAUUUAGGCAGCAUCAUAUUCUCAUGAACAUUAGAAUCAUUACCAAGAAACGAAAGUACCUGGUAAUUUAGUUGGCGUGCACGAGCUCUAGUAAUUGGUCCAGUAUGUAUAGCAGCAGGGGCUGUGGGUGUAACAAUUGUAUUGAUGUCCUCAUCAUCCUCCCCUUCUUGAAAUAAAGUCGUCCUCGACGGAAGUUCAUCUUCCUCACCCAAAUAAGGCUUCAAAUCUGCAAUGUUAAAAGUGGGACUAACCCCAAAAUCUGCAGGCAGCUCAAGUUUAUAUGCAUUAUCAUUUAUUUUCUCUAACACCUUAAAGGGACCAUCAGCACGUGGCAUUAACUUUGAUUUGCGCAAAUCAGGAAAUCUAUCCUUACGCAAAUGUAACCAAACAAGAUCUCCAGGUGCAAACAUAACAUGUUUUCUACCCUUAUCUCCAGCAAGUUUAUAUUUAGCAUUCAUGCGCUCAAUGUUUUCCUUAGUUAACUCAUGCAUUUUUAAAAUCAAUUCAGCACGUUGUUUAGCAUCAAAAUUAACCUUCUCCGAAGAUGGAAGAGGCAACAAAUCAAUAGGUGCACGAGGUAGGAAACCAUACACAACUUCAAAAGGGCACAUCUUAGUAGUAGAAUGCAAUGAACGAUUAUAAGCAAAUUCAAUAUGAGGCAAGCAUUCCUCCCACAUAUUCUUAUUAUUCUUCAAAACAGCCCUAAGCAUAGUAGACAACGUUCUAUUGACUACUUCAGUUUGUCCAUCAGUUUGGGGGUGACAAGUAGUACUAAAAAGCAGUUUAGUCCCCAACUUAGCCCAUAAACAUCUCCAAAAGUGGCUAAGAAAUUUAGUAUCACGAUCUGAAACAAUAGUAUUUGGCACACCAUGCAAGCGAAUAAUUUCACGAAAGAACAAAUCAGCAACAUUAACAGCAUCAUCGCUUUUAUGACAUGGUAUAAAGUGUGCCAUUUUCGAGAAUCUAUCCACGACAACAAAUAUGCUAUCCCUCCCCUUCUUUGUUCGAGGUAAACCUAAAACAAAGUCCAUAGAUAUAUCCUCCCAAGGAACACUAGGUACAGGCAAAGGCAUAUAUAAACCAUGAGGGUUGAGUCGUGACUUAGCUUUUUGACAUGUAGUGCAGCGAGCAAUAAAACGCUCAACAUCCCAUCUCAUCUUUGGCCAAAAGAAAUGUGUAGCAAGUACGUCCUCCGUCUUCUUCACGCCAAAGUGUCCCAUUAAUCCUCCUCCAUGCGCCUCCUGCAACAACAAAAGACGAACGGAGCUAGCUGGAAUGCAUAGCUUGUUAGCACGAAACACAAAUCCAUCGUUAACAACAAACUUGUUCCACAUUCUUCCUUCUUUACAAUUCUUCAUUACAUCUUUAAAAUCAGCAUCAUGCACAUAUUGAUCUUUGAUGGUCUCCAAACCAAAUAUUUUGAAGUCAAGUUGUGAAAGCAUAGUAUAGCGACGAGAUAAUGCAUCAGCAAUAACAUUUUCUUUUCCCUACUUGUGUUUAAUGACAUAAGGGAAAGUCUCAAUGAAUUCAACCCAUUUAGCAUGUAUACGAUUCAGUUUAGCUUGACUUUUAAUAUGUUUCAAAGAUUCAUGAUCAGAAUGUAUAACAAAUUCUUUGGGCCAUAAAUAAUGUUGCCAUGUUUCUAAAGUCCGAACAAGAGCAUAUAAUUCUUUAUCAUAAGUAGAAUAAUUCAGACUAGGCCCACUCAAUUUUUCAGAAAAGUAUGCAACAGGUUUGCCAUCUUGUAAUAACACACCUCCUAAUCCAAUUCCACUAGCAUCACAUUCAAGCUCAAAAGUCUUAUUAAAAUCAGGAAGUUGGAGUAAAGGAGCAUGUGUCAACUUAUCUUUCAAUACCGUGAAGGCUUCUUCCUGUGCGGUACCCCAAAGAAAAGGCACAUCUUUCUUUGUAAGCUCGUUGAGAGGUGCAGCAAUGGUGCUGAAAUCUCUCACAAAACGCCUAUAGAAUCCAGCGAGGCCAAGAAAACUCCUCACUUGUGUGACCGUUUUGGGCUGCGGCCAACUCUCAAUAGCCUCAAUCUUGGCUUUAUCAACUUCAAUUCCCUGUGGAGUAACAACAUAGCCAAGAAAGAUACUCGGUCGGUGCAAAAGGUGCACUUCCCAAGGUUACCAAACAAACGUGCAUCACGUAGAGCUAUAAAAACAGCACGUAAAUGUUCCAAAUGUUCUUCCAAAGAUCUGCUAUAAAUCAAUAUGUCAUCAAAGUAAACUACCACAAAUCAUCCAAUGAAAGCACGUAAAACUUCGUUCAUUAAUCUCAUGAAAGUACUAGGUGCAUUAGUUAACCCAAAAGGCAUGACUCACCACUCAUAUAAUCCAAACUUAGUUUUAAAUGCUGUUUUCCAUUCAUCUCCCAAUUUCAUACGAAUUUGAUGGUAUCCACUACGCAAAUCAACUUUGGAGAAUAUUGUAGAGCCACUCAAUUCAUCAAGCAUAUCAUCUAGCCUAGGAAUAGGAUGACGAUAACGAAUAGUAAUAUUAUUAAUGCCUCUACAAUCAACACACAUACGUGAUGUACCAUCCUUUUUCGGCACUAGAAUAAUAGGAACACCACAAGGACUAAGGGAUUCGCGUAUAUAACCUUUGUCGAGAAGCUCUUGUACUUGACGUAUAAUCUCCUUCGUCUCCUCUGGAUUGGUACGGUAUGGUGCACGGUUUGGCAGUUGAUGAGGACAUGACUACCUUGGAUAUGACCAAAAAUAUUGCAUAUAUGCAUAUUUGUCAGGUGAUUUCUAGUGCAAACUAUUCAAUAAUCUAUUUGUGUUAUCCAGAACAAAAAUACUUCACACACUUUUGUGUUUUGUCUAAUUGCAGGUGUAUGGGACAUUUGUACAAUCCACAUAUGAAGAUAAGGAAGAAAGAGAUGUUUAUUUGCUGUCCAAAAAGUUCUCUCACGUCACUUUUGGCCCAAGAGAAGAUAGAGUCCAAGUCUCUCACGUUCUGGAUUCAGAUUCGGACUGCACAGACAUACCUGACUCAAAACGCACACAAGUUUUUCAUACGGACUCCGAAUUGGGUGAUUCUUUUUUUGUUGGAAACUAGAUUUCGUGCACUUUCCAACCCAAUUGGAAUCACCUUCAAAUUCGUCCGGAGCGUUGAGUUGUGGACGAAACAAUCUGGUGCUGCAGCAGAAUCCGAGUCAAACUACAAGUCCAAAGGUGUUACAUCACCUCCACUUGGGCCCAUUGGCCUUGUACGACCUAGAUUUAGUUUUAGGCUGCCUUGGGACGUCCUCCCACCUCCUUGGCCGCCACCCCUUGCUCCUAUAUAAGUAGAUCCAUCUAGUAGCUUUUCCUUAGGAUUUGUUUAGUUAAAAGUUAGCCAUUGCAACUUCGUGUACUUCGUUUGUGUCCAACGACCAGACCAAGACCGCUUACGGAUCCUCACCUUUAUCAAAACUUCAUAUAUACUCGCAAUAUUCAGAUUGCUUUUAUCAUAUUCUUGCUUGUUCUUCGAUUGCUUGCAGGAAUAGACCUUCGUGGUUAGGUUGAUUGUGCUCCAGCGUGGUCAAUAACCUUUCGGAGUUGGUUUAGCGAUUGCUAAGGCGCAACGUCGUGCACGUUUGUAGUCGGAUCGUCAAAGUCAUCUUCACCAAAUCGAUAGUUAUCAUCUCAUUGAAAGAUCGGGACACCCCCGCCUCUAUCAAGUGGUAUCAGUUUUCAGGUUGCUCGGUGAGAAUUUCCAGUUUUUCUUAGAUUAGAUUUAUUUUCUUACCUAUUGUCCAAGAAAAAGCCACAAAAAAAAAGUUAGAUCUGUUCAUCCUUUAUCCAAGCCAGUCUGAGCCUUUGCAAUUUUCUAUUCAUUGCUUGCAUAGUUGAAUUAUCGGUUGCAUCGUCGUGUCAGUUGCUGGUCUUAGUGUCUAGUUCCUUUAGAGUUUCGAGUUCUGUUCACAUUAGUCACGCCGCCACUGCAUCAUUAUCCCUUCCGCCGUCCACCAUCCCAUCUAUUAAUUUCCACCAUGUGCUACGCACUGUUCAUUGUCAUAAUCAUAGUUGAGGUCAUUCACAUCUUCGCCUGAUCCAAUCUGCAUCUUAUCUAGUUUGUCUUGGAAAGAGGGAGAAAAAAAAGAGAGAGAAAAAAAAGAGAGAAAAAAGGAAAGAAAAAAAAAGAAAAAGAGGGAGAAGAAAAAGAAAAAAAAGGCGUGAGAAAAAAAAGAGAAGAAAAAAAUUUGGAUCUAUCUAGAAUCAAUCUCGUACCUGAAUUCGGAUUGGAAUCUGUUUUGUGCACUGUUCAGUAAAACAGGUGUAUCUUCCUCAUACGAAGUCAGUUUUGGCUCCGUGAGUACUCAAAUUGAAGAUAGCGAUGAGCCGCAUCUAAAUAGUUGCAGAAGCUAGUUCAAUAUUUGACACCUCAAAAUCGGCUCUUAAAUAGGUCUUUUUGCCCUCCGAAGUUCGUGAACACAACUUGUUCCAAUUUUUCAGGCCAGUUUUAGAAUUCUUUGACUCCUCAUAUCAACUCAGAAUUGAGUGAUUCUUUUUGCAUUGGAAAGCUUGAGUUAGUAGCAUUCUUUGAAAGAAUUUAUCAGAAAAUUGUCUCAAACUUUUCAAGAGGAAAGUUGGAGAGAGAGUUGUUGUAUAUCCUGCUUGGCAGUUGUUUUUCAUCAUUAUCUUCACUGCCGUUGUGAUCUUCACUUAUAUCUAGCUGUCAAGAGCUACUUAGUAUCCUUCAUUGAUGCUAGUUGUGCUACGCCAUGACCUCAUUAGUGUUCUAGGCUCGCGUCUCUAGUCCCGUCUAGCCUAGGACCAGCACAGUACCGUCGUUGAGCGUUUAUUCAACAUUGCAUCUUUGAAUUGAUUAUUGCUAAUCUUUUGCUACCAUAUAUAGCCAACCCAGCUCCACAUAUUUCUACACCGUGUAUACGUACGCUCCCCUGGCAAUCGCUUUACUCAAUAUUCGGAGUUACUUAACACUGCUGGUUGCCGAUCACCGCCUGCUGCAUGGUAAGAACUUGUAAGACAUUGAUAUUUGCUUUACUGUGAGCGUUUUACCACCACAUCCUAGUAGUUAUAGGAACAUUAUUUUUGGGUUUUGCUUCUUGUUCUACUAAUCAUGACAGGAUCCAGAGUCAAUUCAUGGGCUUUAUCGAUCGCGGGAGACGUGCCACCACCUUUGCAAAUACCACAACCGUCACGAGAGGUGCACAAACAUCCAAAUGCACAUGAUCAGGUUAAUGUAUCUAUACCACCAUUUAAUGGCCGUUUUAAACCUGCUUUAUAUAUUGAAUGGGAGUUCGACAUAAAAAAUAUAUUUGCUUCCCAUAAUUUCGAUGAACAUAAAAAGGUUAAGGUUGCGGUUGGUUCUUUCACUGGUUAUGCUUUGGUUUGGUGGAGUGAAUAUUGUCGGUUACACCCUGAUUAUAUACCUACUACUUGGGAUGAUUUGAAACUUGCCAUGCGACAUACUUUCGUCCCUGCUUAUUAUACUCGUGGCAUGAUUAAGAAGUUGCAACACUUAAAACAAGGUAGUGAAACUGUAACAAAAUAUUAUGAUGAUUUACAAACUACCUUGUUGCAUUCCUCUUUAGAAGAAAGUGAAGAUGAUUUUAUGGAUAGAUUUUGGGGAGGAUUAAACCGUGAUAUUCAAGAGAUACUAAUUCAUGAAGAGUGUUAUCCUAUGGACCAUUUGUUUCAUCUUGCUUGCAAAGCUGAACAGGAAAUAAAACAACGUGUUGGCCACGAGGAGAACAAGCGCACGGUGCACAUUCCAAGAGUUGAUAUGAUUGUUCCUUCAACUACUAGGCAUACUAUGACAACCACAUCCGUUGUUGUCAGGACUACAUCACCUCCACCAUGUGACACAUCGCCCCCGUGAUGAGGACAUCAAUACAAUUGUUACACCCACAGCCCCUGCUGCUAUACAUACUGGACCAAUUACUAGAGCUCGUGCACGCCAACUAAAUAACCAGGUACUUUCGUUUCUUGGUAAUGAUUCUAAUGUUCAUGAGAAUAUGAUGCUGCCUAAAUUGGAUACAUUUGUUUUGCUUACAAAUGAAGGGCCUAGCUUGGAGAAGGAUGAACAUUGGAGCAAGAACAAGCAUGGAGAUGAUGGCAUGCGCAAGGGGAACAAGAACGGAGCUACAAGUGAUGAUUUCAGGACUUUGAAGCCACCAUAAUGGGUGCAUGAAGCCUUGGACGAAAUAUACAAGAUGCCACUUCAUAAAUUUCGUCCCGAGGCUAUUUUAGGUGCUGCGUCACCUUAUUUUUGGGCCAGGCCCAUGUAAUUUCGAAAUACAUAAGUAUAGGCUAUUUUUAGAGUCCGUAUGUGUGGGGAAACAAGAGAUAGGGUUGAUUUCGGACCCCUCCACCAAGGGCCACGAAAUUCCCCCCCCUCUUCCUCCAUAUAUACAGCCCUUAGGGCAUCGUUUAGACUUUGGGUUUUGUUUAGAUUAAAAGUUCGCCAUAGCUGCAACUUCGCGUACUUCGUUUGUGUUCAACGACCAGACAAAGGCGUCACAGAACCCCACCUUGAUCAAUAAAGCUUUCAUCUUAUAUUCGCAAUAUCCAGAUUGCAAUCUUAGUUUCUUGCUGGUUCUUCGUUUGCUCGCAGGAAACAGACCCUCGUGGUCAGGUUGAUCGUGCUCCGGCGUGGUCAAUAACCUCUCGGAGUUGGUUUAGCGAUUGCUAAGGCGCGACGUCCUCGCACGUUCGUAGUCGGAUCGUCAAAGUCGACUUCCACCAAAGCGAAAUCCACCAUCUCAUCGAAAGACGGGACACCUUUGCCUCUAUCAAGUGGUAUCAGUUUUCAGGUUGCUCGGUGAGAAUUUCCAGUUUUCCUAGAUUAGAUUUACUUUCUUACCUAUUGUCCAAGAAAAAGCCACAAAAAAGAGUUAGAUCUAUUCAUCCUUGGUCCAAGCCAGUCUGAGCCUUUGCAAUUUUCUUUUCAUUGAUUGCAUAGUUGAAUUAUCGAUUGCAUCGUCGUGUCGAGUUGCUGGUCUUAGUGUCUAGUUCGUUUAGAGUUUCGAGUUCUGUUCACAUUAGUCACGCCACCGCUGCAUCAUUAUCUCUUCCGCUGUCCACCACCCAUCCAUCAAUUUCCACCACGUGCUACCCACCAUUCAUUGUCAUAAUAAUAGUUGAGAUCGUUCACAUCUUCACUUGAUCCAAUCUGCAUCUUAUCUAGUUUGUUUUGGAAAGAGGGAGAAAAAAAGAGAGAAAAAAAACGAGAGAAUAAAAAGGAAAAAAAGUCAGAGAAAAAAAAAGGAGAGAAAGAAAAAAAAGUGUGAGGAAAAAAAAAGAGAGAAGAAAAAAAAACAAAAAAAUCGGCACAAACUUUUUCAGAGGAAAGUUGGAGACAAAGUUGUUGAUAUAUCCUGCUUGGCUGUUGUUUCGCCUCAUUAUCUUCACUGCCGUUGUGAUCUUCACUUAUAUCUUGCUGUCAAGAGCUACUUAGUAUCCUUCAUUGAUGCUAGUUGUGCUACGCCGUGACCUCAUUAGUGUUCUAGGCUCGCGUCUCUAGUCCGGUCUAGCCUAGGACCAGCACAGUACCGUCGUUGAGCGUUUAUUCAACAUUGCAUCUUUGAAUUGAUUAUUGCUAAUCUUUUGCUACCAUAUAUAGCCAACCCAGCUCCACAUAUUUCUACACCGUGUAUACGUACGCUCCCCUGGCAAUCGCUUUACUCAAUAUUCGGAGUUACUUGACACCGCUGGUUGCCGAUCACCGCCUGCUGCAUGGUAAGAACUUGUAAGACAUUGAUAUUUGCUUUACUGUGAGCGUUUUACCACCACAUCCUAGUAGUUAUAGGAACAUUAUUUUUGGGUUUUGUUUCUUGUUCUACUAAUCAUGACAGGAUCCAGAGUCAAUUCAUGGGCUUUGUCGAUCGCGGGAGACGUGCCACCACCUUUGCAAAUACCACAACCGUCACGAGAGGUGCACAAACAUCCAAAUGCACAUGAUCAGGUUAAUGUAUCUAUACCACCAUUUAAUGGCCGUUUUAAACCUGCUUUUUAUAUUGAAUGGGAGUUCGACAUAAAAAAUAUAUUUGCUUCCCAUAAUUUCGAUGAACAUAAAAAGGUUAAGGUUGCGGUUGGUUCUUUCACUGGUUAUGCUUUGGUUUGGUGGAGUGAAUAUUGUCGGUUACACCCUGAUUAUAUACCUACUACUUGGGAUGAUUUGAAACUUGCCAUGCGACAUACUUUCGUCCCUGCUUAUUAUACUCGUGACAUGAUUAAAAAGUUGCAACACUUAAAACAAGGUAGUGAAACUGUAACAAAAUAUUAUGAUGAUUUACAAACUACCUUGUUGCAUUCCUCUUUAGAAGAAAGUGAAGAUGAUUUUAUGGAUAGAUUUUGGGGAGGAUUAAACCGUGAUAUUCAAGAGAUACUAAUUCAUGAAGAGUGUUAUCCUAUGGACCAUUUGUUUCAUCUUGCAUGCAAAGCUGAACAGGAAAUGAAACGACGUGUUGGCCACGAGGAGAACAAGCGCACGGUGCACAUUCCAAGAGUUGAUAUGAUUGUUCCUUCAACUACUAGGCAUACUAUGACAACCACAUCCGUUGUUGUCAGGACUACAUCACCUCCACCAUGUGACACAUCGCCCCCGAGAGUGGCUACAUCAUCUGAGUUGAUCAUAAGAGGUAAUGACAAAGGUACUAAUCUUCCAUCUCUACAUGAGAAUGAUGAAUGCCUUGUCAAUUUGAAUGCACCAUCUGAUGAGCUACCCACUACUUUGAUCACACCACCUAUUUUAGAGGACUACAUUGAUAAUUUGACUUUGCCAUGUGAUCAAACAGCUGAAAUACCAACAAUGUUGAGUGCACCCAUUGAAUUAACUAUUGAUGCAAAAGAACCAAUGUUUAAUCAUUUUGAUAUGACCUCUAAUCUUGGUGAUGAUUCUGUGUUGAAUGACUUAUUGCAUGUUUGUUUAUUUAAGCAUGUUGUAGCAUGUAAAUUUGAUGCAAGUAAGGUUUAUUCACCAAUGUUGGGAUGGUUUAAUGAUGAACAUUGUCAAUCUUUUGAAAUGAAUAAGAGCUUCACUUAUAUGUGCAAACUGAGUUGCAAUAUUUUCAUGCCUUCUACUUCUUGUGCUAAUUUUUUGGCUUUAGAUUUUAUGAACUAUGCAAGUUACUCAUCUAUUCAUGUGUCAUAUAUGCAAAAAUCAAGGGAAGUAAAAAUGGAUGACAUAUACAUAUACAACAUGUACACCUUGUCUCUUUUGUUAGCCACAUUUCAGAUUAAGCAACGCCGAGGACGGCUUUAUUUUCAAGAAGGGGAGGAUGAUGAGGACAUGACUACCUUGGAUAUGACCAAAAAUAUUGCAUAUAUGCAUAUUUGUCAGGUGAUUUCUAGUGCAAACUAUUCAAUAAUCUAUUUGUGUUAUCCAGAACAAAAAUACUUCACACACUUUUGUGUUUUGUCUAAUUGCAGGUGUAUGGGACAUUUGUACAAUCCACAUAUGAAGAUAAGGAAGAAAGAGAUGUUUAUUUGCUGUCCAAAAAGUUCUCUCACGUCACUUUUGGCCCAAGAGAAGAUAGAGUCCAAGUCUCUCACGUUCUGGAUUCAGGUUCGGACUGCACAGACAUACCUGACUCAAAACGCACACAAGUUUUUCAUACGGACUCCGAAUUGGGUGAUUCUUUUUUUGUUGGAAACUAGAUUUCGUGCACUUUCCAACCCAAUUGGAAUCACCUUCAAAUUCGUCCGGAGCGUUGAGUUGUGGACGAAACAAUCUGGUGCUGCAGCAGAAUCCGAGUCAAACUACAAGUCCAAAGGUGUUACAUCACCUCCACUUGGGCCCAUUGGCCUUGUACGACCUAGAUUUAGUUUUAGGCUGCCUUGGGACGUCCUCCCACCUCCUUGGCCGCCACCCCUUGCUCCUAUAUAAGUAGAUCCAUCUAGUAGCUUUUCCUUAGGAUUUGUUUAGUUAAAAGUUAGCCAUUGCAACUUCGUGUACUUCGUUUGUGUCCAACGACCAGACCAAGACCACUUACGGAUCCUCACCUUUAUCAAAACUUCAUAUAUACUCGCAAUAUUCAGAUUGCUUUUAUCAUAUUCUUGCUUGUUCUUCGAUUGCUUGCAGGAAUAGACCUUCGUGGUCAGGUUGAUUGUGCUCCAGCGUGGUCAAUAACCUUUCGGAGUUGGUUUAGCGAUUGCUAAGGCGCAACGUCGUGCACGUUUGUAGUCGGAUCGUCAAAGUCAUCUUCACCAAAUCGAUAGUUAUCAUCUCAUCGAAAGAUCGGGACACCCCCGCCUCUAUCAGCAGUGAAGCACCGGGAAUUAAGUCAAUCUGAUGCUCAAUCCCUCGAAUAGGCGGUAAUCCCGUUGUGAUAGAGGCGAGGGUGUCCCGAUCUUUCGAUGAGAUGAUAACUAUCGAUUUGGUGGAGACGACUUUGACGAUCUGACUACAAACAUGCAUGACGUUGCGCCUUAGCAAUCGCUAAACCAACUCCGAGAGGUUAUUGACCACGCUGGAGCACGUUCAACCUGACCACGAAGGUCUAUUCCUGCAAGCAAUCGAAGAACGAGCAAGAAUAUGAUAAAGCAAUCUGAAUAUUGCGAAUAUAUAUGCAGUAUUGAUAAUGGUGGGGAUCCGUAAGCGGUCUUGGUCUGGUCGUUGGACACAAACGAAGUACACGAAGUUGCAAUGGCUAACUUUUAACUAAACAAAUCCCAAGGAAAAAGCUACUAGAUGGAUCUACUUAUAUAGGAGCAAGGGGUGGUGGCCAAGGAGGUGGGAGGACGUCCCAAGGCAGCCUAAAACUAACCCUAGGUCGUACAAGGCUCAUGGGCCCAAGUGGAGGUGAUGCAACACCUUUGGGCUUGUAGUUUGACUCGGAUUCUGCUGCAACGUCAGAUUGUUUCGUCCGUAACUCAACGCUCCGGACGAAUUUGAAGGUUAAUCCAAUUGGGAUGGAAAGAGCAGGAAAUCUAGUUUCCAACAAAAAAACAAUCACCCAAUUCGGAGUCCGUAUGAAAAAGUUGUUGGCGUUUUGAGUCAGGUAUGUCUGUGCAGUCCGAAUCUGAAUCCAGAACGUGAGAGACUUGGACUCUAUCUUCUCUUGGCCCAAAAGUGACGUGAGAGGACUUUUUGAACACAACCUAAACAUCUCCUUUUCCCUUAUCUUCAUAUGUGGAUUGUACAAAUGUCGCAUACACCUGCAAUUAGACAAAACACAAAAGUGUGUGAAGUAUUUUUGUUCUGGAUAACAUAAAUAGACUAUUGAACAGUUUGCAUUAGAAAUCACCUGACAAAUAUGCAUGUAUGCAAUAUUUUUGGUCGUAUCCAAGGUAGUCAUGUCCUCAUCAUCCUCCCCUUUUUGAAAACAAAGCCGUCCUCGGCAUUGCUUAAUCUGAAAUGUGGCUAACAAAAGAGACAAGGUGUACAUGUUGUAUAUGUAUAUGUCAUCCAUUUUAACUUCCCUUGAUUUUUGCACAUAUGUCACAUGUAUACAUGAGUAACUUUCAUUGUUCAUAAAAUCUAAAGCCAAAAAAUUAUCACAAGAAGUAGAAGGCAUAAAAAUAUUGCAACUCAGUUUGCACAUAUAAGUACAACUCUUAUUCACUUCAAAAGAUUGGCAAUGUUCAUCAUUAAACCAUCCUAACUUCGAUGAAUAAACCUUACUUGCAUCAAAUUUACAUGCUACAACAUGCUUAAAUAAGCAAACAUGUAAUAAGUCAUUGGACACAGAAUCAUCAUCAAGAUUAGAGGUCAUAUCAAAAUGAUUAAACAUUGGUUCUUUUGCAUCAACAGUUAAUUCAAUGGGUGCACUCAAAAUUGUUGAUAUUUCAGUUGUUUGAUCACAUGACGCAUUCAUGACAGUAACAAGAGUCUCUAAAAUAGGUGGUGUGCUCAAAUCAAUAGGUAACUCAACACAUGAUGCAUUCAAGUUAACUAGGCAUGCUUCAUUCUCAUGUGAAGUUAUAUCAUCAAGACCUUUACGUUACCUCGCAGAGAUGUAGCUGAUGUAGGUACGGACGUUGACAAUGUACCAUACUCUUGAGAUGAUAUUGCGCUCACAAUCCGAGGUGGGGCUGCUCUAGUAGGUGCAAUAGUGGAGUAACCAACCGGCGGUGGUGAGCAUGAACUGGAAUAGUAGUUGUUGUAGUCACCCAAUGCAUCCUCCUAUAUUUGUCUCUCAAAGGUACAAGCACGGACAUACAUACCAGUAAUGCAACAAGGAAUAUACUGAAAUCUUGCCUGAAUAUCAUGGUUCAAACCACCAAAAAAUCUAUUCACUGUAUCAUCCUCAGAUUCUUCUAUAUCACAAUGAUGCAUAUAAGAUUUGAACUCUUGGUAGUAAGCAUGAACAGUGUUACUGCCUUGUUUUAAUUGCUCCAAUUUGCGACGCAAUUCACGACGAUAGUAAGGAGGAAAAAAAUUGUUGUCUCAUUACAGCUUUCAAAACUUUCCAAGUUGUGGGUUGGUUAUCAAUGUUUUUCUUACAAUGUACACACCACCAAACAGAAGCAAAACCAGUAAAUGCUGUAAUGGUAGCUCGUACUCUCUCAAGUUCAGAAAAAUCAUGGCGACUAAAAACUUGUUCUACUUCAAGCUCCCAAGCUAGAUAAAUAGCAGGAUUAAAUCUACCCUCAAAUGAUGGUAAAGAGAUAACCUGACCAUAUGCUUGUGUGUGUUGUCCCAACUCUCGUGAUGGUGAAGAUGUGUCCGUCAUCCAAGAACUUCUAUCUCUGCAACCUGUCAUGAUUAGUAGAAACAAGAACCAAAAUUCGAGAAUAAUGUUCCUAUGAACUACUAGGAUGUGGUUGUAAAGUGCUCACAGUAAAGCAAAUAUCAAUAUCUUACAAGUUCUUACCAUGCGGCAGGUGGUGACAGGCAACCAGCGGUGUCAAAUAACUCCGAAGAUUGUGUAAAAUGAUUGCCAGGGGAACGUACGUAUACACGGUGUAGAAAUAUGUGGAGCUAGGUUGGCUAUAUAUGGUAGCAAAAGAUUAGCAAUAAUCAAUUCAGAGAUGCAAUGUUGAAUAAACGCUCAACGACGGUACUGUGCUGGUCCUAGGCUAGAUGAAACUAGAGACGCGAGCCUAGAACACUAAUGAGGUCACGUCGUAGCACAACUAGCAUCAAUAAAGGAUAUGAAGUAGCUCUGGACAGCAAGAUGUAAGUGAAGAUCACAAUAGCAGUAGACCUAUUUAGAAGCUGAUGUUGAGGUGCCAAAUACUAAACUGCAACUAUUUAGAUGCGGCUCGUCGCUAGCUUUCAUUUGAGUACUCGCGGAGCCAAAACAGACUUCAUAUGAGGAAGUUAUGCCUGUUUUACUAAACAAUGCACAAAACAGAUUCCAAUCCGAAUUCAACUACGAGAUUGAGUCUAGAUAGAUCCGAAUUUUGUUUUUUUUUCUCCUCUCUUUUUUUUCUCACAAUUUUUUUUCUUUUCCUUUCUUUUUUUUUCUCUGACUUUUUUUUUACUUUUUUUCUCUCAUUUUUUUCUCUAUCUUUUUUUUCUCUCUCCCUCUUUCCAAAACAAACUAGAUAAGAUGAAGAUUGGAUCAAGCGAAGAUGGAAACGAUCUCAACUAUGAUUAUGACAAUGAACGGUGGGUAGCACGUGGAGGAAAUUGAUGGAUGGGUGGUGGACAGCGGAAGGGAUAACAUGCAGCGGCGACGUGACUAAUGUGAACAGAACUCGAAACUCUAAACGACCUAGACACUAAGACCAGCAACUCGACACGACGAUGCAACCGAUAAUUCAACUAUGCAAGCAAUGAAAAGAAAAUUGCAAAGGCUCAGACUGGCUUGGACAAAGGAUGAAUAGAUCUAACUCUUUUUUGUGGAUUUUUCUUGGACAAUAGGUAAGAAAAUAAAUCUACUCUAGGAAAACUGGAAAUUCUCACCGAGCAACCUGAAAACUGAUACCACUUGAUAGAGG